rnacentral:lncRNA from 1 species
GUAGAUUGAAUAGGGAAAUGUGGGGUCCGCGCCGUGGGGUCCAGGGGUUCGUGAGAGAGGGUAGAGCGUGGGUGAGUAAGAAAAGUUUUUCCGGGGGAAUUUCGGGAAAAGUUAGAUUUCUUUAGCAAAAUAAUCCAUUUAAAUUCGUUUUACACCAUUUUAAUCACAGAAAUUUGUAGGAGUGUCCAAAAUUAGUGAAACCAAUUUUGUUAGGCUUGUUUUAUUUUCCUUUAUGCAUUAAAAUUUUUACACCCUAGGAAAAUAAUAAAAAUUUGGGUAUUUAUUUAAUGCCUUCCUUUUAAGGUAAUUAAAUAAAUACUUAAUAUUUAUAAAAUGUAUAAAAACAUGAAUAAUACUUUAUCAAUCACAAAUAACUCUUAACCCAUAGGAAAUUAGAUUUUCAAGUUAGAAAAUAAUUACCACUUUUUAAAAAAAAUAAAAGAAAAAGCUAUAGGAAGGGUUUAUUAAGAAAAAUAAAAAUAUAAGUUAAUCUUUUAGAUUUUUGUGUGUUGACUUGCAACUUUAUCAUGAUAAAGUCGUAUAGUCCUUGUUGGCUUGCAACUUUAUCAUGAAGGAAAGUCGUAUAGUCCGUUAUUCAAAAAGUUUGCAUUCUAACCCCUGCAUGUAUAUGCCGUAGAUUCAGAAGCACCGGAAGAAGAUUACUGGGAAUUUUCAGAAAGACCCUUGGAGUCCGACGAAGUGUUUGAAUUUGUCCCCUGGGAAGCAAAUCCGUCGGCAUCUACUAAUCUUUUUAACGAUCAAGGCAAGCCCCGGUGCAUUUAUACCUAUCUAUUUUGGAGUCGUUAUUUCAUGUGACUAGUUAUAGGUUAUUUGUUAUUGCAUGUACUAAGUCUAGGAGUUGAAUGAAACCUAUGCUUGUGUAUGAUCCUACCUUGUUUUAAGGACAUCUUUGCCACUUGUUCAAAUCCUAGAAACUACCCAAGUCUAGAAUUGCUUACUUGCUUACAUGAUUGGCUUACCAACCUUAAGGAAAACUCUUAAGUCAUACAUGUUGCUUAUGAAGAAUAGUCUGGAAUAUGAAAACGGACAGAAGCUAAAGAUGUAGUUCUGUCUGCCAGAUUAAUUUGGUUAAGGACCGAUUCGUGUCUUAACCAUUGAUCAAGUGAUAACAUCUGAUCACUUACUGGGUAUGGGACCAGUAAAGCCCAGUAGAUUAGUAAAUUCUAUGAUCAGGAAUGCUUCGUACCCGCAUUUGACGUGCUGGAGAUUGGCAGGGGUGUAGCCUGAAACUCACAUGGAGAUCAGGCCAGACGUGGGGUCCCAUGUGGGGGUGCAUCCCUGGGUCCGGGUAGUUGUAUUCCUAAUCAUUGACUUUACUAAUCGAGAGGUUGUUAGUACGACCUGGACAGUCGUAUGAUGCUGGUGAUCAGGGUACUCUCCUGCAGGAUGUAAUUAGAUCCGGAUCGCCGCAAUUCUCGGUUAUGAAUGCACUUGAUCACUGUUGAGCAUCGUAGUAUAAACUCAUGUGAUAUAAAACCUUAUGUUACCAAGUCCUGUAUGAUUUAACAGCUAUGAUUGUUUUACUUCUGUUAUCAUCUAGAAUGGUUAGGUAAUGACUUAACUAAAAUAAAAGAUAAAACUAAGGCCUCACUCGUAGUAAGCUUUUCCGGCAAAAUUGUGUCAACCAAGCACACCCAAAGGCUGACAUGCAUUCCAAAGAAAACUAUUAUACUGGUUAGUCGGGUAAGACUUGCUGAGUACCCCGUACUCAGGAUUUUCCCCUUGUGGUUAUCUUUCAGAAGCUCCUCAGGAAGCUACUGAGGAGGAGACCCCGAAGACCUAGAGUAUUGACCUGAGUCUCACAAUACUCUAGAAAACAGUUUAUCGACGCAUCUUCUCCUGAACUUUUUAUGUUUAAUCUUAGAGUUUGUCUAACACUGCACCACUAAGUUUGCCUCAACUUAUGUCUUGUAAUAACUCGUACCUCUUAAUUAUGUAUGUAAAAAUGUAAUGUUUGUUGAUAUUAUCCCAUCGCGGAUAUUAUCCUGAUGUAUGGCUAUGAGACACAUCGUGGAUCCUUCGAGGAGUCCUAGGGACACUCGACGGACUACCGGACUUAUGCUGUUUUAGGUGCGUUUCGGAUAAUUGUUGUUCCGACAGCGAUUAGGCGCACUUAAACCAGCUUAAGUUGGGCGGUUCCGCCACAGCGCCGCGCGCCCUCUCCCCCGCCGGUGUCCUCUCCCCCGCCGCUCUCCCCCUCGACCGCGCCACUCGCCCUCUCCCCCCGUCGGUGUCCGCUCCACCGCCGCUAUCCCUCUCGCCCGCGCCGCUCUCGUGUCCCCUGCCAGUCUCCCCCUCCCCUACAGAUCUCCCCCUCGCCCGCGCCGCUCGCCCUCUUCCCCGCCGGUGUACGCUCCCCCGCCGCUCUCCCCCUCGCCUGCGCCGCUCCCCUCUCCCCCGCCGCGGUCGCCUCUCCCCCGCCUAGAUCUGUCCCCCUCGGCCGCUGUCCCACUCCCCCUCCAGGAUAUCGCCGCAUCCGCUCCAAUCGACCUUUCCACCACCAGAUCCAGUACGUACUCGGUCCGCUGCACCGCGUCCGGUACCGGGUGCACCGUUGUUGACCCAGGCGGUGGCGAUGGACCACUUCAACGAGGAAGGGGACGGCGCGGAGUUCAACGUCGGCGGAUCUAGACUCCCCGCGGGCUUCACCGCCAGCGGAUCCCGACUCCCCGCGGGCUUCACCGCCAGCGGAUCCGGCAACCCCGCUCCCUUCAACGCCGGCGGAUACGGAGAUGCCUCUUCGGGUUUGGACUUCGGCCACGUCCUCGACUACGACGCCGGCCACCCCACCAGGAACUUGUUCUCCCUGGCGCCGCCGGGCUCAGCAAGCAGUGCGUACAACCCCUUCUCCUCCAUGCCGCAGCAGACCCUGUCAUCCAGCUUGCCCACCCCAAGCCAGCUGGGCAUGGCCGGCCUCAACCUGAAUGCAACCUCCGGGUGGCCGAACAUGAACGACUACGAAGGCAUCCUUCGCUCCGGCAACCGAGUUGGAGGAGGCGGCAGCAGCCGGGUCGGCCCUCUCGGCGGAGAGGGUUCCGGCAGCGGUGACCAGGCCACGGCUCCCUUGCCUCGUCAGCGGCGUCCUACGGCCAGGGCACGCGGUUCCCGGCGUCGUGGCGUGGCUCAAGCAGUGGAAGCCGAGAACAAUCCGGUACUUGUUCCCACUCCCACUCCCCCUCUGUAGUUCCAUGAUCUGUAUAUGUGGUGCCGCGUACAUGAAACCCUUGUGUGCAUCAAAUGUAUUGCUUACUCACGGUUACUGUCAUUAGGAGUUCUUGCAUUGCUUGGUCGAUCAUGAUGUAUCCCUGGUGUGCAUGAAAUGUAUUGGUUAGUCAUGGUUACUGUCAAUAGGAGUUCAUGCAUUGGUUGUUCAAUUACAUUUAUCCCUGGUGUGCAUCAAAUGUAUUGCUUAGUCAUGGAUACUGUCAAUAGGAGUUCAUGCAUUGCUUGUUCAAUUACAUUGUGCACAGAAUGAGCCAAGCAGGGCCAAGUGGACAAAAGAGGAUACACAGCUCUUUUGUGAGUUGUACUGCCAACAAAUCGAGUUGGGCAACUGCAAGAGUGGCAACAUGAGCAAGUGGGGCUGGAAAGAUGUUCAGGAGAAGUUCCAAGCGGCGACUGGCAAGUUCAGGAACAGCGAGCAGUUUGGGUACAAGUACAGGCAGUUGAAGUUGCUUUGGCAGUUCAUCCAACAUCUGCGAACAAAGUGCACAGGCUUGGGGCACCGAGAAGAUGGCUCUGUGGUUGCUAGUGAUAACUGGUGGCACAAAAAUAGCAGGGUUAGUGAUAUGUGAACACCGCAUGUGUACUCCUUUCAUUCCUGUCGUGGCUACUGAAUGUUUGUGUCUUGCUAUUUGCAAUGCAGGGGCACGCGGAGUGGUAUGACCUCAAGGAUGGAUGGCCAGAAUACAUUGACGAGCUGGACCGCAUGUUCUGUGGAGUAGCAGUGACUGGAGAGACGUCCUUUGUUCCAGGGGUCAGCCGGCAGAUCAACUUCAUCAGCAGCAGCGAAGAAGAUGUUGCUGAUGCGGACUGUGCCACCCCUCGCAGCUGUGCCACCCCAGUCAGCAGUGGGAGCAAGAGGAGCUCAAGUAGCUUCCGCAGCACUGCUACAAGCCCCAGCAAGAAGAACAAGGGCCCUGCUGUUCGGAACAUGCACAGCAACAUGACAAGGUUCAACUCCAGUUACGAUCACAGGACAUCAAUUAUCCAAAGGGCCUUGGAGGGUAAGAUGAAGGAGGUUGAGGAUGUGAUGGACAAGAAGCAGCACCGAGAGGAGGCUAGGAAGCAAGAACAGAAACUUGUGACAGAUUCAGCGACAGAGCUUGGAGUGCACCUGAUGGAAGGACAACUCUGGGAUAGUGUCAUCAAGAUCUGCAUGGAUGAUGACCUACGCAACAUCUUCCUGUGCACACCUGUUCAAGCAAGGUUGCGAAUGAUCAAGAAAUAUGCUGCUACGGUGUAAACCAGACCCUAUGUCUUUUGUGUGUGCUUGGCAUGUCUUUUGUGUUAUGUCUUGUUGUUGAAUUAAUAUGUGUUGGUAUUGUUUAUGUUGUGAGGAUGAACAUUUGAUGAACUGUGUUGGCUAAUCCUAUAUGAACAGCAUGGUUAUUAACAACAUGGUUGUGCAUUAGAGCAGUUUGGUUGUUACUUGUUAAAGUUAUUGCCUCUGUCUUCAGAUGGGUGUCAUUUGACUGAAGGUAGCAGCAAUUACUACUGUGGCUACCAAUUUAUUUGUGCUAACUUUUGCUGUGUUGUUUUGGAAUGCCCAGGAUGUUGCUGCUCAUUUUGGUGCCCAAGUGGAGGAGGUCGAGGACCAGGAGGAGGAGGAGAAGUUGAUGGCCGAGUGGUGGGACCUAUUCUGGGAAUUGGUGGUAUUAGACGAUGAUGAAGCACCAUUUAUCUAUGGUACGUAUGAAUAUGCUAUUCAUAUCGACAAGUAUUGCGAUAGAGGACCCUAUAGGAAUCCACCAUUGACUGGGGAGCAAUGGGUAAUUAACAAGCUUGCCAAUGAAACAUCCUGCUACACCAUGUUUAGGAUGAGCCCCCACAUGUUUUAUAGGCUGCAUGACUUGUUGACAUCUGAGUAUGGGCUGACUGCAUCAAAUAAAUCUAGCACUAUUGAGGCUCUAGGAUUGUUCCUUUGGAUAUGUGGGGCACCACAAUCUGUUAGGCAAGCAGAGGACAGAUUUGAGAGGUCACUAGCCACUGUUCAUAGGCUAUUCUACAAAGUCCUCAAUUAUCUGGUAGACCUAUCUGCCGACAUCAUUAAACCUAGGGACCCAGAGUUUAGAACAAUGCAUCCUAGGCUGCCAAACAAUAGGUUCUACCCUGAAUUCAAGGGUUGCAUAGGGGCAAUAGAUGGCACUCACAUCCCUGUAGUAGUGCCAAGUGCAAAGUUUAUGCAGCACAUGUGUAGGAAGGGCAAGACAACCCAGAAUGUCAUGGCUGCUUGUGACUUGGAUAUGGUUUUCACAUUUGUGCUUGCUGGGUGGCCGGGUUCAGUGCAUGACAUGAGGGUGUUUGAUGAUGCAAUGACAACUUACAGCGACAAGUUCCCAAAGCCACCUAGAGGUACACACAACUGUUUCUAGGUCACUAGUGUUUUCUAAUACAACCAUUGUAAACUUACAGGUAUGUACUGUUCCUAUAGAGAAAUACUACUUGAUGGACUCGGGGUAUACAAACCGCACCGGCUUCCUAGCUCCUUACCGCCAGACCAAGUAUCACAUCCAAGACUUUCAAAACACGCCAGAACCACAAGGUAUGAAGGAGGUAUUCAACUUUGCCCAUUCAUCUCUUAGAAAUGUCAUCGAAAGGGCGUAUGGAGUGUUGAAAAUGAAGUGGCGCAUAUUGUUGGACAUCCCGGAAACAGUGCCUGCGCCGGAGAGUGCGUACAUGGCAAGCAUGAAUGCAUUCCGAGACAUGCUUGCUGAACAUUUGUUUGCUAGGUCUUGAAUAAUUUGUGUUUGAGGACAUGUAAUUGUUUAUGUACUUUGUGAUUCGGUGUAAUAAUUUUCGGUGUUGUUAAUCUGUAAUAAUUUGCGGUGCACUUGAGAAUAUUUUCGUUGAAUUUUUGUUGUUGAAACAGUAAUGAAUUGUGUUGUCAUUUGGCUGGGUCAGUGCAUUUUUUGGAGGACAACAUGCAUGGGCCAAUGCUGAAUUGUGUUGUAAUGGUGAAACAGUGCCUGGUAUAAUGAUUCAACAGUGUAUUGCAAAGUUUGGGGGGGCACCAGUUUGGAGCUCCAGAAUUUGGCAUGCAAGCCAAAUUUCGGCUGCACAGUAACUCCCAAGUUGGGAGGUCCCAACUUGGGCAACUAAACAUGGCCAAGGUCAAAACUUGCCAGCAGCACAGGCUCCAAGGUGGCCUUGCCCCUCAUCCAAACUCCUAGCUCACUUCCUCUCGUAGCUGAGCAAGGCAACACACAUGUGGACCUGUUCGGCUGGACUUAUAAGCCGGCUGAAAAGCUGAAACGGCUGAUUUGUUGUGAGAGAAAAACACUAUUCGGUGACUGAUAAGCCGGCUGAUAAGCUGAAGCGAACACACAAAAAAAAACAUUAACGACAUCUCUAGCAUUUCUUGCAUAUAUUUUCAUGGAAAAAGAAACAUUCUUACUUGUAGGCUAGCGGGUGGCCUUAGAUUGACGAGUGUUAGAGAUAGAGUCAAUGUAAAUGUAAACGUAUCUUAGGUGUGUGCGCCAGGACUCUUAGGUAGUUUGGAUGGUGUAUAUCUCCCGUAGAGAUAAACCGCUUGAUUUUUUUGUAACUAGAAUAUCUAGAUGAGUCCCGGCCAAGCAACUCAGGGAUAAAUAUGUAACUCAUGCGUGCGUAAUGAUUAGCACGCCAAUUAACAUGCAAUCACCGCUCAGCCUGAGUUUGGGUGUCGGUGUUCCACCUAUCCGCUCCUCUGAUUUUACAAGGAGGACUGACCGAAAACAGAUGAGCUUCCUUGUGUCAGUUUUACAUGAAAUUCAACUUAGGAAGUUAGCUAGGGAAUAUGUAACAGAUUUAGGAGUUUUGUUACAAUGGUUGUAAAGUACCGAUUAGUAUUUCCAAGUAUCUUUUUUUUGUAAAUUUUUGCUCGGCGUUGAUCCGAGGAAUGUAUAAAUUUAUGCAUUGAUUGUUUGUCUUGUUGUCGAGCUGAGCAAUGUAUAAAUUUUUUAGUAAAUCGGCUGUGAUUGUGGUGGACAGAACUCUCUAACUCGGCUGGGGGCCUGGCCUUUUGUAGUUGUAGAUGUGUUGAUUUUUUUAGUUCGCUGUGCUAGGCAGUGAAUCUGGACUGUUGCAAAUGCGGGAACAAACUUUGAAGAUUUGAGGAAUUCCUGGAUUAAAUUAGCUUGAUUUGCUUCGUCGCUGGGAAAAAAGAGGGACGGGAAAAGAUUAAUCAAACAAAACCUAAACAUGUUUGUAUCAGUAUUCCUGUAAACAAUUUGCACAGCAGUGAUUACUGAACCUUCACAAUCCUGAUUGCCCUCCCCUUCCGUGUUUACUCCGCUGCGAUACCAUACAUCCGUCAUCGGCCUUCCCUCCUCAUUCUACUGGGCAUUCGUACAAAAAAAAAUUGAAAAGCCAGUGGCAAAUUUGCAAAUGCACCUAUUUCCAAAUUCAGCUAGGAUGAAAGGUAGUCUCGCGCACAUAACGCCUAGAAACGGACAGCAGGGCUAACUUUUCCGAAAAGGACGGUAUAUUAGUCUAUAUUUGAUACAGUGCCAGGAGCAUGACCCCUCAAAGAUUUAAGCAAAAAAAAAAGGUGCUGCUUGCUAAAUAACAAAAUCUUCGGGGCUUCCUUGAGGAAAGUAUAAUGUCAGCUUGGCCUAGGAGCACCAAGCUCAAGUGAGGCACAUUGCAUGGCUUCCCUUCAUAGUGCUUUGCUGUAGAUUCGACUCCAAUGGCAUUCCAGCCUGUAGUAACCCAACGCAAACAUGUAUAUAUACUUACAGGUACGCAAAGUCACCACUACGCUGGAAUAAUCAACGGAUGGGAGGCGUCUUUGUCCGAUUCUUGCACUGAAUGAUAAAUACUCCUAUAUUCAUCCAAAAAGCAUCCCACAGUCCUGAAAACGAUGAUGAAAGAGUUCAGUGCAGCACUCAGCAACCUUAAUCCCAAAAGUUCAUAACAGAGUUUCAGUAUAACAUGCAUAAGGAAAAUGCUGUCUUCUUUUGAACAACAAUUGCCCUUUUUUACUGAUGAACAAACAUGCUACACAUCAAAUGCAUUGAGGAAACAGAGGUAUCAAUUGUAAACAUACCCCGGUUGUAAAUAGGAACAAUCCUCAAUUAACAUAAUUAACAAACAUGAUUAUGGUAAAGCAUUGUUUAAUCACUGCCAAAACACAACCAGGGACUUUAAACUCAACUGAUGGAUGGGUUUUACACAUGAAAAUGAAGCUGCUACAGUAUAGCUUUAUUACUUACAAGCAUAUGUAAUAAUAUUUCAGAUAACCCGGCAAAUGAUAUCUCUAUCUCAUAAAAUCCGAAUACACCAAAAAAAGGAAACAAAUUCAUCUUCAUUGCCAGUAACAACUUGCCUAAUCAUCCAGGAACCACAGCAUAACCAACUUAACCUCUUGCCGAGAAUGUUUCCCAUGCUAGUUUGAAAAAGAAAGGAACUAAAAUAGACACGUCCGGAAAGGAGGCCACUUAAUCUGACAGAUGAUUCUCCAAUACGAAAAGAAGCCCAUACGUGGUGCACUAAUCAUGACAAUACAUGGCAAGGCAUUGGAAGUUUGACGGUAAAUUGUUAGUACCAGCUAAACAUAUAAUCCAACAAGCCCACAAAGGCACAAACUGAAGAUUUCUAAAUUCACAACUAUUACUGCUCUAGCCUGAACAUGUAUGAUACUUGUUCCACACAUCAGUUCUUCAACUAAAACUUCAAUCAGCGCAAACCAUGCUUCAUGCUAAUUGCAUCACAUAACAGGCUACCUCAUAAAACUAUUACAAAAUUACAUUGUGAGUUGUGACUGGUAAAUCAAGGAAGCCAAGUAAUAGAUAACCUCAGUUUGAAGCCAAGAAUAAAAUAGGGUCUGCAGAGUAGGCCUCCAACAGAAUACAGGAAAACAGAUCAUCAAUCAUAAAUGGUCGAUGCUAGGUUUAACGACACGCAUGGAAAUGCAAAUUGGUUUGACAACAGAGAGCCACAAAAGCAAGAGGUCCAACAAUGUGCUCACAAUUUUGUUUGGGUCAUGAAAGAUGGGAACAAAACCCCAAGUAUGCUGUUUACACAAUCAAAGAACGCAAUGGAAAUCACUAAUAUCACUAAAAUGAGAAACAAAUACUUUCAUAGCUAAACAAAUCCACCCAGAACUACACCAUUUAAGGAAAGUACGCUAUAACUUCCAAUUUAAUGAUGAACCAAACCCAAAUUCACCUAUGCAUCUAUCACUUCCAUUUUUGGUAAUAAUUAUCCUUUUAUGUUCCAGUUUAGAAAAGCAGCAUUUGUAGCUUAUCAGUUCUAUUUUUGGCAACAAUUAUCCUUGUGUGUUUCCACUUUACAGAAAAUACAUUUGUUAGUUUUAGAUGUUGUUAUUACACUGCGCAUCAUUAACCUUUCAGUAUUUUGGCGGUAAUUAAACACAUAAAUCUUAUUUGGAACUGCAAAGUGGAAUUUUACCUGCCAUAAGGGUGGAACUCUCUGGAACUGAAUCCGUGAUGCUCAGAACGAGUUCAUUUCAAGGCAAUACGGCCUUCUCUUGAGAAGCACCUUUGCUGCAGUUCGAUAUGGCUCCUCAAAGGCCUCUGAAACCCAACAUGUACCGACAGAACCAGCAGUCCCAACCCCUUGACCCUCCCCCCUCAAGGCAUCUUCGCUUGGUCUGAUCGCCACCAGCGUGGCACCCUUCAGCAGCAUUCCCCCAGGCAGCUCGAUGAGCGGCGCGUAGUGCAGUCGCAUGCUGAGCGCCGGCAUGAGCGUGCGAUGCGAGCUUGCUGACGCCGAGACGGGCCGCACCCUCAGCUCCUGAAGCUGCCUCUUGUCCAUGGUGAGCUCCCCCUGUCCGUCAGCGUCAGUGAGGUUCAAACUCUCCAGCGUUGCGUGAUUAGAAAUUAUCGGCUGCAGCAAGUAAUGCCUCGCCGACGCAGCAAUCAGCGAGCUGAUGGUCCAGACGACGCGAAGCUUGAGGCCUCCAUUGGUAUAGAGCGAUUCAGGCACGCUCCCCAGGUCUUCAGUCUCCCUGUUGGGAUCGGGUGAGGUGUCCGUGCUGUCGGCGGCGUCAGUUUCGGGCUGAGCAGACGGCGACGUCGUCUUGGACGAGACCGACGAGGCCCCGAGGAUGACGCAGCUGCCGAGGGUGGAGCCGAAAUCGGCCUUCCACUUGAGGAGCACGCCUUCGUCGAUGCCGAGCUCGCCCGAGGGCAGCUCGAUGUGGAGGCGGCGGAGCUCCUUGAAGGAGCGGAGCACCUCGGAGGGCGAAUGGUGGGAGACGUCCGCGGCGGGCGCGGGCGGGGAGGCGGGCUGCGGCUCGGAGCGGCGGGAGACGGCCGCGGCGGCGGGGGAGAGGAUCUGGCCGAGCGCGUGGAUGGGCCUGGCGAUGCCGCCGAGCAGGACGCGCGCGAUGUGCGCGAGCGCGCCGCGCCCUCGCGCGGCCGGCGCCUGGUGCUGCUGCUGCUGGUGCUGCGGGGAGCCGGGUGCCGGGGGCGCGGGGUGCGGCGGGUCGUCGGGGAUGACGCAGUCGACGCGGACGAAGACGGAGUCGACGAGCGGGACGAGCGCGUGGAAGCGGCGCGAGACGAGGGCGCAGCGGCCCAGCGCCUUGACGUCGCCGAUGCGGUUGAGGACGUCGAGCAGCACCGCGUCGUGGAGCCGGUCGAACUGGUCCCCGGCCUCGGCCUCCGCCCCGCCGCACGGGCAACCCUCCUCCGCCUCCUCCUGCUGCUGCCGCCCCGCCUCCAUCCGCUCACCCACGCGGCCACGCAGAUCGGGAUCCGGACUGAGAGAGUCGUCGGUGCGGCGCGGCGAGGGGCGGAGAGCCGGUCGGCCGCGGGGCUGCCUCGGGGACUCCGAUUAGAUUCCCCUGCGGCGGAUUGCUGGCUGGUAGCCUGGAGCCUGGUAGUCGGCACGGCACGGCUCACGGCUGGACUCCUGCGAGUGCGAGAGAGGAGAGGGGGUCACGGGUAAUCGGGGGGAUCGGCUCUCGUGUGUGGGGUGACUGGGUGAGGGGUGCGCGUGCGGACGAUGAGGUGUCAGCCGGGGACUGGGAGUUAAGCUGGUACCCGUGGUGGGGGUGCGUGGGAUCAGGGUCACGGCGGUGUCAGCGUGGUGGUGGGUUUCUGGUGCAGGCCGCGCUGGGAGCCUGGGAGGGGGCGGUGCGAGCGACCUGCACAGGCAGAGGCACCCAACGUCCCAACCCAAGCAACGGCCAACGGGGACGUCUCAGCGCGCUGGCUCCGGCAAGUGGCUGGACUGGAAGCCCGGACCUGAAACGAGAGCAAAGCAAAGAGGCCGUCGCUCUCCGGGUGAAAUUCCGACGGCAACGGCCGCGAUCCACCACCGCCAGCCACCGCCACCAACGGGAUAGGAUGAAUGGACGAUCCGUUGGCUGGCAGUGGCAGGCUUACCCCUGGGCGGGGGAAGCACACGCAAAAGCAUCGCACUCGCAGCGGCAGCGACCUGUGGGUGGCGUGAAAGCGAGGGAAACCCGAUAGGGACCGGUCGCUCGGGCAGCACUGCACAGCAGCGCGUGCGCCCGCGCCUGUGGCGCUGCGCAAGCGUGCCGAGCCUGGUGUGCUUGUCCCCCCGCCCCACGCCCGCCCGAGCCGUCCGAUCCUCGACGCCGACGGCUGAGCGUACGGCCGGUGCAUCUCGUUCUCAGGUGCUUUUGACUUUGCACGUUUGUGGGAAGUGGGGAGGAGGGAUCUUAGGAAAGGGCGAUUAGUUUAAACAAACCCGGCUGUUGUCAGAGCAGAGCAGCAACCAGUUGGAUGAGCGGAGCGGAUCACAGGCCAUGUUUAGUUACCCUAACUCCCAACUUUGACACUAUGCAAAAAGAAGAUUCCCCGUCACAUCAAACUUGCGGUACAUGCAUGGAGUACUAAAUGUAGAUGAAAUUAAAAACUAAUUGCACAGUUUUGUUGUACUUUGCGAGACGAAUCUUUUGAGCCUAAUUAGUCAAUAUUUGGACAAUAAUUCACAAAUACAAACGAAACGCUACAGUGUGCUACAGUGCUGUAACAGUAAUUUGACACCUCCCAAAUUGGCCAACUAAACAAGGUCACAGAUUAGAUGCAGACAAAGUGUUCAGAUUCAACGCUGCCGAGGUGUCAGGAGUCGGCACUCGGCAGAAGGAAUCUGGCGCGGGUUAAACUAGUUCACCGCCUGCAAGACGACCGACGCCGGCUGCACUCUGCGCAGCUCGAUUGACCUGACUGUUGGGGAUCACUGAACCCCUCGCACAUCGCACUCUCUGCCUGUGCAAGCGAUGUGAGGGGGAGUUACCGACGACUCGUGCGAGGACAAAGAAGCGCUGCGUCAUUUGGCGAGGGGUGUGGAGUUGGGGGAUGAUUGGUUUCGUUUACGCACUCCAUGGAGGAGUGUCAUCGACGCAAACUUCGCCCUCAAGCGACUGCGCAAGUAACCCAAUGUGCCGGCAUGAUCAUGUCUCCAUCGAGUCUCGAACGCUUCCAAUGAGUGGGUUGAUUGCUUGCUUCUUGUGGUGUGUGCUUGAUGUCAGAUCCAAUCAUCGGCAGCGUGAGGUAAGGCAAUGGCAACCCACACGACGAGGGAUUUCCGCGGUUGUCUUUUUGCUCGCAGUUCCUAGAUUCUUUAGUUGGGCUAAACAUGUUGGCUACCCACCACAUACAUUGCGCACGGUGGCCUAUUGUUGCUCCCUCUAAAGAAACUAUUGGGCCUUCCCAACACUCGGCAUACUGACGAGUGACGACGAUGAGCCAACUUGAACAAUCUAACUUUCCCCCAAGUGUUCAGUUGAGUCAUUUGGGAAUUGGAAGGAUCCCAUGUUUCGAGCAGCACAUGUGCACCUCAGGAGAGUUUUUACUGAAGCAGCAUUGUUUUGUUUAACAAUGAUUCCAUAUCCAAGAAAGACUACAUCUAAUCUACACAAUCGACUACCCAGAAGUUUCUUGGUUAUUGGUGUUGGUUGUAAAAUAUUUGGUUGCUUGGUACCAAUCCCAACCCAUUGGCAUGGACCGUUCCUUUUGGCACAGCAUGAUACGUGGCAGUUACCACUCACGGGCCACGGCGCUUUAGUAAGAUAUUCCCAAAAAAAAAGAGAGAGAGGAAGAAACCAGAAACCAUAUAUAUGAAAUGGCUGUAGCUGAACCGCAUUUGUAUAGAUUUAUCAGCACUAUAAUUUCCUUGUUAUAGCAAGCCAUCAUUGCAAAACUGCAGGCAAGCACCCAACCCUAAGUAGACCCUGCCUGAAGCCCUCAAGAACUGAACCAUGGUCAAGUUUGACUCUAUGCAAAUAUAAUGAAUUUUUCUAAACUUAAUUAGCUAAUAACUUAUUCCUUUUUCUAAAAAAAUUAGCUUAUAACUUUUCUAGAUUCGACCUAAUUAAAAAGCAUUCAGAAGUGUUCUUGUCCUCGUGAGCAUAAAGUCUUCCAGAGAAAAUUAGCCCGGGUUAGAAUAGGAUGGAAGAAAGACUCACAAGUCAUUUCCAAGUUUAUCCACACCAAUGGCAUCUUGUCAUCACCUUGCAGAAAAAGCCAUUUGAGCGCCUACAUAAGCCCAAUCACUCAUGGCAUGGAGCGCUCUGUACUCUACUACAGAAGCUAAGAAACUUGCAUAGACUCCCUAAUUUUCCCACACCAGUGCAAGAUUGAAGAAGGUAUGCCAUUCCAAUUUAGCUAGAAGUAGAGAGAUUAAGUAGUAGAGAUGCAACAUAUGAUAUUGGAUGCUAAUUGUGUCAAUACUCCAUCAGAAUGCAUAAAGCUGAUAGCCCCUAACGCACAAAAAAAUCGUAUGAGCUAUCUUACAGAGUUACAGCAGAAAAUUAUGUUGUUUAUUUACUGUUUAUAAUCCUAGUCCACUGCGAUUGGAUCUCUUGUUGUUAGCACCUCCACCUCGAAGAGGCCGAGCUGCAGCGUGGCGUUGAUCCACGCGUAGAUCUCGUAGCGGCCGACGAAGUAGGCGCCGUCCAUCAGGCAUCAUGCCGAUGUUGAUCGCCGCCAUCACCGUCCCUAAAGAUCCCAGGCAGAUCGGAAUGUGCCAAGACGGUCUUCACGGCGGCGGUGCUGCAUAUUCCCAAAUCCGGCUUGUCUAGUUCUCGCAAUCGCAUGACUGUGGAAGACCUCACGGGCGGCGAUGGCGAUGCGGCGGUGUGGGGAGGCCGGGUUGGUCCCUGCCAGUGUGAAGAAGAGCUGGUUCACGGCCGCCUACGCUACUGCCAAGAGCCGCACCGGCGCCAUGGUGCGCCUGUGGCGUCGAUGGCAGGAGUGGCAGCGGGGGAGCUGGGGUGGAGAAUGGAGCAGAGGGCCGCGACGGAGGCGGAGGGCGAGACGGUGGAGGCGGAGAAGCCCCGCAGCGGCUUCCCCGGCCCCCGGGACAGCGCCGGCGGCGGGCGCGUCGGAUCUGCCACUGCUGUAGGUGGUGUCAGGGUAGAGCGACGACGCAGAGCAGCAGGACGCCAGGACGGGGGCGAUCGAGCGAACGCUGCCUCGACGAGUCCUGGCGCCGCCGACUUGGUUCGAAUCCGACUCGGAGUCAGACUUCGUUCGCCGCGGGAGACGAGCAGCGGGCUACGGAAACUAGAGAAACUCUUCUAUCCGACAAUCCGAUUCCGACUCCUGUUCACCCUUCACGCGCUAUAUAGUCGGUAGUCGCCCGAUCCUCUCCCCUCUAGGCCUCUCACAAUUUCCCGGCUGCGAACGCGCAAUGGAGGCAGCAGCAGCGUCCACGGCAUCCAAGUUGGGCCUUCCGCCAGGCUUCCGCUUCGUGCCCACCGACGAGGAGGUGGUCGUGCACUACCUCCUCCGUCGCAUCCAGAACCAGCCCCUCCCGGUCGGCGACAUCCUCGACGACGACCCGCUGAGCGCGCCUCCGUGGCUCCUCCUCGCGAAGCACGGGCGGAAGGGAGACGCGUUCUUCUUCGCGGAGGGGCAGGCCAUGAAAGGUAAGGGCAGCCGCCAGAAGAGGAGCUGCGCGGGCGGCGGGACCUGGGAAGGCCAGGGCCAGAGGAAGGCUGCCAAGGGCCGCGAGGGCGAGAAGCUGCGCGUGCGCGUGGACGGCGAGGAGAUCGAGUGGCGGAAGUACGCGCUCAACUUCCAGGGGGAAGUAAUCAAGGGCAGCACGGGCUGGGUCAUGCACGAGUACUCCAUCACCGCGCCGCCCGAGCUCGCCGCGUCGCCGGUGAGGGUGUACCGCAUCCGCUUCAGCGGCCACGGCAAGAACGCCCAGAAGCGCAAGAGGAAUGAGAUCGACUGGGCCAGCGACGAGGAAGAGGAGGUGUACCAAGGCGCGGCACGCGCCGCGGCCCGUCCCGCGGUGGCAGAGCCCGAUGCGCUGUUCGUCGGCGGGUGCCCGUCAGCACCGCAGCCCGAGCCCGUCAGCUAUCUACCCGUUCCAGUGGUGGCGGGGUCUGAUGCUCUGUUCGUCGGUGGGUGCCCGUCGGCGCCGCAGCUCGGGCCCGUCAGCUAUCUUCCCAUGGCGCCGGUGUAUGUUGGCAAUGGCAAUCUUGCUGAAUGGACGGGAACCGGAGCGGGCGGUGCGUUGUCGGCGGCGACGUCGUCGUUGGCUCAGGACCUGCCGGCGCUGGUGGACGGCGGCGGCGAGGACUGGAACUUCAUAUUCUCCUCGGAUGAUUUGCUGCCCGGUUUCGAGUUCUCAGGAGCGGCUGAUGCUGGAGCCAUGUCAGCCCCGAUGGUGCCAGCUGCAUGAUCAAACACGUCGAUUGUCGCUAACUGCUUGUGAUUUGUCGUUGUAGCUUGAGAUAGCGAAUUGCUGGAUGUGCUGAUUUUGUGCGCGGAGAGCGUCUCUUCAGUUUGUAUGUGCUUCCUCUGGGUUUGUACCGUGGUUAACAUUCUUGACUUGUUCGAAGAACAAGAUUCGAUUUUUAGUCUCAAAUUCCAUUGCCCUGUUUUCGACUAAUUUCAUUUCUACGUAGCAGAAUAUAAUGUGUGGUACUGAGAGAACCAUGGAUUUUAAGUUGCAUCGCUGCAUUGGUCUCCCAUCAGCUCGUGACAUGGCAGAGUUCGUCAUGGGGCUCUGUUUUUUUCCUGUCCGGAAAGAAACUGUUACGAUAUGUAAACGAUGAAACACGUUGUGAGUUCCACCGGACGAAUUCAUCCACCGCCGCCCAAAAAUAAGAAAUGCUUCUACGCUCAUGUUUGGGUAUGAAUAUUGUUGAUCGUGGGGCACGGUAUUGUCGCAUGGUCCGGGUAGAUUAUAAGCAUGUUUUGCCCGUAACUGGAAGGUUCGAAUCAUGCUUAUAUCCCUGCGAUUCUCCUAGGUAGCCAUGAUUUCAGAGUUCAGACUCUGCCAUGUUUCAGUUCUUCAGGUGUGAUGGUUUAACUGCGUAAUCUGGUGUUGUAGCUUGGGAUGGCGAAUUUGCUAUGUCGGUUGAUUUUGUGCGUGGAGAGCCUUUCGUCAGAAGAUUCGCCAAUUCGUGUUUGAGUUUGUAACUUUGUAUAAUGGCUGAAGUUACAUUCUUGAGUUGAACGAAGGAAUGAUAUUUGAUGCAGUCAUGUUUUGUGUUGGUUUAUUGGAUCAUUGGCAGGUGUUUGGUAUUUUGGACUUCUGCUAUCUUUUCGUAUUUGCCUUGUUUCUACAUAACGGAAUAUGAUGUGUGAUACUGAGAGAACCAUGAAAUGUGAGUUAUGGCGUUGUAAGUUGCAUCAGCUGCAUUAUUAAUCGACCCAAAAAGACAUAAUUAAUCGAUUGUCUCCUUGUUUUAAGCAUGGCAGAGUACAGAGUUUAUCUCAGAGCCCUGUAUUUCCCCCCUAAAUUGUAGAGGUUCACUGCUGUGAUGCUGUGUCUACUCUCCAGUUCCUACAGUACGCAACAUCCUACAGCCGACUGGAUGAGUGGAUGACUGAGCAUGAGCCCAGCUGUACCUGAUCUUUUUUAUUUCAGGCUGUAUUGCCAAUGUUCCAGCAAAACUACCGUUGACAACAACAUGAUAAGUUGAUUUGCAAUUAGUCGAUUCAUCAUACGAGGAACUUUCUCAACAGCUUGGGGAAUUAGAGCUCAAAAUGGCCAAAGUAGCGUGCCUGUUUUUUCUUUAUAAAUCUUGAUAUAGUAGGGACGUCACCUUGGAUGAUUAUCUGGCCAUCUUCCAUAUAAAUAGCACCAUCCGCGUAUUUCAAUUCUUCCAGCCGAUGGGUCACCCAUAAUGCGGCGACCUCCCCAUCAGCAACUAGAGAGUUCCUUACUGCCUUUAUCACACCCAUCUGCAAUUGCAGAAAACGGAGAUUAGAGCACUCAUGGUAAUAGGACUGCCACUAACUGCAUAAUAGACACAGCAAAAUGAUUACCAAAUGCAAACUCUUUCAUCAGAUCGUUUGGCAUAAAUGGUUACAGUGCAAGUAGCCGUACCUUAUAUAAGGCAUGAUGAUAAACAAAGUACUGGAAGGAACAUGAAAGGGAGAGCAAUGCAGCACUCACUGAAUCAUGAAACCCAGAAAAUGAAGGUCGGUACCUGGUCAUGUUCAUCUAAGAAUGUUGUCAGCUCGUCCAGCAGUAAUACUUUGGAUGCUUCAGCUAAAGCACCAGCAAUUGCAACUCUCUGCUUCUGCCCACCACUCAGGGUUUGGAUUGGCCUCUGUUUUGGAUGAAGGAUGUUUAUGAACCAUGUGAAGAUAUUAGAUUAUAAUCCAGAAGGUGGAUUUCAGUUGCCUACUUGAGAGUAGCUCAACAUCCCGACAGCAUCUAAAGAUUUUGACACCCUUGACCUGACCUCAUCUAAUGGAAGGUUGAGCUUACCAAGACCAAAUGCAACAUCAGAUUCCACUGUAGGCAUCACAACCUGCGUACAAAAGGUUAGAACUCAACAGGUAGUAGAUACUGAGAAAUACAUUGUUUUUGCAUAUAAGGAAAUGGCACAUGCAAUCUAGAAAUGUCUUUUGUACAUCCUACAACACAUUUGAUUCCAAUGCAUGCAUUGAGUGAUCAACAUAAAUGUAUGGUUUGUCAAGGAAACGGAAGGUCACAGAGUUUUAUGUAUAGUAGCCCUAGGCCAUAGGCAAGAUUUGGUUCAAAAUGACCCUUAUGCAUGUAAUGUUCCGAACAAAGAAGGCUAUUCAGGAACACAAAACUAGAUUCACAAGUGAUGGCCCUUUUUUUUCCCUUGCAUGAUUAAAGAAUACGUCUAUCAUGAAGACUUCUUAGUUCUUACCAGUGACCUCACCAUAUUAUAAUCAGUCACACGACGCACUAAUGCUAGAAAACAAAGCUCUGAGUAAUUAUUGUGUGAAUUUUGGUGCUCCGGUAGGAGAUGCAUACAAAAGCUUUUAUGUGACAAAUUGGCUGUGUCUAUGACAUAGUUCUCAACCACAUGGUUACUCGUCCAAUACAAAACAAAAUAGCCAAGAGAUGCUCAGAGUUUAACGCGUAAGCUGAUACAGGGUACACUGGAAUCAAUAGAUGUUAUAUGAGAACUUGUGUCAACACUACUUCAGAUUUCUUUAAAUGUAGUGUGAACAUUUCGAAACUAUUAGCAAAUUAAAAGUCACCACCUGGUGAUCAGGAUUUUGGAAGACGUAGCUGCAUGGCCCAUUUAUAUACACAGUACCAGCCGAUGGAUUUAGAAAACCUGCUAAAACCUGGAAAAGCAUGCUGUUAGUAUUUAUUUCCAGUGACACUAAUAGGAAAUUGAUAAGCAACAUUCUCAAAGGCCCGCUGCCUAUUAUUACCUUCCAUUAGUUAUAGUAGGAAUAUUAGGAUUUGAAAAGGCCUUUAGAGGUACGCUUUGACCACCUAUUUUUCUUACAAUAUAUCAUCAAUUGCAGCAAAAUUAAUGCCAUUUUAAAGGUAUUUGAAAUAUGAUUCUAUUCGUAUUUAUACACUAAGCAUGCAUGUAAUUUGACUAUUUGUUGGUCAAAAUUUAGGAAGCUUGACUUCAUAAAAUUAUAGACGCCUACUACAAACAAACACAAGUAAUUAUGAAUGAGCACAAUGCAAGUAGCAAACAAAUUUACAAAGGCAAGAACAUAAGGUAUCUUGUAAAACCAAUUCAUGUCCAUGCCUUCAACAUGAGAUCCUUUUUUAAAAUUAUAAUGAACUCACCAAAAUUAUAUUAUGGCACAAAAAAGGGUACAAAUUAACCUUGCCUAACUGCCAUUCAUUGCUCGAGCAAUAUCAUAUUCAUAUCUACCAAGUAAGUUGGGCACUGCGCACAUCAGAAUAUCCAACACUUAUCUAGUAUAACAUAUUCGCUGUUGAAUCGUAGUAAUACAUAACCUGUUAUAUCGCUUAAGUCGGAGAGAUUCAGUUCUGAGCCCAAUUCUCAGCGCUCUAUGAAUAAAAUGAAAACACGAUAUGGUGUCUCCUAGUUCAGAGGAGGAACCUUGAGCAGGGUGGACUUGCCACAGCCGUUGGGGCCGAGGAGCAUCCAGAGCUGCCCGGGCGGCACGUGGAGGGAGCAGCCCUUGAGCACCGGCAGAACCCGCCCCCGCCGCGUCGUCACCGAGAGCCCGACGUCGCGGCCCUCGAUGGCCGGCGCGGCAGGCGGAGGGGAGGCCGAGGCACGCGCCCGUAGGCUUCGACGAUGAGGAGCCUCCAGGAUGGGUCGAACGUUGGUGGGGGAGGAGGACGCGGAGGGGCAGCAGCGGAGGGGUCCGCCGACGCUGGCGGCGAGGCCGUGCGCCAUCUCGGCAUGCGGAGAACAGAGGGAUGAGUGCCUGGAAGGCUGGAAGGGCCCGAUCUGUCAGGUCUUUCGUUGAGAGAUGGGCUGGGCCAACGUGGGCCGGUGGCUCACUGUUGCGCGAAGAAGCCCACGAGGUCUGAUCGAGUCACUUUCCAAAUUGGUGAAGUGGCAAAACCGUCGUGAAUGAGAUUUUUAUUAAAAAGAAGGACCUCCUGAAUGAGAUUUUUUUUGAACGGAAAGGGCACGAGAGUGUGCCUAUUCAUUGAUAUAGAGGGAAUACAACCGUCGGAGCGGUCAAGUGCUUAAAAGAAAAAGGAACGGCAAAAAAACGGCAAAAACGGCGUAUGGGGUCGUAGCGUUGUGAUUACGGUAACAGGGCCGCUAGGUCUCUUGCUCCCGCUGUGAUCCACAUAUUGGCUGAGGACUUUAUCUUUGCCAGCAGUUGCGUUGUCGAUGAGCCCUUGUGGCGGAAGACACGUGAGUUUCGCUCAAUCCAUAGCUCCCACAUAACCAGCAGGGUUAGGCUUCUAUACGCUUUACGUGGGGUCCCUGGUGUUGAGUUGAUGCCAAGCCACCAGUCGAUGGCCUUUGUGCUGUGGUUCCAUUGCUCCGGUUGCAGGUUACCUUGUGAUAGCCAUUGGCCUAUGAGUUUCCAAACCUGCUUUGUGUAUCUGCAUUCAGCUAGUAGGUGAUGCGCCGUCUCCAUCAUGCAGCGGCAUAGGGUGCAGGUGGGAGUAUAGUCCCAGCCCCGCUGUGCUAGUCUGUCCGAGGUCCAGACCCUGUUUUGGAGGAUGAGCCAGGCGAAAAUUUUGCAUUUUGCCGGUGCCCAAGUUUGCCACACUGUUGCCAGAUCUGGCGUUCUGAUGCUCCCUAGUAAUUGGGCCCUGUAUGCUGAAGCUGAGGUGUAUUGACCGCUGUUGGUGAAUUUCCAUGUAAUUGCGUCCUCUUGGUCCGGAUUGAGCUGGUAUCGUUGGAUUAGGGGCCAUAAUGUGACGAAUUCGCGGAGAAGAGAGGUUGUGAAGCCUGUUCUGUGCUGUAAGUCUCUAAUCCAGUUGUUAUGGUGGAAGGCCUCCCGUACUGUCUUCUUUUUCCUUUUGGUUUUCGCGUAGAGAUGUGGAGCGAUGUCCUUUGGUCGUCUCCCUGCGACCCAUGCAUCUAGCCAGAAGCGUGUGUUGGCUCCAUUGCCGAGUGUGAUCGUCGUACAUGCCGCAAAAAGGAGUCUAUCUUUUUCGUCACAGGGUGUAUCUGUUCCGAUCCACUUCUUUUCCGGGGAAGCCCAUGCAUGCCAUAGCCAUCUCAGUCGAAGCGCUCUUGCAAACUUGUGAAGGUCGAGGAUUCCGACGCCGCCAUGUUUUUUCGGAAGAGUUGUCCUCGUCCAGUUGAUUUUGCAUUUGCCGCCAGUAAGUUCUUUGUCCCCUGCCCAUAGGAAGCGUUUCCUGAUUUUAUCAAUGUCUUCUAGUACCUCCUUGGGCGUUCUUAGGGCCGUCAGCGUGUAGAUGGGUUGUGAGGAUAGCACAGAUUUGGUGAGACAUAAUCUGCCAGCAUGCGUGAGAUUUCUGCCCUUCCAUUUUGAGAGUUUGCUCGCCACCUUGUCGAUCAGAGGCUGGAAGUCAAUGCGACGUAGACGGUCGACCGUUAGUGGGAGGCCAAGGUAUUUUAUUGGGAAGUUCCUCCUUGCAACCGGGAGGUCACUGAGGAGCUCCUGGAAGGUAUCGUUUGAGCAGCUGAUCGGUGUGACACUCGUUUUUUGGAUGUUCGUAUUGAGACCCGUCGCUUCUCCGAAUUUUUGGAGGAGAGUCUUCAAGUUUGUGAUGUCCCGUAUGGAAGGUUUGACAAAGAUCACGGCAUCAUCGGCGUACAUGGAUGUUCUCAUAACUGUUGCACGGUUGUUGAGUUUUUGCAGCAGUUUCUUCUCCGUGGCCGCUGAUAGCAGGUAUUGUAGAGGGUCAAUUGCAAGGAUGAAGAGGAGCGGCGAGAGAGGGUCGCCCUGGCGGAGUCCUCUUCCAUGUUGUAUGUGGUCCAGCGGAAAUCCAUUGAGGGAGACUCGUGAUGUUGACGUAGUGAGGAUUGCCGCGAUCCAGUCUCUCCAUUUUGGUGGGAAUCCUCUGUGUUGCAUCAGGGUGAGGAGGUAGUCCCAGCGUACCGAGUCGAAAGCCUUGGAUAUGUCAAGCUUCAUGAGCAAGGUCGGUUGCUUACGUCUGUGGAAGCGGCGUGCUAGGUGCUGGACGUAUAAGAAAUUAUCGUGGAUGCUUCGUCCUUUUAUGAAGGCGCUUUGGCAGGGUGAGACAAGUUUGUGCAUGAGAGGAGCUAGUCGCAGAGCCAGGGUCUUUGUUAUAAUCUUCGCUAUGGCAUGUAUGAGGCUAAUGGGUCUGUAGUCUGCGAUGCACUCCGCCCCUUCCUUUUUGGGUAUUAGGAUAAUUGUGGCUUUAUUGAGGAGGUUGAGAUCGGCGCAGCGGGAGUUAAAAAAGGAGGAUACCGCCGCCAUGAGGUCAUUUUUGAUAGUCUCCCAACAGGUGGUGAAGAAGAGGCCUGUGAAGCCAUCUGGACCAGGCGCUUUGUUUUUUGGCAUCUGGGAGACGGCCUGUCGGAUCUCCUCUUCAGUGAAGGGGUUGUCGAGCGUUGAUAGGUCGACUGUCGGGAGAGCAAGGGCUGGCCAGUUGAGGUCGAGCGUCCGACGUGGCGGAUCCUGCAUGACCUUUUGGAAAUGAUCUUGAACGAUCAGUAGUUUGUCAUUAUGGGUAAGUGCCCAGCCGUUGUUGUCGCGGCGUAACUUCUGAAUGUAGUUUUUCCUUCUUCUGCCAUUAGCUUUAAGGUGAAAAAAACUUGUGUUGGCAUCUCCUUCUUUGAGAUAAGUUACUCUGGAACAUUGCUUUUUCCUGGCUUUUUCUAUGACGGUCCACCCCAUGAGCCUCUGUUUCAGUUUGCCCCGUAGUAGUGUUUCUGUCGAAGAUAACUCGCGUGUAUCCUGGGCUUCGUCUAGCCGUAAAAUCACCUCCUGAGCCAUGUGUAUCUUCAUUCGUGUAUCUGAAAGCAUUGAUCUGCUCCAGUGUCGUAGCGCCUGCGACGUGAUAUAAAGUUUAUGUCCCAGUCUAUGAAAAGGUUCCGUGUGAUGGGUCGGUGUGUUCCAGGCCGUGGAAACAAUUUCUUGGAAAUGUGGUAGCCGUACCCAGAAAUUUUCAAAUUUGAAGGUUGCAGGUCGGCGUAUAUCAGCGUGGUUAGUUAGUAGCAGGGGGCAGUGAUCCGAGUGGGAUGAAGAUAGCGCGUGUAAUAGGCUAUUGUCGAAUCGGAGAUCCCAAUUUUGAUUACAGAAGAUGCGGUCUAGGCGGAUUAAAGUUGGCGUUCUUCGUUCAUUACUCCACGUGUAUUUCCUGUUUUGCAGGUUGAUUUCCUUUAAGCCGCAGUAAUUGAUGGUGUUUCUGAAGCUAUUCAUGAGCCGCCGGUUGAUGUUGGUGUUAUUUUUAUCUCUUGCCCGGUAGAUUAAAUUGAAGUCCCCAAGGAUUAUCCACUUGGUGUCGUCGGAGGGUUUAAGAGAUCGCAUGUGUCGUAGAAAGGAUUCUUUCUCGUGACGUCUGGCCGGGCCGUAUACCGUAGUGAGCGUAAAGGUGGUCAUGCAGUGACGAAUGGUGACCUCUGCCGUUAUGGAGAAACGGCCAGUGGUUAUGUUUUGAAGCUGUACUGCCGUAUCGUCCCAGAGAAGGAGGAUUCCUCCUCUCGUACCUGCCGCCGGUUUGUAUGCGAAGUUGUCUAAUUUGUUGGCGCCCAGAAAGGAGGCCAGACUCGAGUCGAUGGAUUGUAGUUUAGUUUCUUGCAAGCAUGCAAUUUGGCACGGUGUCGAUCUCAUGAAGUCAUGCACUGUUAGACAACGGGCUGGUGCGUUUAGGCCCCGUAUGUUCCAUGAUAGGAUAGCCAGAUUGUCGUAUGUCAUGGGGCAGAUGUUGGGCGCGCGGGGUGUAGUGUAUGACGGUGAUCGUCGCAAGUUAAAGCGGUAUCAUAUGUGUAGACGGAUUCGAUGACGGUUGUUGACGUGCGGUUGACGUAGGCGGUCGGGCCUCCUAGCUUUAGGGAGGUGCGCAGGUUCGUGGUACAUGGAAAUGCCCGAAGGUCGAAGCCAGCAGGGCAUGGAAAUGUAGGAGCCCGAAGGUCGCAGCCAGCAGGGCGUGGAAAGGUAGAAGCCCGAAGGUCGCAGCCAGCAGGGCUUUGCAGUACUGAUACAAAUAAGAGGAUAACUGUCAUGUAGUAACGAUAGACGCAGGUAGACGUUCUUUUCGGGCCGAGUCGCGGACACCCAUUAAUCAAGCUGUGGUUCCGCCGCAGCCGUGCCCGCGUGGUGCAAGAGCGCAUCUUCUAUCAUGUCCGCCCCAACGUCGUCCAAUUCAAAUAUGGUCGUCAGGGCUGCCACAACGGUCUCCGGAAGAGGGCCCUGGAACAUGGACAGGAAGUCGCGAAGGACCUCGUCAAUGGGAGUUAGCUCUUCGCUGGUUAGUCCCAGUUUCUUGCAUAGGUUUCUUUGUGCCUUUUCAGUCGCCGGCAUGGUUGGCUUCUUUGCGAGUCGUGCACUUCUUCGGACAGCCUUCAUAUCGAAGGUGCGACGCUGUCGUUGGCGAUGCGUUCCGGGUUCCUGGAGUAAUGACGGGGGUGGGAUACAGAAGAGGGAAUCCAUCACACUCAGGUCAGGAUCCCCCUCCCUUACAUUGCACGGUGGAUCUCUUUGGGCGCCGGGGGGAGUGAGGCCCAAGUCAGUGGGCCUUCCCUGGCUCACCUCCUGGCAGGUCGCGUGGGCAGUUUGCCCGGACCCCGGGCCGGCCUGUGACGCCCCGUGGGCCGAUGAGGGAGAUGCUCCGUCCAGGGCGGUGUGGGCCGCGGGCUUCCCCUUCCCCGUGUCCCCAAGGUUGUCGUGCGGCCCAGGGGAGGAGAAGGCCCGAUGGCCCAGCUGUGUCUGUGAGGGAGGUGACCCAGGUAAGGCGAGGUGGCCCGCGGAGCCCCCCCCCAGCAUCCAGCCAUCGGAGCGGCUGGAGCUCAGCCCAGGCGACGUGGGCCGCUGGCCCAGCUGAGGGGUGUGCUGCAACGCUGCCACAGGGGAGAGCGGCCCAACCAAGGAGCCGGCGGCGCGGUCGAUGGCCGUGGCGCCAGGCCCCUCCUCGACGUCCGCCGCGGAUGGCGCUGGAAGGAGUGCCACCCGCUGCAGCGCUGCCCCGGUGGGCAGCGGCCCUUCGUUGAAGACGGCGUCGCGGGCCGUCAUGGAUCGCCUCUGUUUGGUGCCGACGAACAUGGCGUCGAGGGCUUGUUCAACUGCCGCCACCGUCGGCGGUGGUGGCGCCGGGAGCAGCGCCGCCCGCAGAGUGUCGAAGACUCGGGGCAGAGGUAUCGUUGCGGACCAGGCCUUUUCCCCGGAGGAGUUGUCCUCGGAGUCGAGCCGGUCGGCGAUGGCGGCGAAUUUGCGGAUGAAAUCGUCGGCGUCAGUUCCCCUGUUUCUAUCCUUCAAAGCAAAAUCGUUAGCUGGUGAUGUUACCUGGACGUUCCCCGUCAGUGCCGACGCUUGAGCUUGGAAAAGGGCCCGCAGGUGAGAUGGGCUGAAGUUGCUCUGUUCCCGGGCGUGGUGAUGUCCUUGCGGCGGCGCGUAGUUGCGGCGGGGCGGGGAUCUGGUGCGUUCCCGGCGUCCCGAAGGUGCGCAGCCCCAAUAGGCGUCGCCAAACUUGCGCCCGUGACCCGGAUGGUUGUAGUCGUGGUGCACGUCGUCGUCGUCAUCGUCGUCCUCCCCGCGCCGUGGCGGCCAGGUGAAGCCCUGCUUACAGGUCGACUUGUCCGCCCGGUGUUUGUUGCGGUUCCCGUCGACUUGGCGAUGUUGUCGUUCCCGCCCCUGGCCGCCGACAGCCGCGCCUCCGUCGCCGGGAGCUCCGCGGCCGCCGCCUGCGGCCCCGGAGGAGCCGGCUCCUCCGCGGCGGUGGGCAGUCAAUCUUCCAUCUUCAUGGUCGUCGCGGUUCCGUUGCUCAGGUUCCCGCGGCGGUCGCGGCAGCCGAGCCGGGAACCGAGAGCGCGCGUCCGGAGGGGCGCCAUCCACCAACCCAUAGCGCCAUUCGUACCGGCGAUGAAUUGGGGUGAUGUUCUCCGGGUUGGUGACGGCGUGCUCCAGGUUGCGCGCCGCCGCCGUGUAAUCUUCCAGGAGGGGCAUGUGUAUGAAUACUUCAUAACGUGCUCCUUGCUGCCAAGAAGUGGGGGGAGGUUCGGCCGAAACAGAGAAAGCAGAGGAUUUGGUCGCCGGACUGUGAACGAAGGCGAGCCAUACCUUCUUCGGGAUGUCGCUGGGGUCGACCGUCCAUGCCCAGAGCUCGAUGUGGCGUGAGUCCGCCGGCUGGACGAGAUCGGUGACGAUGUUCUGGAGCGCGCAUUUGUUGCCGAUGACGCGCUCGACGAUCUCCGGCGUCCACGCAUGGCUCGGGAUUCCGUCGAGGCAGAGCCGUACUCUGUAGAAGAUGCGGAAGCCGAGGGCGUGGGUGAGGCUACGCCAUGGUCGGAGGCAGAUGUCGAUGCCGCCACCGGUGAAGCGUCCGCGUCGCCGUGCCUCCGCCGCCUGGGUCUCAUUGUCGAAGCGGAUGAGGUAUGGCUCCGGUUGAUGUAGGGUGACGCUGACCUCGCCCUGGCGUAGCCGAAGUUCCCUGCUGAGCAGCCCCGCGAUGUCCCGUGCGCCGGCAUCCGGCGGCAGAUGUAGCGCCCAUGGGACGAGGGCACAGGCCUCCCAAUCUCGAGCGUCGUGGGCGAGGUGGAAGGAGUCGGAGACGAAGACCGUCUCGACCUCCGGGCGCGUAUGCGGGUCACCGAUGGCCAUCGCGUUGGAGGUCUUGCGGCUUGACGGCGGGAGGGGAGCGGCCGAGGAGGGUGGAAAGCACGGCGCUUUGGUGGCCGGGGCGUUGCGCGAGUUGGUGGAUGGGCGAGGCACAGCGAAGGUGGGGUGGUGGCUGGUGUAGGCGCGGUGGCGGGGUGCGGCGGUAGGGGCGGUCCUUUCCUUGCAAACUCUCUCCUUGUGGCCGGAGCGCCGGCAGCGGAAGCAGCGCACCGGGUCACGGCAGAGUGCGGCCCGGUGGUCGGGUGCGAGGCAGAUGAAGCAGCGUCCCUCUGUCACGCGGUUGAAGUCACGGAGAGCAGCGGUGGGUGGCUUCCUUGAAGAGGCCUUGUACUGACGGUCACCUCCGCCAUCCCGUCGCGGCAGCUCGGGCGGCGCGCGCAGCCGCGUCCUGCGGCGCGUCACCGGCUGCCACUCCCGAGACGGCUGACGCGGCUGGAUCUCCGGUGGCGUGGCACGUUUGAUUCGGGUAGCGGCUGACGUCGUGGAGGAUUGAAUGCGCCGUAUUGCCGUCGUGUCGCCGGAGUUACUGCUUCCGCCUCUGACAGGGGGGAGAGGGCCUUCAAUGUAGCGUCGCGCGAGCGGAGUAGGAGGGGAGUUGAAUCUCCCCCCCCUGACCGCCUCCGCGUAGGAUGGUCUUUUGCCAGGUUGGCUCUCUGGAAGCAGAUCCGUGGUCGGGGGUCGAAGAUCCGGUGGGGAGCUGCGCAGAUCCGGGGAUUCCGGCACCCAAACGUCGCCGACGGGCGCCGGUCUGCCAUGGCGGGGUGGCGGAGGCGGGGAAGGGGAGAAGAACUGCUCCCAGGACGAGCGGGCGCGCGGGGAGGUAGGUGGUAGGGGACACAGCAGCUUGGGGUCUUGGCGGCAGGGGGGUGGGGGUCCGCGGCGGAGGGGCAGGGGUGGGCGGUGGUCGGUCAGCGCCGGCGCGGGGCGGAGCGACGGGGAGGGGGCGAGGUAGGGGGCCAUCCUUGAACGGUGUUCUCCCUGAAUGAGAUUUUGCUCAUGUGUUGCGUGACUUGUGUGUACUUGGCGAGUUUCACAUAAAAUAUGUACUUCCUCUCUUGUACUACUUGACACCAGCGUGUCAUAGUAGUAUGUAUUGCUUACUGCAGCUGUCUAUUGUUAUUUUCAAAAUUGAUGUCCUCGGACUGUUGAAGGCCUUCGUCAUUUCCUAUCAUUCCUAUUUUACCGUGCAUGAUGAUUGAUUUAACAAAAUUACGGGUUUUAUCCAUCUUAAUGUGAGAGCACGCUAUGUGAUGGCCUGAUCCCUGAUGUUACAGAAAGAUUGAUGUCACGUGCAAAGAGGCUGGUAACCCUUUUCGCUUUGAUCUUUUCGUGCAUUUGAUCUUCUAUUUUUCUCCAACAUCGAUACCGAUAGAGCACAUAUCUGCUUCGAAAAACAGUACAGUUGAUGGUAAAAAAAUAUAUAUAGUACAAUUGGAUUUAGCUUUGGAAGAAAGCUUUGUCCUUUUUCCUCACAAUCAGUCAGCAAGCAGUUCGCGUCCACAUGUCCAUCCUCCGAGAAUCCGUGUGGAAACGAUAAGAUAUUUGGUUCCCGGCUGGCCCGCGGUUCAAUGCACUCGGCCGCCGUUUUGCCGUGCAGCCAGGUCCGUACCAAAGAUUUUGACCCCUGCGCAAAACAUAAAAUAAAAUUCUAUUUUGAACAAUACAAAUAAACUAAAAUAUAUUUAGAUUUCAUUAUAGAACUAUGUAGGUAACUGUGUCGGUUGCUGACGCAUGAAAGGAGAUUUACCAACAUCAGAUAGGAGUAAUGGACUAAUUAAGUAUUGUUUUCCUAGGUUUAUUUUGUGAUUAAGUGUGUCACCAAUUGCUGAUUAGAAGACCUCUAAUUUUUUAUGGCCCUGCGCGGUUGCGGCUGUUGCGCCAUGCAAUCAACGGGCCUGCGUGCAGCGCCCGGCCGUCCCGGGCUCCCGUCGCAGUACACAUCUCUGCCCUGCCCGCCGUGUACGCACACGCGGGUGUACUACCACAUACCCUCCCCGUCUCUCCCUCUCGUCGCGUCGUACUGCACGCCGUCGCGCCGCCUAUAUAGGCAGCCGAGGGCGGCACGCUCCGGCCGACGCGCGCUACAGCACAGCACCUCCCCAAUCCCCACACUCUCACGCGUCGACAGAGAGGGCACAGCACGCGUGAGGUCGCCAUGGACAUGGGGGGAGGGCACGACAUGGGCGGCAUGACGUCCCCGCCGAUGCACAUGCGGUACACCCACAUGACCUUCUUCUGGGGCAAGGACUCGGAGAUCCUCUUCACGGGGUGGCCCGGCGCCAACGGCGGCAUGUACGCGCUGGCGCUCGUGGCCGUCUUCGCGCUCGCGUUCGUCCUCGAGUUCAUGGGCUCCCGAAGGCUGGACUCGCUCCUCCCCGCCGCCGCGGCCGGGACCGGGAACGUUGGCAAGCGCGCGGCGGCCGGGGCGGCGCGCGCCGCGGUGUACGCGGUGCGCGUGGGCGGGGCUUACCUGCUCAUGCUCGCGCUCAUGUCGUUCAACGGCGGCGUGCUCCUCGUGGCCGUCGCGGGGCACGCGGCGGGGUUCCUGGCGUUCAAGGCCGGCCUGUUCGGCGACGGGCGGGCGCAGGUGGAGGACCGGUGCAACAAGGAGGAGGUCGCGCCGGCCGCGUGCUGCUAGUAGGUUCGCUUCGACGGCGGCGGCGCCGGUGGUGAUCGGUGGGUCUGUUCUUCUAGCGUUGUUCGUGCGUGUUCGAUUCGUGUGUGUCCCGCGUGCGAUUGACUGAAUCCAUGUUGCUGUGCUGUUUAGCUGAAUCUCCGAUGGUGGUUGGGAGUUGUGUAGCACCUGAAUGGCUGAAUCUUGAACUGAAAGGUUAAAAUUCCCGUGAUGACUGAUGAACUGUGAAUCUGUGCUCCGUCGGAAAAAAAGAUAUAUCUCUUGGCUGUAUCUUCUUCACACGCCAUACUCGAUUUAUGGUUGGGAAGUUGUGCCUUCUUGAAUCCAUACCAUAUCCGGCUCUUCUUUUUCUUUUUCUUUUUUUGCAGCAGCAGAGCAUGUGCGCGUUCAUGCAGGCUGUGUCCUUGUCCUACUUUCGCUUGAGCUUGUCUGCGUGCAUAACAGCUCAAACCAAAAUGGCUUGUCUGCAUGUGUGCAUCAGCCAUUAGUAGUAACCGUUGUAUUGAUGGCCUGCAGCUGCAGUACACCAUCUUAACACUUCGACUUCUCGCGUGGUUAUUUGCUCUUAGGUUUACUUUUUUUUUUGUUUUGGACGGCGCCAAUAAUUUGUUCUGUUAAACAAAAUGGGCAGCCUCAACACCCCGCUCUCUCACGCCAGAAUUUGCAUGCGGCGAAAUUUUCGAAAGGACGGGUGAACAAGAAUUUUACCUUGCUCUGCUUUCCUCGCCACUUUGAACAAGACCAAACGUUAUUUACUGCAUGGAAAUGAUCUUUCCAUCGGCAAUUCUUGCAUGUCACCGGAACUAUAUCCACGGAUGCUAUUUAGACGGUGAGCUUGAACUAUCACAGCAGAAAAACGCGAGGGCGCGCACAUCACAAUCACGUCGCGCGACGCAAUUUUAAAGCUCGUUUGGUAGGACUGUGGUUGUGGCUUCUUCAGUGAAGUAGCUUUUUUUCUCUCCGGUUGAAAAAACGUUUGAUAAAACAACUACUCUUGUUUAAAAUGAAUAGAAAGGUGAAAUAUCCAUAAUACCCUAAUUUUUUCUUUUUUCUUUUAUUCCUUUUAUUUUUUUCUUUUUCCUUUUUUCUCUUUCUAUUAUUUUUCUUAUCCACUCCUCCGGUCUUCCUCCUUUUUUCUAAUCUACUCCUCCCGUCUUCCUUAUCCGUUCUCUUCCCCGUGCUCCUCCUCGCCUGCUGCCGCACUGCCCCCGCCUCCCGCCUCCCACCUCGCCGGCCCGCCCCCACCUCCCGCCAUCCCACCUCCUGCCUGGCUGCUGGCCGCUGCCUCGCCUGGCUGCGGGCCCUCCCUCAAGGGCAAAGGUGGGAAAUGAGGAGGAGAAGCAGCGGGAAGCCCGUUUUUUUGGCUCCUCCUCCCCCUUCCGGCUCCUCUCAGCGGAUUUCGUGAGGCUUCACCGACGAAGCUGUUUUGCAUCAGUCCAUUUGGCAGGGCUUCAGCUUCUGCUGGUGGAGAAGUCGUAGCCGAAGCCUUGCUAAAGAGGGCCUUAAUCUGCUAUACUAGCGUGCCAUAGUGUGGUGAUGAAUUCCUAUGCAAAUUGCGCAGCUAAUGAUCGGUCGUGAUUCAGAAUUAAAAUCCUAGUGCUGCACCGCAUCCUAAUAGUUACAUCAACAGCUAGGUGUAUCUCCCAACGCCCGCGUCGCUCCCGUCGUGAGUGACACGAGCAGACGCCACCGUGCGGCCACCUCCCCUUCCUCCACCUUCCCACGACCGCAUCGCUGCCCGAGCCAGCCGUCGGAAGCUCGCGCGGCUUGCAAGGACGACGACGGCGGGACGCCCUUCGUCUCCUCCUCAUUCCUUGGCGGCUGCGGCCGCCGGGGCUGCCGGAGGGGGCCGCCAUGAGGCGGCACGCGAUGGGGCCGGAGAGGCCGGAUCCGAUGCCCACGACGCCGGAUCCGCCGUCUGGAGCGGUGGCGGCAGUCUCGCCCGCGCGGGCUAACACCUUCUCCCCGGCGUGGCCUGGGGCUGCGCGCGGAGCCGGCGAGGGCCUCGAGACCGGGGGCGGGGUCGGCGUCUGGGCGAGGUGGGGUAUGUGGCUACACGCGCGGGCGCGUGCGUGACUCGUGCCGGUGCAACGGCGCGGUGGCGGGCAGGCGGCCACCCUGGCCUCCUGCCGGACGACAGCGGCGAGAGGCAUCGGGCAGGAGGAGCCACGACAAGGGCGGACAACCGGCGCUGCUGAGAGCGUUGGCAAGGGAGCGGGAGCAGGUAUCCAUCAAGUGGUCAGGCGAAGGCGGCGGCAGCCUAGGUGAAGACGGCGGGGGGUGGAUGCGGCGGCGCGGCUCGGAGCGGCGGGCUGGCGUGGAGGUGCGCUAGUGAUUUCCGAGCGCGGACUCGGCGGUGUGGAGCGGUGACAGCGAGCAGGCUAGGCGCGCAGCGGCAGGCGGUGACAGCGGCAGCUCAGGGCCGACAAGGGUAGUGGUGAGCCAUUGUCACGGUAAGUUUUUGUGUCUGCGCACAUGGUACUGCUGAGAUUCCGACGGCGGCAAGGUGGAGGCAAAGUUAUUGGAGUAGCUCUAUGGCACCAUGUCAUCCGCGACGGCAAAAGCAAGUCAAUCCUUCGUGUGGAGUCCAGCGGCGGAACUGGUGAGGCCCUCGUUCGCUUUAAGGUGAUGUGUCCGAGGAGUGGUGUGCGGCGGCGGAUGUGUCACAUCGGAUAUUCGGAUGCUAAUUAGGAGGACUAAACAUGAGCUAAUUACAAAACUAAUUGCGGAACCCCUAGGCUAAAUCGCGAGAUGAAUCUAUUAAGCCUAAUUAAUCCAUCAUUAGCAAAUGUUUACUGUAGCACCAUAUUAUCAAAUCAUAGACUAAUUAGGCUUAAUGGAUUCGUCUCGCAAUUUAGCCUAGGGGUUAUGAAAUUUGUUUUGUAAUUAGCCUAUGUUUAAUACUCCUAAUUAGUGUUCAAACAUUCGAUGUGACAGGAGCUAAAAUUUAGUCGUGGAUCCAAACCCCCCCUAAAUCUUGAGCGUCACGCAGAAAAGAAAUCCACAUUAUGACCUUGUUUAGUUGGCCAAUUUAGGAGAUGCAAAAUUACUGUGCCAGCACUGUAGCACACUGUAGCGUUUCGUUUGUAUUUGUGAAUUAUUGUCCAAAUAUUGACUAAUUAGGCUCAAAAGAUUCGUCUCGCAAAGUACAACUGUCGUUGUCAAGAUUUGCGGAUCAAGACUUAGACUAGUAAAUUUCUUUUAUGCGCGUAAAGCUUCAGAUGGUGGCGUGGGAGACACGGAUUAGACUGGUUCGGGCAAAGGAAGCCCUACGUCCAGUAUCGUGGAUGCUCGUAUUGCCCACGCGGGGUUUUGUAGUAGGGGUUACAGAUCAACGAGAGAGGGACUGGUCUCAAGUCUCUUUAUGCUUGUGCUCUCAGGGAGCGUAUUGGUGUGCUGUGGCUUGUGGGAGAAGAAGCCCCCCCUCCCUCCGGCCCUGGGUUCCUCCUUUUAUAUCGCAAGGGGGUGGCCGGAGUUACAGCUGGGAUCGGGCGAAGAGGACCGUAAAGUGUAAACGUAGUACGGUAAAAAAUACGGCAGGAAGGGAGGAACAAGUUCCUAGGCGCCCGACGCCUCCGCCGGUCCCUGACGAGCGCCGGCUUGCAUGCUAGAAGGGGAGGCGGCCGUGUGCCAACUGUCGUCGCCCCCUACAGAUAGCUCCUUUGGCAUUCGUAGGCGUCGGGGUAUGAUGAAGGCGUUUCGUCGUCUUCUCGGUGUCCGUUGGGGAGGACGGUGGAUGCUGUGGUUCUGAUGAUGGCUCCUGGAGAGAGGGCGUCACAUCCUUGUUGCCGGGCGCGCGGGACCCGAGGGCGCGCGGGGCCCGAGGACAGGCCAGUCUCUCCUUCGCUCCGGUCGGCGCAGGCCAUGAGUACCCUGCGGCGAAUGGAAGCGAGCCGCCAGCACUGUAGCUUGUACAGUGUGGUCGUGCAUGGGUACUUGCGGUGGGUUGCGUGAGGAGCGCGGUCAUCCUUCCCUCUGCCAGGCCUGCGGCGCAUUUAUGGCGAAGCCGACGGGGGGGACCCACAGGAUUUUGUUUAUCUUGCCCACCUGGUCCGCAUCCGAGGGGGAAGCCUGCCCUGGGGGCCCUAGCGAGCCUGACCCCUGCGCUUGGGGUCGGACGAGGCGGAACCUUGUGGCGAGGGGUCGGGCGCCUCCGACCCCGAGGCCGCAGUCGGACGAGGCGGAAGCCUCGUGGAUGGAGGUCGGGCGUUCCCGACCCUGAGGGCGCGGUCGGGCGAGGCGGAGCUCUCAUUAUGCUUAGGUGGGCCCGGGCUUUCGCGUCUGCUCCUUUAAGCGGUAUUUAGGGGAUCGUUAAUAUUUCCCCCCAACAACAACAAAACUGUGCAAUUAGUUUUUAAUUUUGUCUACAUUUAAUACUCCAUGCAUGUACCGCAAGUUUGAUAUGAUGGUGAAUCUUCUUUUUGUAUAGUGUCAAAAUUAGAAGUUGGGGGUAACUAAACAUGGCCUAUAUUACCAAGUAACCUUCCGGGAUAACGUAUACAGCACGGCUGCAUUUGGGUUUCAUCUUCAGAAGACUGUGCUACCUCUGUGCUACGUACGAUGAGGCCAGAAAUUCGACGCCCGCGUUCUAACGUCAUGUGUGACAGUUCCAUCUGCUAUUAGGCGUACCAUGGGUUGCUUGUUUUCACGGAUUAAAGUUUAGUUCCUAUCACAUUAAAUAUUUAGAUACUAAUUAGAAGGAUUAAAUAUUAGCUAAUUAUAAAACCAACUGCACAGAUGGAGGCUAAUUCGCGAGACGAAUGUAUUAAGCCUAAUUAGUCCAUGAUUUGACAAUAUAAUGCAACAUUAAAUAUGUGCUAAUCAUGAAUUAAUUAGGUUUAAUUGAUUCAUUUCGUGAAUUAGCUUCCAUCUGUGCAUUGAUUUUAUAAUUAAUCUAUAUUUAAUACUUCUAAUUAGUAUCUAAACAUUUUUUUUUAAACGAACCUGGCAGGAGAGCUGCAGAUUAUAUUAAAAAGAAGGAAUCCAGACUGGAUAAAUACAAUGGAUCAAAAAUGAAAUGAGGCAAAAUUGAGUUAGGAAAAUAAAACAACACUGUGAACUCAGUCGCAAUCAGCAUCGCGCCAGUAGAGCGGAGAGAUGUUUCACUCCCGCCAUAAUCCACACGGUGGCCUCGUCUUUGAUCCUCUCGAAAAUCAUGUUGACAGUAGACUCCUUGCUGUUAAAUAUUCUCAUAUUCCUUUCCCUUCAGAUUGUCCAUGUAACUAGCAUAAUCAAAGUUCGCAUGCCUCUCUUAGAGCAGAAAUUUGUUUCCGCUCUCAUCGACCACCAAUGGUGCAGCGUAUCGGCCUGUUGCCAAGCCCUCGGGUGGAUUGCUGGCGCCGACAACCAGUCCACCACCAUGGUCUAGAUUCUUAUUGUAACCCGGCAUUCGGCGAAGAGGUGUAGCGCCGAUUCUUGUGAUCUCCGACAUAGUGGGCAGGUAGCUUGAUUUGACCAUCCCCUUUUGUGAAGUCUGUCAGCAGUCCAAAGGCGAUUUUGGAUUGCGAGCCAGGAGAAGGUUUUGCAGCUUUUGGGAGCCCAUAUUUUUCAAAUCAAGCUGUCAAAGUUGGUGGAUGCUGAACCAAUGAACUGUGCGUCGUAAGCGGAUUUUGCGGAGUAGUUACCAUCUGCAGUAAGCUUCCAAGUGAUAUCAUCUUGGACACUCGGGCGCAGGGCUACCUGUUGUACGACUUGCCAUAGAAGGACGUAUUCUCGGAAGUGUUGCACAGAGAAUCUACUGUGGUGUAUGUUGAUGUCCCGGAUCCAAGUUCGGUUGUGAAGCGCGUCACGUAAACUCCUAUUCUUCCUUUUUGAAAUGGAGAAAAUACUUGGCGCUAUGUCCUUUGGCCUUUGGCCUUGAACCCAGGCGCUAUUCCAAAACGAAGUCUUUGCUCCAUCGCCUACGACAAUGUGUGUACAUGCCGCAAAUAAUUUCCUAUCUGUGUUAUUAUACGGAACCUCAGAGCCUACCCAAAGCUUGUCUUCCGCUUUCCACUUGUGCCACAACCAUCUGAGCCUCAGUCCUCUUGCAAACUUGUAGAUGUUUAAAAUACCUACUCCCUCCAAUCUUGUCGGUCGGGCGGACCUUCGCCAAUUCACUUUGCAUUUUCCCCCUGUUAAUGUCGCCGCCCUUGCCCAAAAGAACUUCUUGCGCCUUGCGUCAAUUUCCUUCAUCACCUCUUUGGGGGCCUCCAUUGCCGAUAGGAGGUAUACCGCCUGUGAUGUUAAUACUGAUUUCGUGAGUGCUAGACGGCCCGCCAUAGUCACAGUCCUUGCAUUCCACGCAGUGAGUUUGUAGGUCGCCUUGUCUAUGACAUACUGGAAGUGUACUCUCUUGAGCCUUGACGUCGUUAGUGGAAUUCCAAGAUAUCACACCGGGAAGGAAGACCGUGUGACUGGAAUGUCUCCAAAGAUGUCGUCCAUAUUAAGCCCUUCGCAUCUUAUAGGCACCACACUAGAUUUCUCAAAAUUUGUUCUCAACCCCGACGCUUCACCAAAUCUAGUGAGUAGGUCAGCUAAAGCAAUGACAUCCUGCCUAGUUGGGUUUAGGAAAAUAUCCGUGUCAUCAGCGUACAUGGAUGUUCGGAAAUUGAGGGACCUGCCUCGCAGCUUGGAUAUGAAUCCUCUGUCAGUGGCCUGCUCCAGUAAAGCUCAUAGUGGUUCAAUUGCAAUCACAAAAAGUAAAGGAGAUAAAGGAUCUUCUUGCCGUAGUCCUCUGUUGUGUCUGAUGCGGCUGUUUGGGACCCCAUUGAGAAGGAUCCUAGAUGAAGAUGUGUAGAAUAGAGAGGCCAUCCAUUCCCGCCAACGAAUGGGGAAGCCCAAGCGUUGAAGUAAAUCUAGCAUGUAAUCCCAUCUCACCGAAUCAAACGCUUUGGCGAUGUCAAGCUUAAAAAAUAAUGCCGGAAUUCGUUGUCGAUGGUAGCGACGCACCAUGUUCCUGACUGUCAUAAAAUUAUCGUGGAUGCUCCUUUGCUUGAUGAAAGCCAAUUGUGAUUGUGAUACAGUAUUUUUCAUGUGCGGAGCCAGCCGCAUGGCGAGCACCUUUGUAAUAAUUUUGAUGAAUGAGUGUAUCAAGCUUAUCGGCCUGAAGUCAGGGACUGCCUCGGCCCCUUCCUUUUUUUGGCAACAACACUACGUUGGCUGUGUUGAUUAAUGGCAGGCUCGUGCAACGCAAGUUAUGAAAAGCAUUGGCCGCGUUUAUGACGUCGCACUUUAUAAUCUCCCAACAGGGCUUAUAAAAUGCCCCAGUGAAGUCAUCUGGUCCCAGCGUCUUGUCCGAUGGUAUGUCGAGUAUUGCACGUUUAAUUUCCUCCUUCGUGAAAGGUUCGGCGAGGGAGCUGAGGUCCCGACUGGGGAGAUUUAUGUUGUCCGAGUUAACGUCCUGUGAUCGUUGUCCCAGUGGUCCCAUCAUCAUAGCGAAGUGGUGUUGAAUUAUGUUGGCUUUUUCUUCGUGAUUGAAAGCCCAAAUGGAUCCUUGUUUUAGUUGUUGAAUGUAGUUUUUCUUCUUCCUUCCAUUAACUCUCCGAUGGAAGUAUUUGGUAUUAGCAUCAACUAAUUUGAUAUUCGUAAUGCGUGAUGCUUGUUUCCGUCUGACGCUUUCAACCGCCAGGCUGAUUCGUCCCUGGUGAGGGCUCUAUGUUCUUAUGCCAUAUCCAAUCUAAGGAUGACAUCAGACGCCAUGAGAAGCUGCAUCUUGGCAUCGGGUAAAAGUUGUGGCUCCAGGCUCUAAGCAUUUGGGAAGUUUCCCAUAACUUGUAGUACAGGCGGUGAAAAGGCUCGUGAUGAGCACAGGGCUUACUCCAAGCUUCAGUUACUACCUCCUUGAAGCGUGGCAAUCUCAUCCAAAACUCCUCGAACUUGAAUGUCCUUGGCCGUCGUGGUCCACUUUGAUUGGAAAGGAGUAGUGGGCAGUGAUCCGAGUGCGAUGUUGAAAGUGCAUGUAGAGCAUGGGAGGCAAAUAAGGUGUCACCUUCCGUAUUACAGAACACUCGGUCAAGACAAGCGUCGGACUUUGUUGCUCAUUGCUCCAUGUGAAGCGGCGGUUCUGAAGUGGAAUUUCCUUGAGCUCGCAAUCGCUGAUCGCCUCCCUAAAUAGACUCAUCAGUCUAGUAUUUAGCCUAGAAUUGUUCUUGUCCGCGGCUCUAUAUAUGAUGUUAAAAUCGCCCAUUAUAAUCCACGGUGUCCCAGUGGGAGGCUUAAGAGUUAGCAUUUCUUGUAAGAAGGCUCUCUUUUGCCCUGACUGGAUGGUCCGUAGACAUUUGACAGUCUGAAUGUUUCGCCAUCAUGUAGUGAAAUAGAGGUUGAUAAGUGUUAUCUAAACAUUUGAUAUAACAUAACUAAAUUUUAAUGUAACAUAACUAAACUUUAGUACGUGGAACAAAAUGCGCCUAUUACCACCACUUGGUCAGCCCAAUUCUGACGAAGGAAGCAUCCCAGACGUGGCGUGGGCAUUCUGCUCCGGAGAUCGGACCUGGCGCAUGGCGACCACCACCGACCCGUCUGCCUUGCCGGAGAGAAAAAUAAAAUUCAAGAAUGUUAUCGUGCGACUUGGAUCCGAAAAUGGGCGCCAAAAGCCCAUGCAAUUAUUUGAGGAGAUCCUAGCCCUGUGUGGUCUAAGCGAUGUAGUCGGCCUUUUCCUCCUGCAUGGCCUCCGCGACGAUCUUCGACCAUUUGGUGCGGGCGGUGAUCACCAGCAGCGAGCAGACUUUGGCAUGCCAGCCCGCAGAUCAGGCCCAUCCACAGUCCCUGCACAAAAACUUGGUUUCAGAGGCUCGGUUUAGUUCUUUAGUCCCCUAUAGUUCCUGAAUACUAAUUAGGAGUACUAAAUAUAGACUAAUUAGAAAACCAAUUGCACAAAUAGAGGUUAAUUCGCGAGACGAAUCUAUUAAGCCUAAUUAGUCUAUGAUUUGACAAUAUGAUGCUACAGUAAACAUGUGCUAAUGAUGGAUUAUUAGGCUUAAUAGAUUCGUCUCGCGACUUAGCCUCCACUGUGUAAUUAGUUUUAUAAUUAGCUCAUGUUUAAUCCUCCUAAUUAGUCUCCGAAUAUUUGAUGUGAUAUGAACUUUAGUGCACCCCAGAGACUGACAUCUUCUUCGUUUGAUUGCUGCUGUCUGCCUGUCUUAUCUUUGCUGGAACACGACGAGCUGCAGCGGGCUCGCCGCGUCGAGCCGACACAUGCUGCGUACAGUAUUUACCUUGGUGUACAACUUGAGCUUGAAGGCGAAGAGGAUGGCCAGCGGCAUGGCGAUCAGGUAGAAAGCCACAAGGUUGGUGAGCGCCACGAGAUGCUGCCACCCGCAGCCCCUCGACACGCCUGCACAGUGCACACCGGCUCGUCAUUUCCAGGAUUCAAGGCGUCUUAAUGCACCAGUCGCAGACAGGGUGGAUUCGGCGACGCGAGAUCGCCGGCCGGUGGAGCACUCACCUUCCAGGACACCCUGCGCCGAGUCGAGCACGACGGAGACGAUCAUGAGCGGCGUGAUGGCGGCGAACUCCGACACGAUCACCGCGCUCCCGCUGAAGAGCCUCGCCCACACGCCGUGGCCGAACGCCAGCAGCAGGACGAAGGAGAUGGCGAGGAGCACCGACAGCUUCAUCGUCACCGCCACGGCGUUCUUGGCCCUGUCCACGUUCCCGGCCCCGACCUCAUUCGACACUCGGGUGCUGCAAGGUGAAAGCAAAUCGAUCGGCGCGGUCACAGACUCACAGUAAGCACGCACAAGGAAACAAUAGCUGAAGCUGACAGUAAAUUCAGAACAUGGAAGUAGCAGAGAUCAGAUGAAAUCGGCAGGACUUUGAUCAGGAGUACCUCACAGCAGCACUGAACCCGUACGUGGUCAUGAAGCCGAUGGCCUCCGUGCUAGAGCUGCACACAUUUCGUUGAUGAGUCAUUGCCUUACAUGAAUUUUUGCAGCUAGUGAUGAAGCUUCGGUCUCGAAACGACAUACCAGAUGGCGAUCAGUGACGUGCUCACCGUGGAAUUGGGGAGCAAGCCGGCGACAAGGACCAGGAGCUCAAACGCCCAGAUCUCCAGGCUGCAAGGAGUCCAGGACAUCGCGCGCGUUAAGGUUCAAGAACUGGCGCCUUGACUUGCGCACAGACACUUACCAGACCAUGACGGCGGACGGCGCGGCGAGCUUCAAGGUGGGCAGCACGUAUCUGAAUGCCUCGGCGGAGAACCCCUUCCACGUCUCGCUGAACGCCUCCGACCGCAGGAUGUACGCGAGCAACAUGAGACAGGACGCCGCGAAGGUGACCGAGAUGGCGGCGGGCGCACCGGCGAGCCCCAAGCCCAGCACGUUCACCAGCAGGUGCGUGAGCACGACGUGGAGCACGAACGGCGCCACGGAGCAGACGACGAGCGGAAUGACGACGGACUGCAUCUGCAGGUAGCGCAGCAGGCACUGGAGGAAGGCGAACGCGAAGAGGCCGGGGAUCUGGGGCCGGACGAACGCCGCCGCUUCACGGGACACCUCGGGGUCCUGCCGGAGGAGCAGCAGGAGAGGCUCCGUGAACAUCCAGAGCACGGAGAUGAGCGCGGAAACCGCCGCAGACAGGAGCAGCGACGACUGCAGGUACAGACCCAGCAUCCGGUACAGCCGGGCGCCGUAGGCCUGCCCGCACAGCGUCUCCAGCGCGCCGCUCAGGCCUGUCUGGAACAGCCAUUCAUCGAAUGUUAACACGUGCGAUUUUCAACAGUAGCCAAUGUGAUCUCAAUUCAGUCAUGGGCUUUGGAGUAAAAUGUAACGAAACGGAAUUGCACUUCAGUCACUGACUCACUGAUGACUUCACACCGCGUGACGUGCUACCAGCUCAGCUCAGUUAAAAGGUAGGCCCGCCCGGAAAUGGAUGUUUCCUAGCGGCCGGUAGCCGGUACGGCAUAUCGGCACAGCUGCACAGGGAAUGAAGACGGGUUGCUACCGGCCAUUGUGUAGAGGACUAGAGGUAGACCGUCACUGUUACCGUGUUACCCUCAUUAUAUUACAGCUACGUGUAGAGGACUAGAGGUAGAGUGUCAUUGUUACCCUCAUUACAUGGCUACUAUACUACCUAUCGAUCUACUGACAAACCCGAAACCGUCAGUGCAAUCAACGAAACAAAACCAGUUGAAAUGGUAAAUGAUCUAGCAGGAGAGAUCUAGUAGUGCGGGUAGCUGAUGCUUACGACCAAGGCGUAGCCGGUGACAGUGGCCCAGGAGUUGCCGAGCGUGGCGCCGGCGAGCUGGACGUCGCCGAGGUGGCCUGAGAACAUCACGGAGACCAGCGGGAUGCCGUAGUAGGCCAUGCUCAUCAGGAUCAUCGGCACCGCGAACUGCAGCUGCGCCCAUGCCUCCUCGGUGUCCACCACGCGACCGAGCCACGACGAGCACGGCGGGCCAGCAGGGCUCCCGCGCGGCGGGCCGGGGCGACGCUCGUGGCCCUCGGUGGCGGCAGCGAUCACGCCGCUGCCGUCGGGCGCGGCGGAGCCGAGCAGCGGGGCGGAAGACAUGAGACCCAACUCUCUAUCGGGGAGAAAUCCUACCGAGCUGCUCUUUCGAUUGGGGGCAAUAGCUGACCCAAGACUCUGUCGGGCCGGGGACCAGCCACACACGUUGCACGCUAGCAAAUUAUUCACUUGAGAGAAGAAAUUUCAGCGACACUACUGUGACGAAUUAAAAAUGGCUAAAACAAAUCAUGCAUGAGCCUUAGCGUGUUUGGUUCCAGGAACUAAAAUUUAGUCCCUAUCACAUCGAAUAUUUAGGUACUAACAUACCGUUUUCUUCCACUAACUUAUUUUUAGCACCCAUCACAUCGAAUGUUUAGAUAUUAAUUAGGAAUAUUAAACGUAGACUAUUUACAAAACCCAUUACAUAAGACGAAUCUAAACGGCGAGAUGAAUCUAUUAAGCCUAAUUAGUCCAUGAUUUGACAAUGUGUUGCUACAGUAAAUAUUUGCUAAUGAUGGAUUAAUUAGGCUUAAUUAGGCUUAAUAGAUUCAUCUCGCCGUUUAGCCUCCACUUAUGUAAUUUGUUUUGUAAAUAGUCUACGUUUAAUACUCCUAAUUAAUAUCUAAACAUUCGAUGUGACACGUGCUAAAAAUAAGACAGCGGAAGAAAACGCCCUAAUUAGGAGUAUUAAAUAUAGAUUAAUUAUAAAAUUAAUUGUAUAAAUGAAGACUAAUUGGCGAAACUAAUCUAUUAAACUUAAUUAAUCCAUAAUUAGUACAUAUUUGCUAUAGCAUCUGUGAUCAAAUCAUGGACUGAGCAAGCCGUCGUCUGAUUCACCCUCCCAAAUAAAUCUCCUCUCGCUAAGCGCCGCCGACUGCCAGGCAUCGCGUUGGGGUCCAGCCUCCAGCGAAGGUUCCGGUGGAAAGUAGAAACGAGCAAAUGGAAGCAGACGUGGACAUGCCGAAGCAUGUCGCCAGGAUGGGACGCUGCGGUGAUCGUAGGGUGUUGAAAAGGAUUGGCAAUUGUUGCUCCUCCUGCCGAGCGCCUGUGGCAUAAAAAAGCUACCCAACGAUGAGCAAAGGAGGAAGCAGUACAAAGUCAAAGGUAAACAGAUUGUGAUGAUUUCAGUACAUAAAUUGGAUUACUGAUCAAUAAGCCGAAUAAUGGAAGAAGAAGUACAGAGCGCAAGGGGAUGGCGUCAAAUAUAAUUGCUUGCCAACACCCAUGGAUAAUAAUUGAUUGAAACCAACAAUGAUAAUCCAUAUGGAAAACUGCUUCUAUAAUAUUGGUGGGGUGUUGGCGAUUGGCAUAAUGUUUUCAAUUAUUUGGAUGUUAUAAAAUGGAGUAUCCAUGGAUUAUUGGAGGAAGCAUGGAACUGCCCCGUAUGCAGUCAGCCUUGAUCGGGUUGAUCCUAUGCAUAAACGGUGGUGCGCGCACCACGCGCUAAAACGCAACAAACAAGACUCUAGAUCCGGCCAGUUCGUCAGGCCGUUGAGCACGUACGAACACGCAUAUCUCCCCGCCCGUGUUCGUGUACGCACGCGCGGGUGUACUACCAGUACGUACCACACUUCAUCUCGUCGCGACGUACUGCACGCCGCACGCGCCGCGCCUACAUACGUAGGCAACCGCGGCAGCAGACUCCGAUCGACGCACAGCACAUCACCCCCCCACAUUCGGCGCGACGGCAGAGAGAGAACACGGCACGCGCGAGGCCGCGCGCCAUGGACAUGGGAGGAGGGCACCACCACAUGGGCGCCAUGGCCCCGGCGCCGUUCCCGCCGGGCGGGGCGCACGGCGGCGGCAUGGGGAUGCGGAGGAAGCGGUACAUCCACAUGACCUUCUACUGGGGCAAGAACUCGGAGAUCCUCUUCACGCUGUGGCCCGGCGCGGACGGCGGCAUGUACGCUCUGGCGCUCGUGGCCGUCUUCGCGCUCGCGGUCCUCCUCGAGUUCCUCGGCAGCCGCAGGCUGGACUCGCUCCUACCCACCGCCGCGGCAGGGGCGAACAAGCGCGUGGCGGCCGGGGCGGCGCGCGCGGCUGUGCACGCGCUGCGCAUGGGCGGGGCCUACCUGCUCAUGCUCGCGCUCAUGUCGUUCAACGGCGGCGUGCUCCUCGUGGCCGUGGCGGGCCACGCGGCGGGGUUCCUGGCGUUCAGGGCCGGCCUGUGCGGCCACGGGCGGGCGCAGGUGGAGGGCGGGUGCAACAAGGAAGAGCACGCGCCGGCGGCCUGCUGUUAGAUUUGCUGCGACGUCGGCGCCGAUAAUGAUCGAUGGGUCUGUUAGUUUGCUUCUCGUUUCGUGCCACGUGCGAUUGACUGAACCCUUGUUGCCGUUUGGGUGAACCGCGUGCCGGUGGUUGGGAGUUGUAGCACCUGAAUCUGGAAGGUUAAGGGCCUGUUUGGCAGAGCUCCAACUCUGAAAAAACAGCUCCAGAUCCAUAGAUCCACCUAGCUCCACCAUAGAGCUGCUCCACCGUGAAUCUGAAAUCUCAAAAAGCGUUUGGUACAGCUCCACUCUUAUCUUUGUCUCACUGGCAAUUUGGACCCAUGCAUCAGAAUUAAAAAAAAGAAAAAAAUGUCUUCUUCACGGCGAGUGUGACCUCUCCACGCCUCCGCUGCCUUCCCUGCCGAGCGCUGCCGCGCCUGCGGACCCGCUGCUCUCCUGCGCUCCGUCGGCAAGGGCGGGCGGGGCUCUGGCGGCAGAGACGGGCAGGGCUGGGGCGGUAGGGGCGCGUGGGGCUCGGCAGUAGGGGCGCGCGGGGCUCCGGCAGGGCGGCCUCCAAUGGCAGGGGCGGGCGGGGCUCCGGCGGGGCGGACUUCGGCGGCAGAGGCGGGCGGGGCUCCGACGGUAGGGGCGCGCGGGGCUCCGGCGGGGUGGCCUCCAAUGGCAGGGGCGGGCGGGGCUCCAGUGGCAGGGGCGGGCAGGCGCGAACAGGGGCGGGCGGGGCUUUGGCGGGCGGAGCGAGCGUGGCGGGCGGGGCGAGCAGAGGCGAGCGGGGCUCCGGCGGGUAGGGGCGGGCGGCGCUCCGGCGGGCAGGGGUGGACAACGACGGAAGAGGAAGGACUCCAGUGUGUCGCACGGAGAAGAAGAAAAAGAAAUAGAACGAACCGGUCAUUUUCCACUAAUGAGUGGCAGUGGUGGGUAAUUCUCUCCAACUCCACCAAAUUUGAUUUCGUGGAGCACCCCCUGAGGUGCUCCACCAAAUCCAUGGAUCUGGGGGUAGAUCCACCGUUUUCGUGGAGCAGCUCUGCGGUGGAGUUGCUGGAGCUAAAACCGUUUGGCUAGAAAAAUCGGGAGCGGAGCUGUUUUUGAGGAUCUGGAGCUACAUGGAGCUCUGCCAAACAGGCCCUAAAAAUUUCUGUGAUGAGCUGUGAAUCACACGCCUGACUUGGGUGGUCUUUUUUUAAAAAAAUUAAGACUUGGGUGUUGUACCUUCUUGAAUGCACACCAUAUAUAUGCGGCUUGUUUGCAGCUGCAUGUGCGUGUGCAUGUAGGCUAUGUUCUUACUUCUGCUUGAGCUUGCCUGCGUGUAUAUAAGGCCGGUCUCCAUGGAGUUAAAUUUUAUGCCACAUCAGCAAUUUUGCUUACGAGAUCAUUUAUGAGGAGAGUUUUCAUCGAUGUGAGAGAAGUUCUAUCCCCGUGACACUCCACUAGUAUAGUAGUUACCUAAUUAUCAGUCUUGUAACUAUACAGUAGAACUGUACACUGAGACUGGCCUAAUGCUCAAACCAAAAUAGCUUGGAGUACAAAAUAGCUUAAACCAAAGUAAGCAACGGUUCAAUUGAAGGCUCGUAGAUGUACUGCUAUCGUACCCCCAUAUUCAAUUUCUUCUUGUGUUUUGUACUUGCUCGUUCCUUUUUUUUUCCCGAACAGCGCAAGAAAAGUAAUUAUGCUGCACCUGAAAUAAUUUGUUCUUGUUAAACAAAAUGGGCUUAACGCCGCUGUUUCCGUGUUCAAUCGGUUUUACCACUGCCAUUUUCUCCCCGCUCUUUCACGUCAGUACUCCCCUCUCGCGUGUUCAAAGUGCGAUUUCUUAUAAUUUGCACGCGGCAAAGUUUUCAAAAGGACGGGUGGACCAAACUUUUACCUUGCUCUGCACUCUGCUUUCCUCUCCACUUCGAACAAGGCAAAACUGGAAACAAAUGAUCUUCCCGUUCCACUUCAUUUCCACCUGCAAUUUUAAUCUGCUCCUGGCGUACCACAGUGCUGAUGAAUUCCUUUGCAAAUUGAGCCGCUGAUGAUCGGUUGAGAUUCAGAACCGAAAUCCUAGUGCUACCACUUGGGCUUCUCAACUCUGGUCUUUCAGAUUUUGACGACAGAACAAUGAAGGAUCCAAAUGGGCCCUUUUUUUCUUUCUUUAUUUCCGUUCCCUUGCCACCACCGUUGACGACAUUCUAUAACCUGUGGCGCAGUGGCGGACGUGUGCAGCAUGGCGUGUUCGAUCCUGCAGGUGCGUGCAUGCUGUUGUUCUCCGGGAAUGGCUCGCCUGCAUGUUCACCAGCCUGAGACAGACUGCAGUAGAAAGUGAACGCCACGCAUAAAGAAGAAAUCCACAUUGGCAAGUUGCCUUCCGGGAUAAUUUCCACCGCGCGCACGGCUGCAUCUGCGUUUGGGUUUCAUCUUCAGACGAAUGCACGGCCUGUUGUAUAUAUGUACUACGAGGCCAGAAAUUAGGCACCCGCGCGCUCUCACGCCAUGCGUAACAAUUCGAUCUGCUACUACUAGCGUACUACGACAAGCGGUACCUACCGCUUUCUUCCAGGGUCGUACAUACUUGCCGGGGGGGUAAAAUGAUCUGAAAGUCUCGAGCCCCUCCGAAAUGCAAGUUUCUCUUCUGAUUUCCAAGCGCCUGAUUCACUAUAGGUUGCCAAAUCAUAGGAAUUGCACCUUGUGUGCCAAAAAACUGGAGACUGUGGAGUGCGUUUUCAGUCGGAAGUGUGGAAGGAAGAUGUUGGAUCGCGGCAGGGAUGCUGGGAUUGUUGCACUUAUUUGGUCCAAAUGGCUAGCUUUCUUUUGGGUUGUGGAAGGAAGAUUCUAAAUGUCGUCUUCUCAGUUUUUACGAAUUUAGCAUCCCAAAAUGAGACUUUUUUUUAUUUCCAACAAUACAUUUCCCUGUUGACAUUCUGCGUAUGCCGUGCUGUUCAAGAAUGUAGGACCUCCUAAAAUUUCUAUCACAUCAAAUGUUUAGAUACUAAUUAGAAGUAUUCAACAUAGACUAAUUAUAAAACCAAUUACACAGAUGGAGACUAAUUUGCGAGAUGAAUCUAUUAAGCCUAAUUAGUCCAUGAUUUGAUAAUAUGGUGCUACAGUAAGCAUGUGCUAAUGAUGGAUUAAUUAGGCUUAAUAGAUUCAUCUCGUGAAUUAGCCUCUAUCUGUGUAAUUAUAGUUUUAUAAUUCGCUCAUGUUCAGUUCUCCUAAUUAACAUCCGAAUAUUCGAUAUGACAUGAAUAAAGUCCGAACUAAAUUACCAAACACCCCAUGUUAUACGACUUGGAAAGAAAAUGGGCGCCCAAAGCCCAUGAAUUAUUUGGCCCUAGCCCAGCCUGGUUAGGCGACGUAGGAGGCCUUUUUCUCCUGCAUGGCCUCCGCGAUCUUGGACCACUUGGUGCGGGCUGUGAUCACCAGCAGCGAGAAGGUUUGGCAAGCCAGCCCGCAGAUCAGGCCCACCCACAAUCCCUGCACAAAAAUAGUUAAGACGCUGAUUAUUACUGGUGGUGUCUCAGACAGAGUGCAGCUCGCUCGCCGCGUCGAGCCGACACGGCCGCCGCAAAUCACCGGGCCCGCAGACUGGUUAAUUCGCUCACUGUGUCACAGUAUUUUACCUUGGCGUAGAACUUGAGCUUGAAGGCGAAGAGGAGGGCCAGCGGCAUGGCGACGAAGUAGUAAGCCACCAGGUUGGUGAGCGCCGCGAGAUGCUGCCACCCACAGCCCCUCGACACGCCUGCACGCCGGUUCGUCAUUUUCCAGGAUUCAGGGAACGCUAAUCCACCAGUCACCGGUGGAAUACGAUGUGUCUGGUGGAAAGGGUGGAUCCGGCGACGACGCGUGAUCGCCGGCCGGUGGAGCUAGCCCUCACCUGACAGGACGCUCUGCAUCGUCUCGAACACGAUGGAGACGAUCAUGAGCGGCGUGAUGCCGCCGAACGCCGACACGAUCACCGCGCUCCGGCUGAAGAGGCUCGCCCACACGUCGUGCCCGAACGCCAGCAGCAGGACGAAGGCGAUGCAGAGGAGCACCGCCAGCUUCAUCGUCACCAGCACGGCGUUCUUGGCCUUGUCCACGUUCCCGGCCCCGACCUCAUUCGACACCCGGGUGCUGCAAGGUGAGAUCGAAUAGACCGGGUCACGGUGGGCACAAGGCAACAGCAGCUGAAGCUGAUAGUAAAUCAAGAGCAUGGAUGUUGCUAGUCAGAUGAAAUAUAAUCGGCAGUACCUCACAGCGGCGCUGAACCCGUACGUGGUCAUGUAGCCGAUGGCCUCGGUGCUAGUGCUGCACGCGCACAUUCCAUUGAUCAGUUUGUUUCAUUUCAUGACGAGCCAUUGCGUACCAUAACUCCUAGCAGCUAGUGAUGCAGCUUCAGCCUCGAGAUGACUUACCACAUGGCGAUCAGCGACGUGCUCACCGUGGAAUUGGGGAGCAAGCCGGCGACGAGGACCAGGAGCUCGAACGCCCAGAUCUCCAGGCUGCAACGGGACCACGACGUCGCGCACGUUAAACACGUGCUUUCCGCACACAGCAGCAACACCGGCCGGACCUUAGCCUUGAGCGGAAACACUUACCAGACCAUGACGGCGGACGGCACGGCGAGCCUCGCGGUGGGCAGCACGUACAUGAAUGCCUCGGCGGAGAACCCCGGCCACGUCUCGCGGAACGCCUCCGACCGCAGGAUGUACGCGAGCAGCAUCAGGCAGGCGACCCAGAAGGUGACCGAGAUGGCGGCGGGCGCGCCGGCGAGCCCGAAGCCGAGAACGUUCACCAUCAGGUGCGACAGCACGACGUGGAGCGCGAACGGCGCCACGGAGCAGACGACGAGCGGCACGACGACGGACUGCGUCUGCAGGUAGCGCAGCAGGCACUGGAGGAAGGCGAACGCGAAGAGGCCGGGGACCUGGGGCCGGAUGAACGCCGCCGCCUCGCGGGCCACCUCGGGGUCCUGCCGGAGGAGGAGGAGCAGAGGCUCCGUGAACAUCCAGAGCACGGAGAUGAGCGCCGACACCGCCGCCGACAGGAGCAGCGACGACUGCAGGUACAGGCCCAGCAUGCGGUGCAGCCGGGCGCCGUACGCCUGCCCGCACAGCGUCUCCAGCGCCCCGCUCAGGCCCGUCUGAAACAGUCAUUCCUCGCGUGUUAUGCCAACGUACAACGUUUUCAACAAUAUAUUUUUUUUGAAACUGAACGUUUUCAACAAUAGCCAAUAGUCGUAUCUAAACCACGUAACUGCUGAUGCACACCUCGACCAAUGUUUCCACGAUACUAGCCAGUAUGAUUGCACUUCAUAAAAUCAUUGUCAUGGCACUUCAUAAAACUGCUUACGUACAUCUCGUGGCGACCUAGCUCAAUCAAAAGGUGGGCCCGCCCGGGACUGGAUGGUACCUAGCGCCCGGUAGCCGGUAGAGCAUAUUGGCACAGGCAAUGAAGACGGAUGCCUACCAGCAGGCAGCAGGCAGCAGGCACGAAAUUGAAUUGGAAUGCUGAGCCAUUCAAUCUGGAUAGAAGGAAAUGGCUGGUCUGCAGGACUUGCCUCUACAGUUGGGUCACACGUGUGGGACCGGGCCCGCUGACAUCAAGGGCAAGCCUAACUACUGCCUAUGAUUGGUGUACGUGUAGGGUCAUGUUUAGUUUCCUCCAAACUCCCAACUUUAAUACUAUGAAAAAGAAGAUUCCCCAUCACAUCAAACUUGCGGUACAUGCAUGGAGUACUAAAUGUAGACGAAAUCAAAAACUAAUUGCACAGUUUUGUUGUACUUUGCGAGACGAAUCUUUUGAGCCUAAUUAGUCAAUAUUUGGACAAUAAUUCACAAAUACAAACGAAACGUUACAGUUGCGCAUUUAUGGUAAAAUGCCAAUUUUGACACUCCCAAAUUGGGAACUAUAGGUAGAUUUUGGGCACCGAACGGCAUGUGUGGACUGUGACUACUCACUGUUACCCUUACAGCUAGCUAGCUACAGUACUGCUGCUGAAAAAUCCGAAACCGUCAGUAUACAACCAAAAAAUAAUUCAGGUGAGAUGGGAAAUGAUCUAGCAUGCAGGAGAUGUAGGAGGGUAGCUGGUACGUACGGCCAGGGCGUAGCCGGUGACGGUGGCCCAGGAGUUGCCGAGCGUGGCGCCGGCGAGCUGGACGUCGCCGAGUUGGCCGGAGAACAUCACGGACACCAGCGGGAUGCCGUAGUACGCCAUGCUCGUCAGGAUCAUCGGCACCGCGAACUGCAGCUGCGCCCACGCCUCCUCGGUGUCCACCACGCGGCCGAGCCACGACGCGCACAGGCCGCCAGCAGCGCCCCCGCGCCACGACGGGCGACGCUCCUGGCCGCCGCCGCCGCCAUCGUCGCCGGGCUCGCGGGAGCCGAGCAGCGGGGCGAGAGACAUGUCGCCGGCCGGUCGGCCUAGAGGAACCCGGGCUCUCUAGCUGCGCUCUGCCGCCGGCGGAUUCGAUUCGCCCCUCCUCGGUUCCUGACGGCUCGUGUGUUCUUGGUUGGUGCUACUUCUUUUUUUUUUUGUAUAUAGUAUAUGAGAACUCCAGUGAUGGCUCGUGCGCCGCGCGAUGUAUAUAGGCGAACAGGCCGGGAGCAAACUAUGGCACGGCUGCCCCCGUCUUCCCGCGAGCCGCCUCCAUUUAAUAUAAAAUUUGGGAACCGUUGGCCGUCCUACCAUUCCCCGUGUGUACUGUCUCGCUCCUAGCCCCCAGCUCGCUUGCGGCGAUGACGACCGGCACGCUCGUAUUUCAGCUGGCAUGUCAUGUGGCAUCCGACUCCCACCUGCUCAUCCGCAUGUGGCAAACAGCAAACGUAGCUGACAGGCUGAUGACACCAAGUCCCGACCGAGGACCAGAGGCCAGACACACGUGAUCCACGCUUCCGAAUGAUACUCCACAGUCGCGGCCUUGCGGUGCAGGGGACCUUCAGGCCUUCAUCUUUUUGUUUUUUUUUUAAAGGACAUUCAUCUUUCUGUCACUUAGCAGGCGAUUAGGGAAUCGAGUACCUUCAACAGCAACCGCUGGUUUCAUCCUGUCCCUUUUUGUCUCAACAGAGACCGUACCACUGGCUGUAUCUAUUUUGUCCAUUAUUAUGGGACUUGGUUAAGCCGUGGAAUCUCGCAUUUGCUAUUAUCGAUCGAAGGCUCCGUUUUGUUUUGCGUGCCUUGGAUCUGCUUGGCGCAACCCGGUGGUUCGAGGUGGAGCUCUGCCGUUUUGCUAUUAUUCGGUUUUUUUUCCCCAAUGAAUGGUUGAAAACCAAAAUGCGUUAGUCACUAUAAGGGGAGAUGUUGUAUGCUUACGUUAAACCCCAAGUAGGCCAACCCUUGCUACUCAUACCAAAGUACUUCAAUAACUUUGUGUAGGAUUAUGACUUGUUGAGCAUUUUCCAUGCUCGUAUUUGCUUAUUUCGUGGUUUUUCAAUUGAGAUGUAGAUGUUUAGUAGGAAGCAAAGGUGACGUCCACUCCCUAAUUUGCCUAUUGCAUUAUUAGCAUUUGUACGGGAAGAAAUGAAAAUGGGUGGCAACAAGUUUGGCGGUGGCUGCGGGUGCGGUGCUGCAAGUGAUGCCAUAGGGCAACCAUGGUUAAUCCAUGGGAACUUGGGAAGGGUUGGUGGUGGGGCAAAACAACUGUACUGAGUAGUGGACGGCAGGGAGGAGCUGCGGCGUUAUGUGGGCGGAGUAGUGCAGUGGUGAGGUCGUCGCUAGCUGCAAAGUGGUGGUGGAGGCCGUUGGCAGCGGGGUCUACUACUGCUACCCACGGUGUAGAAGAAUGUAUAGAUAAAUAAAGGUUUAAUUGGAUCUGUGCCACUAUAACUUUCAAGUUUUUGAGCCACACCACUACUGUUUGAGUUAUAGGAUGCAACUGUUUGAGUUAUAGGAUGCAAGACAUUACAAUUUCGAAGUUGUUUGAGAUAUGCCAUUUUCUACAUCUUUAACAUCGUUGGAUUCACAUGCAUAUCAAUGUAUUUUCGUAUGGACUAACUCUCUCACUGCACUCACUGACGCAUGGAUCCCACAACUUUCAUGAUAAUAUUCUUAGAAUGCCUUCAUGGAAAAAUUUCCACUUUUUUAAGCCUUUCUGGAUAAUUUACACAUGUUUUCAACGUUCAAUCCGACAAAACUUGUUAAAAAAGUCUUAAAAAAGCAGGUUCAACUAAGUUUUGUAAAGAGAUAUCUUAGUCGGAACACACAAUCAUCCAAUUUCUUUACGAAAGCUUGUUCAAACAAAUAAGAUCAAACAUGUAGCCUAGAAAACUUAGUCAUAGAAGUUUUAAUGUAGAAAAAGACAAAGGUAAUAGGAUCUAUUUCUAGUAAGCAUGAUGGAGACAAGUACUGUGGCAAUAAAUAAAAAUAAAUACAUGAUGGAAGGAAAAAUACAAAAAAUAGAAUAGGAAAAAGGAAAAGGAAAAGGAAACAAAGAAAAAAAAAAGGAAAAGGACGGGGCAUUUUCACCUUUGGGUCCUAUGGUCUGGACAAUGCGUCACGUGCUGGUUUCCUAGCGAGCGGGUGACGACGAGAAACGAGAUUUCCCCAACGUUAACCCUUGUUCUUCAAAUUUACCGUGCGUUUAUCCGAUCAUUAUUUAGUGGCGUUUGCACAAGUUUCAGUCUUCAAGGCUGUUAGCAUGCUAGUGGAAACAAAAUUGUCGGCCAACGGUGUUCAAUAGAAGGCCGAGCUGGACAUAACAAAAAGCUCACGCGUCGUUUUACUGUCUACCUCGGGCAUGCUAUUCUCUGAUUCUCUUCCGUGAUGCGAAGACGGGGAACGGCAUCUCAGCCAUAGUCUCUUCUCGAGCAGCAAUUACAAACUCCCCGUACUAUGCGAUCCCGUAGCUGGCCUUCUCCUCCUGGAUCGCCUCCGCGAUCUUCGACCACUUGGUGCGGACGGUGAUCACCACCAGUGAGCAGGCUUGGCAUACCAGCCCGCAGAUCAGGCCAGCCCACAGACCCUGCAAGAAAGUCGAUUUCAGGGAUCGAAAGGAUUAUUCGAUUGUUACCGAAAUCAUCUCCGUUCGAGUAUGACUUAUGAGAGUUGCAGCUGGCUCGCAGAACUGAUCACUGUCAGACCGACUGUUUACCAUGGUGUUGAGCUUGAGCUUGAAGGCGAAGAAGAUCGCCAGCGGCAUGCCGAUGAAGUAGAAAGCCACCAGGUUGGUGAGCGCCGCGAGAUGCUGCCACCCGCACCCUCUCGCCACACCUGACAGGACGCCCUGCGCGGAGUCGAGCACGAUGGAGAUGAUCACGAGCGGCGCGAUGGUGGCGAACUCCGACACGAUCACCGCGCUCCCGCUAAAGAGGCUCGCCCAGAGGCCGUGGCCGAACGCCAGCAGCACGACGAAGGAGAUGCCGAGGAGCACCGACAGCUUCAUCGUCACCGACACGGCGUUCUUGGCCUUGUCCACGUUCCCCGCUCCGAUCUCAUUCGACACCCGGGUGCUGCAACGCGAAAGCAACGCCAGGCCGCCGCCGUAAGCACAAGGCGACGGUAAACAGUAAACUGUAGCAGACAUUAAAAGAGCAGGUGGGAUCAGGUAGGUAGACGGCAGUAGCUACGUACCUCGCAGCGGCACCGAACCCGUACGUGAUCAUGUAGGCGAUGGACUCCGUGCUAGUGCUGCACCCAGUUCGUUGGUCAGAUUGCUUGAAGGCGAGCCAUGGCGUGCAUUAGCUAGUUUGACGGAACAGCAACUCUAGCUAGUGAUGCAGAUUUAGUCUCGAGAUUGCAGACGACAUACCAUAUGGCCACCAGCGAUGUGCUCACUGUGGAGUUGGGGAGCAAUCCGGCGACCAGGACCAGGAGCUCAAACGCCCAAUACUCAAAACUGCAAUGGGAAUUAUAUGUAGUUUCGCACACGUUAAUUAUGCGCAGCAGGUCAGCAGUAACAGACGACCCCAUCAAGAAAUUCAAGAAGCGAUCGCGCGUAAACGCUUUACCAGACCAUGACGGCGGACGGCGCGGCGAGCUUCGCGGUGGGCAGCACGUAUCUGAAUGCCUCGGCGGAGAACCCCUUCCACGUCUCGCUGAACUCCUCCGACCGCAGCACGUACGCGAGCAGCAUCAGGCAGGCGACCCACAAGGUGACCGAGACGGCGGCGGACGCGCCGGCGAGCCCCAAGCCGAGCACGUUCACGAGCAGGUGCGUCAGCGCGACGUGGAACGCGAACGACGCGGCGGAGAAGGCGACGAGCGGCAGCACGACGGACUGCAUCUGCAGGUAGCGCAGCAGGCACUGGAGGAAGGCGAACGCGAAGAGGCCGGGGAUCUGGGGCCGGACGAACGCCGCCGCCGCGCGUGACACACGGGGCUCCUGCCGGAGGAGCAGCAGCAGCGGCUCCGUGAACACCCACAGCACGGAGACGAGCGACGACGCCACCGUCGACAUGAUGAGCGACGACUGCAGGUACAGGCCCAGCUUGCCGUACAGCCCGGCGCCGUAGGCCUGCCCGCACAGCGUCUCCAGCCCGCCGCUCAGGCCGAUCUGGAACAUCCAUCCCGUCCGCACGCAUUAGUAUAGUGUUACUUCUGUCUGUCGAUCUGUCUAUGAUGUUGUAUCUAACAAUGCAAUUGUAUGAGCAAUUCAGGUAGAUGAUCCUACUAGAGCCACAUUUUCAAACAUACUGUAGAAAUUAUAAUUGUUAUCGCAGUUUUAUUCACUGAUACACAUGUGCCCCAUGAACGGGCAACGGGCUGCCACACUCUGCCAGCAACCGAGACGACGUGCGUGGCGAGCUCGUGGUCCCGCGCGGCCGGGAAGACGCGAGGAAGAGGAACGACGCCCACGAAUCCGACGCCGCGUGCCCUCUGUCCACGAAGCUGACACCAUUUUGUUUAUUUUCUCUUGAAUUCGGUAGUUUUUAGGUGGAGCGAACAGGAAAUCACAGUGUGCACGAGUAAACAAGAGUCGCGACAAUGCUACAUACCUACAGUACAUAGUACAGCCCUAGUACUCUUAUGUCAGUGUAUAAUUGUACUACGGUCUGUGUCCUUUUUCAAUGUUGGCUAUCCGCUGCCGUAAAGGUAGGGUCACAUCGGAUAUUCGGACGCUAAUUAGGAGGACUAAAUAUGAGUUAAUUAUAAAACUAACUGUAGAACUCCUAUACUAAUUCGCGAGACGAAUCUAUUAAUCUUAAUUCAUCCAUCAUUAGCAAAUGGUUACUGUAGCAUCACAUUGUCAAAUCAUGAACUAAUUAGGCUUAAUAGAUUUGUCUCGUGAAUUAGACUCCAUCUGUACAAUUAAUUUUGUAAUCAGACUAUAUUUAAUAUUCCUAAUUAGUAUCAAACAUCCGAUGUGAUAGGUACUAGACUCCAUGCACCCUCUAAGUACCAUGAUUGCCUCCCUCCUAGAAAAGAGCUGGAUUUUGUCACUUGAGCUGGAGUACAGUGUAUCUCAAUUCCAUAAAAACGGGGGGACUAACAAAGUGAGGGGGCGUGUUUGCCUUACAGAUAUAUAUAUACUUACAACGAAGGCUAAGCCAGUGACGGUGACCCAGGAGUUGCCGAGCGUGGCGCCGGCGAGCUGGACGUCGCCGAGGUGGCCGGAGAACAUCACGGACACCAGUGGGAUGCCGUAGUAGAACAUGUUCAUGAGGAUCAUUGGCGCCGAGAACCGCAGCUGCGCACACGCCUCCUCCGCGUCCACCACGCGACCGAGCCACGACGAGCGCCGCCGCUCCUGCUGGUGGCCGUCGGCCGCGCGGGAGCCCAGCAGCGGAGCCGAAGACAUGCCGCUGGUGACCGAGGGGAUCGGAUCGAGCUGUGUGGGCUAGCUGCGGUCUACGGGGGGUGGACAGGAACUGGACUGGUGGUGCCGCUCGCGGCCGCUAUUGACAGGCUGCGUGGUACUAGUAUUGGUGUGAACAGGCGGGCAGGCGCGGGGUCUGCAGGGAGAGUUCGCCUCGCCGAGCUGGCGCGUUCUAGUCACCGCGUUCCAAGCCGCCCGCGCGUAGGAUUGUCUACUCAAUUCUCGAGUGUUUUAAAGGCCUCCGAGCUCUCGAUUUUUUUAUUGAAAACAGGUAGUACUCUGUAGCUCAGAUUAAGGGCAUGUUUAGUUCCCCAAACUUCUAACUUUGAUACUAUGCAAAAAGAAGAUUUCCCAUCACAUCAAACUUACGGUACAUGCAUGGAGUACUAAAUGUAGACGAAAUCAAAAACUAAUUGCACAAUUUUGUUGUACUUUGCGAGACGAAUCUUUUGAGUCUAAUUAGUCAAUAUUUAGACAAUAAUUCAUAAAUACAAACGAAACACUAUACAACGUGCUACAGUGCUACGACAGUGAUUUUGCAUCUUCAAAGUUGGGCAACUAAACAAGACCUGCCUCCUUCUCUUUCCUCUAUCUAAAUUCUCCUGUUCACCGCGACUGACCGACGAACGCGACUGCGACGCUCAUACCCCCGCCGCCGCUCCCACGCGAACACGUCGCCAAUGCUUGUUCCCGUCGCCGGUGCUCACCUCCACCACCUCCAGCAUCCGGAUGUCCACCGCCACUGCGCCGCCCGUGCGCAGCCUCGACGAUCCGCCAUCUCGCCCGCCACCGCCACCGAUUAGCCUACCAUCCCGGGCCGUCCCUCUAAAUCCGCUUGAUACAGGUACGUCCCUCUCCCCGGCAAAACCCUUCCACACCGAACUUUCUAACCUCGUCGAACUUCCAUCGGAGUUGAGGAAUAAGACUUCGGGUGCUUUGAUCAAACGGCGUAGAGUUCGAUUGGGGGCUGAAUCUGAUGAUGUAAAAACCAGGUGCCGAGAAGCGAGAGCUCCAAAACACUCGAGAGUGUUGUAUAGAUUUAUCCAAAAUUAGUGUAUCUCCGUUCUCCGGCAAGGAUGAUGACGAGGCAGAGCUGUGAUCGUGGCGUAAUGAUUUUCCCAGAAAAUCAAGUACACGUGACAACAAACACUAUGGCACCUGCAGUGGACCCAACGCGUGGCACUCGUGCCUGACUGUGGGGAGCCGUACAGGGCACUCGCAACAGUCAAAGAGCAGAGUUACAGAGGACAAGACGACCAGACAGUGACAGACUGACAUCGUGACACCAUGUCACUGCAAGCGCAAGCUCGACUGGGAUACCGGGUUCUGACCUACCUCACGUGCAUGCACCAGCUUUGGCCGCGGCAAGCUCGACACGGAUCGUGGGCGUGGCAAACGUAUACGCUGGUCAGUUAAUAGUGGCAUGGACCGGCGCCGGGGCCAGCACGCCCACACGUGGUGCACGCGCCGGCUGAUGGGUACUCCAUCGUCGUGUUACAUGGACAAAUCACACAUCUACCGCAUUUUAUAUUAAAAAGAAGAUAAAACUCAAACGGAACGAAACAUCGAAUAGAAAAAAACAACAACACAAACACCGGCAAGUUGCAUUGAAUCAUCAACACAUGUCGCACCACGCCAUCGCACUUAACUCAAGUCAACAACGUAUCGGCCGGUUGGAUUGAGACAUCAACACGUAACGAGCUCAACUCAUCUCCAACACACUCUGCCCGGUCGGAUUGGGACAUCAACACGAGCCGCAAACUGCCCUCACUUCGUGGCAGCCCCUCAACGCUCGCCACCAUGGUAACAGCCCUACCACCACCAUGGGUCCACCACCACCCCAAACGAGCAACACCGACCUCCGGACGAAGCUAAAAACCCGCAAGUCACCACUUGCGCCGUCGUAACCGAUGAUGUUUCGCACCGAGCCAACCGCUGCCAUGCAGGGUUAGUCACCACGAACCGCUGCAAGUCGUGUAGCCAUCGCUCCAUCGUAGCCGCUUGCGCCGUCUCACGACGUUGUUCUGCACCGGGCUAACCUUGCCAAGCAAGAUUAGCCGCCGCAUCCCGGCAAGCCGUGAAGCCAAGUCACAAGUAACCACCAUUGACUGCCGCCAAGCCGCCUACACCAUCUCCAACCAACCAAUGGACACUCCAAAAAAGCAGACAUCAGCCGCCGUCGAGGGAUCCUCCGACGCGAUGUCUCCAACAAGAGAAACGGUGUCCUUAGACGCCCUCAUCGUUGUUCCGACUGGAGCACGACUUUCGCCAUGAGGACAUCCCACCGAUGGGAGAGUAUGCAUCAUGCCGACGCCUCCGAGGAGCGUGGCGCCCAAAGGCGACACCAUCGCAAGGCUUUCGCCCACUACCACACUAACCUGAACCAACAACGAAGUAGCCCGGAGCAGAGAGAGCGGGGCCAUCGUAGUUAACCACACCACCACGGCGUCGCUGACGUGCACCCGCGCAGCCACAAGCAGUUACGCCACCACGGCGUCGCUGGAAGCAGCAGUGUAGGCUGCCGGUGGCCACGCCACCACGAUGCAACCGAGAACUUCGAAGGCACAUCUCGACGCCUUCGCUCCACUGCAGCAUAGUAGCUGCCCACCGCUUGAAUCAAGCGCAAGGCCACCACCUCCUCACUCCGCAUCUGGUCACCGUCACGAGCAGCCCCUCACCCUGCACGGGCCGCCGGCACGCGCGGCCCUAACACCUCCUGGGCCGCAGCCGCGCGGCCAUGCUACCUCGCCGAGCCGCCACCACGGCCGCCCUCACACGACGCCUACUGCCAUUGCUGCGCGGCCACCAAGCACUGCGCGGGCCGCCACCUCAUUACCUCGCCUCUCCGCCCCGCGCCAGCCGUCACGACACACGACCUUAUCUCCCGCGCAGAUCGAGGCCCACGCCACCCCAUGGAAGGCCGGGCCUUGCCACAGUGCAAGUGCGGUGCACCGUCGCUGCCGCCGGACCCUGUCGCGUCGCCCGCGGGCUGUCACCUCGCCUUGCGCUAGGCGUGCCACAGCAGCCCCUUAGCCCAGCUUCAGCGUCCGACCGCCAGCUCGCCAUGCCCCGUGGCCGCUAGGUUGCCUCCACGCUCUGCGCUGCUGUGCCGCCACCGUGCCCCUGGCCAGCCCUGUCGCGCCGGCGCAAGCUCGCCGCCUCUCGUGCACCGUGGCCACCUCCCGAUCUCCCACUCAGAUCCGAGCGGAUGCGGCCAAGACAGGGCAAAAUCGCCUCGCCGCCACCUUCCGAGGGGACGCGCGGGCUUACGGUGGUGCCCUUCGGUGGCGGCGAGGUGGGGUGGAGGGAGGAAGGGAGCGACGGCGGCUAGGAUUUCGGUCGCCGCCCGUGUCGUCCGAGUAGGAGGGGACGCGGGGCCCGUUGAUGGGAGUGGUGGCUUACAUCUACCACAUUUUGCGGCCUCAUAAAGUUGCACGGGACAAGGUCGUCCACUAGUUUCCCGUCACACAGGUUGGUCCAGCGAAAACCAGCGCUUGGUGAUGGCGGUGACCGCUCACGACGUCGCGUCACCGCCAGAGCUCCCGGUUCGGAGACAAGUGACCUGUUCGCUUCAGCUUAUCAGCCGGCUUAUUAGCCAUCGAACAGUAUUUUUCUCUCACAACAAAUUAGCCGUUUCAGCUUUUCAGCCGGCUUAUAAGUCCAGCUCAACACUCCCAAGGUGAUAUGCGACAAAAGGCAACACUGCUGCGUAAAGGGGGUUUUAAAAGACGUGCAAGCGUCAUGUUGGAUCACGUGUGCCGCGUCGUGUUGUACUCGUACUCUGUUGGAGUAUGCACAGCAAGAUUGAACCGGUCAGUACAUAUUCAUACGUACCGUUUCAGGACAAUAAUGUGUGCGAUGUGUGCACCGCGUCCGUGGGCUCUGGGUUCCAUGCUUGGCAUCCGAUGAAGCAUCAAAUGCAACGAGGUUGUUUUUUAGCACGUUGAUGAUGAAGUUGAAUGAUGGAUGUGAUAGUGUAAGAACUUAUUACCGUAUCUUUUUUUUUUGGAGAACCUCGAAGUCUCAAUACAAGCUAGUGCCCCCAGUUAUUUUGAAAUUCUAAGGCUGUUGUCUAUUUGACUUGCCAUAUCACACAUAGACGGCUAAAAAGAAAGCUCGUACAAUAAGCUACCUAUUUAGAUAUCUGCAAGCUCUUUAAUUCAUUCGUACACACGCUAAUCAAGUGUACAUUUAACCUUUGUAGCUAUUUUGGUGCUAGAUUGAGAGAAUGCAUUGUAUAUUAAAUUAAGUACUCCAAAUACAUUAUAUGAUUUAGUAAAGUUACAAUACCAUUCGAAAUACAUAAGUUAUUUUCUAUCUUCUUGAUGUUAAAAGGACUUCUCUUUGAUUUCUAUUUGUACUAAGGGACAAAUCGUAAAAAUAGCAAGGAUAGUUAUCUGAACUGCCUUUCCCUUUCUCCCGUUGACUCUCCUCUCUCUCUGAGUCUCUUGAAUCCUCGAUCCGUCAUGGCGCGGCAGCAAGCAUCCAACGGCAGGUGCGGCUCAGCACGGGCGGCAGCAAGCAUCCAGUGGCAGGUGCAGCUCGGCACGGGCUGCGCUACGUCCGGCGGCCGACGCGACGUGGCAUGGACGCCGAGACAGCCGGCGGCUGUCGCAGGUCGAGGUCGGUGCGGGCGGCCGGCUGGCAGCGUAGGCCGGCGUGACGCACACGCAGCUCAGGUAUGUCCGCCAUUGCUGAUUUUUCCCCAGCAAAAGGAGUAUCUGUGCAGAUCGGGCAGCGCCAUCAUCAGGCAGUCACGGGCGUAGCUGCGCGCAUCGGAUCAGCGGGCGCCGUCGUCGGGAGAAGUCGACCGAUACAACGCGUCGACGCCUUCUCGGAGCACGGGCACGAGACGACGGCUCUCGCAUCUCUCUUCAUUGAAUACUGUACAUGUCGGAUGCUUUUGCUUGCGUCGCGCUACAAAGACGAGUGUCGUCUCUCUGUUGUACAGGCGUCCUAUAUUCUUGUGAUUUUUCUAGAAUUGACCUCAUUAAUUAUUGUUGUGGCCUAGGUAAAGCAAGAUAUUGACCAAUGACAUCUGUCAAAUACUCCCUCCGGAUCCUUUUCUUAGGCGUCUCACGGUUUUUCAAAAAUAUCGAUAUGUAGGGCGGAUGCAGGUUCCCAAGCGUACAUUAAAUUCAUUGAAAAGAGUAAAUGCUAAUGCCAGCGCUGACCAAUCAUAGGUGAGGGAUCCAUGCGGGCUUGGGAGUUGGCCAAUCACGCGAGGCAGUCAUGCGCGUAGCACGACGCCAGGAGAGCGCAGGAGGCCAGCAGGAGCCGAGGUGAACGCGUCGUCAGCGAUUCCAGCACGGUACCCAGCACAUAUUUAGGGGCCGUUUAGAUAACUCCCGCUAAAGUUUAGCAUCCGUCAUAUCGGAUGUUUGAAUGCUAAUUAGGAGUAUUAAAUAUAGAUUAAUUAUAAAACUAAUUGCAUAGAUGGAGUCUAAUUCGCGAGAUGAAUCUAUUAAGCCUAAUUAGUCCAUGAUUUGAUAAUGUGAUGCUACCGUAAUAAUUUGCUAAUGAUGGACUAAUUAGGCUUAAUAGAUUCGUCUCGUGAAUUAGCAUAAGGGUUCUGCAAGUAGUUUUAUAAUUAGCUCAUGUUUAGUCCCCCUAAUUAGCAUCCGAACAUCCGAUGUGACACUGCUAAAGUUUAAUACCUAGCAUCCAGCACCCCCUUAAUCAUCUCGAUGGUGUUCUUGGUAACUGGGUGGCUCGUCGCCGUCGUGCCGAGAAACGAAAACGGAGGGAGUACUCAAAUGUGAGAUGAUCUUGAGCAGGGAGACAUGGAUGUCCUCUCCCAUGUCACUUAUCUUAAAAUAUCCGUUUUUAUUCACUUUUGUACCUAAUGUUCACACUUUUACAUUGUAAUGUAAGGAGGUAGACCAGUGAACUAGAUUACUACAAUGAUACUAAAAGGGAGGUGGAACACUACCGGAAAAAAUUUAGUGCAGCUAGGGUCAAUUCGCGCCCGGAUCCGCACCACCAUGGAUCGUGGCUAAAAGCUCCGUGGCCACUACCAUGGUGACCAGUACAGCCCAGACUCUGACCCUGUUGUACGUGUGCCUUAGACUAGGGACGAGCAUAAUAAAAUGAUUUAAGUAUGCUGAAGAGUUGCCGUGUUAGAUUUGUGCUAAAUUGGAGGAGAGAUAAGAGAUGUGAGAUUGGAGAUUAAGAAUAUGCCUAAGGCUAAGAGUAUAAUAAUAUGGUAUGGCUAGAUAGGGCAGCGCUCCUGCUAAUUAUUCAAAAAAAAAAGAUGAUAUAGCUAGAUGAUCGAUGUACGGGCUCCAAGAAGCUUGUGGGAGAACGAGAUGAUAAAAAGGUUGGAUUAGUAUAUAUCUACAACUAAACAAUUGUAUGAGUGAUCUAUUAAUUUGUUAUUGAUGAUGUAGCAAUAAUAUAAGGCCCAUUUCGAUUAUAUUAUCUCGGGAUUUCUAAACAUCUCUCGAUUGAUUUUGUUUGUUGCUUUCACUCGACUACUUACUGUCGGCUUUGAUUUUUUUUUAGAUUCGUGAAGUUUAAGGGUUAUAUACUCCGUAUGUUGUUGGAGUGCCUUUUGGGCUUGUUUUUGGUAUCGGCCCACUAAUGAAAUCCUUUAAACAGUGAAAUGACCCUGCUGCUGUGUCUGUCCGUCUCUCGUCUGGGCUUCUGGCCACACCCGGCCCGGCCCCUCUCACCACUUUGGCCACUCUAUCUAAUGUCUCUAUCUCACCGCAAGCCCAACUGAACAGGCAGAACUGCAGCCCAAGCCCACCUACUCUGUUCUCCAUUUGCAUAGGCUGCUCCUCGUCGGAAAACCUAUCUGGCUCGGAAGCCGGAAAAUACUUGGCGGUGUCCGAGAUUCGUGCAACAAAUAUGGUUCAUUGGAUGCUGCGUCGUGCCUCCACCCUAGGUCAGCUCCGGCGUGCCGCCACCUCCGUCGGGUCGCCCCUGCCCGGCCGCGCCGCUCCUCCCGUGCGGCCGUCGCCGCUACAAAGUGCUAUUGCUUUGCACUUUUCAAGUGAAGGAAAAGUGUAAAAUUUCAUGGGAAGGAAUUUGUAUUCUUGGAGAAUUAGUUUUAAUUAGGAGUAGAAUUUCUAGUUUUCAUGUGCACUUCUUGAAAGAUUCCCAUUAGGGACUACACCUAGUUUGUCUUUUUACAGUUUCAGGAAUAUGUCUCCACGCCUUGUUGCGACAUGGUCGUGUGUUUCAUUUAUCAUGAUAUUUAGAUUUAUAAAUUCUUUUCCUACAUACAUUUGUAGAACUAAAUCUCGUUGAGGUAACAGCCUUGAUUGCGGCUUCUAUUGUGCUCUUUAUAUGGAUUGUUGGGAUGAGUUAAAGUUGAAAGAAUUUGAUCAGGUUAGCAAGUUUGUUAACAUUUUAAAUGCUACAUUAUUCCAUGCAUAUAUGAAUUUCUUUAUAUUUUGUUUGAAUUAUGGUUUUAGACCUCGUGUGAUCGAGUUUCGCAAGAUUGUGGCAUACAAAUCUACCAGUAGUCGCUGAACAAGGCAUGCCCUCAAUCUGCUGAUGUAAGUCCCGUCAAGAUAUACAAGAGGUAGAAGAAGUAGGCAUGUUAGCAAGAAGUGGUAGAAUGCUAGUCUCAUGUAUAUAAAUACGGUGGAAGAUCUGUUUUUUUCCCUAACAGUGCAAUGUACAAACCAUACCAUCACUACCGGAAACCUCAAAUUUGCCGAGUGUUUUUAUGUUUACCGAGUGUACUAGAGUUGACACUCGGCAAAGUUUUAAAUAUUGCCGAGUGCUUUUCAGCUUAACACUCGGCGAUAUUUUAAAUAUUGCCGAGUGCUUUCUUCGUAACACUCGGCAAAGCUAAGAUUUUUGCCGAGUGUUUUUUCAUCGUGAUACUCGGCAAAGACUCCGUCACCGUCUUCUCACCAUCCUCGUCACUUUUUUUUGCCGAGUGUCAACCUAGCACUCGGUAAAACUUUUGCCGAGUGCCUGACAAAAAAUACUUGGCAAAAAAAAGUUUGCCAUUAAAAUCGAUGCCGAGUGUUGGUUGCCAAGUGUUACACUCGGCAAAACUUUUGUCGAGUGUUUUUGGGACUUUGCUGAGUGCCAAGGGCACUCGGCAAACCUCCUGUUUCCCGUAGUGCAUGUGUUAUACUUGUCUCAUGCAACUAAGUGUGGCUUCUGGAAUGCUUACGAACAUUUUUUGUGCUAUUAUUUUUAGUUUGAACAUUUCCACUGGUUCAAGAUUUCUACUAUCUUAACGCAGCAUUUUAUCAGUGCAGUUUCAACAAUUGAAAUGGUCUGGUUCAACAUUUUGUUAGUUUAAUGUAACAAUUCCUAAGUGUAGUCAUAACAGUUUCAAUGGUCCGGUACAUCAUUUUUAAUAUUUGGAUGCAACAUUUCUUAUUUUAAUUCCAAUAUUUCUACUAUUUCAAAUCAACAUUUUGUAUCAGUUUCAACAUUUUCCAAUGACUAGUUUCGACAUCUCUACUAAUGAUACUCAACAUGUUAUAUAUUCAACUUCAACAUUUCAUAUUCUACUGUCACUAAGUUCAAUAUUUUCAUAAAUAACACUGUUCAUAUUCCAACAUUUGAGAUUAUUAUAUUUAAAACUUUACAUUUAUGUUUUCAACAUUUCCAAUAAGUUGGUUCAACAUUUCAGCUAUUUCAACGUAACAUUUAAAAUCCACUUUCAACAUUUUCAAUACUUUGUUUCAACAUCUCUUUUAAUUAAACUCAACAUUGUCUAAUUUUCUUUUCAACAUUUAAAAUGAAUAUGUGCAACAUUUCUAUUAAACUACAGAUGCUUGUGUUCCGAGAAAUUUUAUCUUGUCGGAUUACUUCCCAUACUUGUGUUCUGAGAAAAUUUAUCUAGUGGAAUUACUUCCGUGCUAGUGUUCUGUCUUACAUAAACCAUUCUUCAGAAUCAAAAAAAUUCAAAUUUUUUAGUGUAACUUCAGCAUGUGUCUUAAAACCUUCUCUGUCUACGAGUCUCAAAAUGUGCCAUGUAUAUAUUCAUAUCGAUUAAAUUGGUUGCAAUUUUCAUUGGUUACUUGCAACUUCAAACUUAAGUUUCUAACUUGGUGGGCCCACCCGUCACUGUUCCCCUUAAAACCAUAUGCCCCGCAAAAAAUUCCAGACUUGCAUGCCUUUCGAUGUGUCACAGAAAAAGUCUAGCUAGUCGGCGGUAGACCAAAAUAAUAGCACCGAAUGAACCGAAUGCCUCUAUAUGCCUGCGUCGUGCUGUGAAAAAAGUCUUGCUGGUGGACUGUUUAUUGGGCUCAACAUGGACUUUAAAGUUAAGUGCCGGAAGCCACUUCUCCUCAUCGCAAUCGUCGCGGCUCACCAUCACACCAAUCGCCAUCGCCCCGACUCGUGGAUUUCAACGGCCCCGAGCUAGAGUCGCAGGCAGGACGAGGCACCUCAUCCCCUUCCCAUCGCCACGACCUCCAGUGCUCCACAUCUUCGACAACUUGAUGGGCAUGGCGCCGCCUGCGCCGUCUACUCACCGUGGCAGCAGCCGGCAGGAGGGCCCUUUUCCGAAAUAACCAAUGUGACAAUCAACAUCAACAAUUAGUAAGCCUUUGAUUAUAUUUCUCAUUUCCCGCUGGUUAUUGCAAUCGAUAUACUCCGCAAACAUUGUUGUUCUUCAACUGAAAUUUCCAUUGGUUAUUAAUUGUUCAAUCCAUUGUUUUUUUUGCCCUUUGCAUGCCUUCAUUUUGUAUAAUUCGUUUCGUUGGACCCUUAUUUCACGUGCCUUUUCUCUUUCUAAUUUCAGGAGUUCAUGUUUUUUUUCUUAAACCCAUCGUUUUGCUAAAGGAAUGUUGCCUAUGAAGCAAUUAUUACUCAGCCGGUGUGUCAGUACUGUAUUUAUCUGUACCACUAUUUAAGAAUGAAUGACACACAUAAAAUGUGCGCACGAGAAAAGUAUGUUUGAGGUUAGAGGCCCACGACGUUAGGAACUGUAGCGCCACUGUAGAGGGAGACGGCCUGAAUGCCUGAUACCCACGCGCUGUGCAUAGCCACCUCGCGGACCAAGGUGUCGAUGAGCAAACUGGCACUGCUUCUUUUCUUUUUCCUUUGUUUUUUUGCGAAACUGGCACUGCUACUGAAGGCUACCCGGCAACCGGCAUGGUGCAGAUGCAGAUGUCUGAUGGAAUCCUUUAGCCCUAUCAAACUACAGACCUCGCUCGGACAUGAUUAUCAAACGAGGGGGGCCAAGCGAGCGAAAUCUGCCAGCUAUAUGCCGAACAAGGACAGAGACACGCCACCACACAUGAUAUAGCAACCUGCGGUUACGCCAGGGUGGUCUUGCACCGUACCCACGUGUAGCAUCCGAGAGGACCGGUGGUUCAAGGCAAUCGACUCUCCUGACCAGGAACCGAGAGCAGACAAAGUUCAGGCAAUCAUCUAUGGCGUGGAAUCUGUGGAAGGGGAGCGUUGCCGUCGGACUUUUGACAACAAGGCAAUGACACGCACGACGCACCAGAUCAGCAAAGAGUUUCUACACGCAUAUUGGCAGUUGCCGGACGGGCACGACCGGUAACCACAGUAGCAGAGUUUUCCUUUGCAAAUUCCUGCUUAUCUUUUCCUUUUCAUCUGUGCUAGCCUAGAUGCAAGCACCUGCCCAUCCUUUUUCUUCCUACUAUAAUGAAAACGGCAGAGCACCUGCCGGAGCGUGCUCAAAAAUGAUGUGAUGGAACAUAUGAACCACUAGCUGGCUCAAAAACUCGUCUGGGAGAGCCGCAGGGAGCACGGGCGUACUGUCGUGAAUCCAGAACGGGGCUGCACCCGGCGCACUUGGCACUGGCAGUUUGCAUCAGUGGCGGAUGCAAGCAUGCAAUCCAUGCCUAGUAGAAGCUUAUUCUUCCUCCCUCCUCUUUUUUCUUCGUUUCCUUCUCUUUUUCUUCCUCAAAAGACUCAAGGAGGGCUCCACUGUCCGAGAGGCGGUAGGGGAACUUGAGCCCCACCCGCUCCAUUGCUAGAUCCACCCUUGGUUCAAAUUAUUACAAAUAUGUAAUAUUUUUUUAAGAGUACUGUUUAUUUUUGUUGUUAAACUAUCAUGAGAGUUUGGUUAUGAUCCUCGAACUCUAUAAACUAGGCAAAAUUCUUCUUCAACUAUUAAUAUGCAUUUUCUCCCUCAAUCUGGUUUCACAUGCGGUUGUCAGUUGUCACCACAUCAUUAUUGGCAGCCACGUCACAAGAGUAAGGAAGGAAGGAAGAAGACUGAUGCCCAAAUAAUCUUAGACCCAAUUUUUUUAAUUUUGUUGAGUAAGCUGAGUUGUCAGCAAAAAGAAGUGACGUGGCUACCAACAACAUGGCAAAGCCAUCCAUCAAACUAAUCAUGUUGAAAUGUGCAUAGUAUAUAGAUAGUUUGAGAGUGACACUCCUCUAGUUUGUAAGUUCGAGGGCAAAAAUCAGGACUAAAAAUGGACAUAUUUUCGAUACUUAAAGAAUGUUUAUGUAUUUUCACAGAAGUCUUACACAUACAUUACAUGCACUCUUAUUAUCUAUCUAAAAAAUAUAAAUAGGCAAAAGCUAUAUCUCACCAAGUAAAAUAUGGCCUUUGCUCACUCAAUUUUUCUGGCCGUCCGAUCUGCUUCGUGCGGUCAGAUGAGAUGUGCUAUGUUUUGUAUCUGCUCCCUCCGUUUGUUGUUCUUUUAUCUCUAUCUUAUCACUUACUUGUGGGGUCUAUUUGCCAGGCUACACUAGUUUGCAAUUUUUUGGAAGCCACCAAUAUUUCUUGUCGGCAUUUCCGACGCCACUCCAUUUCUUUGCCCGCCCCCAAGUCCAAUGCCCCCAUCCCUGCCCUGCCGUCGCCGGCGGUGAAGCCCCCCACACGUCGUCCUGGAAGGCGAGCUGGCACAAUCACCUUUGCGCACUCCCAUCGCGAAGGACGUUAUGCGCCGCCACAAUAGGAUGCGAGCAGGACGCCAUCAUAGAUCCAAUCGGGCAUGUGCCGAGCUAGAAAGGCACACGCUUGGAAUUUGAAUUAAAUCAAUUAAUAAAAUGAUUUAUUUAAUUAUAUAGGUGCUUUAAGAUUGGUGUAGUUUUUGAAAAGGAGGUACUGGAGCGCAGUUCUACUGGCACAUCAUGAUCCUGUGUUUUCUCUUGCUGUAGUAUUGUUUGGUUGGGCUGGUGGGGUUUGUGGUGUCUUUUCUAGCGUUUUGAUGGUUUCUUGUUGUCUUGCUGUUGUUUUGCUAGGAUUUUUUUCGGUUAAUUAGAUAUAUAUCAUUACAAUUGCCACGCUUCGAAGAUAUGCCAUUACUAUUCGCAAUACCGUAAGCGUGCCAUUACAAUUUCACGGGUCUCCGAGAUAUACCAAGACUUACCCUUCGACGUGUUUAUUAAAACGUAUGGACGAAAAUACCCCUAGCUCCUUCUUCCUCCCACGUCUCUUCUCCAUGGUUGCGUGGCCGGAGAUGCGGAGGAGAAUCGUCAUCCCGCCAGUCUCUGUAGCAGCAGCCAGCUUCCUCCGUCAGCACGCGGGGCCGUGAGCAUCGGCGUCGAGUAGCUGCGCGCCGGCGUGCCAGAGCUCUGGGCAUCAGUGCCCCCUUCCUCCCGGUGUAGCGCAGCUCUAUGAUGAGGUGGCGCCCUGGCCAGCAGAACGUGUGGAAGCACGUUCUGCCUAGCGACACGCAGGGAAGCAGGAAGGAGGUAGGGCUGGUGAAUGGCGUUGUUGGAAGGAGCUAGCUGUUGCUGUGCUUGUCGAUUGGGGAGGUUCUGAAUGGUUAGAGAGAGAAAGGUUCGGUCAGAAAGAGAAAGGGAAAGAAAGGAGAGGGAGGAUGCGAGGAAGAAGAAGAGGGUAUUUUUGUCUAUAAUGUUUUUAUAAACACGUUGAAGGGAUAAGUAGUGUGACAUAUGCGGUCCUCCAUUUAUCUUCCUGUCUUUUACUCUGGAGAGAUGGCGGUCUGGACACAAUUCACUGACGACUGGCGUAUCAUAUGUGUCCCCACCCUCUCUUUGGGGCAAAGAAGUUCAGAACUCGUAGUAAAUUCUAUAGAAGCACGGAUAGGUACAGAGGUAUCAACUGUGAAAGAGAAUAUGCAUUUGGCAGUUCUUCAUCAUAGAAUAUACAGUAGAUUAUCGCGGAUCAAGUGGAGUUUGCGGCUGAGUACAGGAGCGGGCCGGCUGGGGGAUGGGAUCAUGGGAGCACCAGCCAGAACGUGGAAAACAUGUACUCUACUCCUAUGUUCUUGGCUUUUGGAACGUGCCAAUUGUGCAACAAGAUUAAGAAUUGGGGUGUCGGGAUUCUGCUCAUCGAGAGUUACAGUGCGGAUGCUGGACGCCUGUGUUGGCUUGCUGCUGCGCCCCCGGGGCCCGGGCUGGCCGCGGUCGCAGCGUCGCGCCUGAUUUCUCCUGCGGCUGCCCUUUGUGGGAUUGAAGAAGGCCGGACGCCGGUAGUCCGGUAGAGGUCAGGACUCAGGAGUCAGUAGGGGACGGCGGCGUCAAGAUCCCUCAGAAAUUCAGACAAAUUCCAUUAUACUACAUCGUGCAUGCUAACCUCGAAAGUAGGGACCUCAUCUUGGAAAAGCGUAGAGAGGUAAGCAUACGUGUGUGAGCCCAUGACGCAAUGAGUUGUCAUUCCAUUAUACUACUCACUCAUGACACUUGUAAGAUUAUAAUCAAAUAUUUGACGAUACAUCAAACAGCACUUGGGAACUUGGGCGCCUUCUUCGCCAACGAGUUCCCGAUCGAGGUCCUGUUCCUUCCGUCCUCCCUCCGUGCGUCUCCCGUCUUCGUCCGCCCCCCUCCGCCGCGCGCGCCCACUUUCGCGCAUCGCGCGCAUCACCCGCGAGAGCUGACCCGGCCACCCCCCACGCAGUAUGUAAAGCGAACUCCUAGAUGCGAACUGGGGUAGGAAGUAGGAACUACCCUCACGAACUCGAGAUGCUCCUUGCUGCGACGUGGGUCGCGUCGUCUGCUCUGACUCUGCGGCCCAACAGAUUGGAGGCGUAGCCAGACAGUCAUGUCCGACCCUUGGCUGUGUGCAUGCGAGAGUUAAUAAUUGGGAGCCUGCUGCAGGAAACAGAAGGAAGACGACGCGAACCACCCGCCUCCCUUUCUGGAUUGACGCACACUCGUAUUUCCCUUUCUGGAUUGACGGCUUCAUCUUGUCCGUGUGUUCUUGUGAUGCAACGGUAGUACCACCUCUAAGGUUUUUGCGCCUGGUGUUUAGUGCCUGCGUGUGUGAAUUGAACGCGUGAUGCCCGAAUUAGUGAUAAGGCGACCGGUAAUGCUCCGUGGCAGUUGUUGUAGUUGGACAAGAUGAAGAUAAAAUAGCAAGUCGGAGACCCGUGGCAUCGCUGCUCACGGUUUGCAGCACAGUAUGGACUGGACGUACGAGUGGUGCGGCGGAGCUGGAGUCAAGCAUGGCCAUGGAUUGUAUUGACCUUGGGCGGCAGGUGUGAUCAAGCAGCGAUGGAGGUCUGCGUGACGCAUGAGACAGACUAAGGGUCGUUGUUCUGGAUGGAAAUGGAACUUGGUGUGGAAAGGAGCAUUUGCAGCUAUUUGCAUCCCUGCAUAUUGGCUGGGUGCUUGCAACUUACUUUUGAUAAUCAAGGGAGUGAUGAUUCAAUAGUACUCCUCCUGCAACUUGUUUGUUUAUGUCAUUACGUGGCUGGUCCAUUUGAUGGGUUGUGCAGAAAGCUGAACAAGCUGACGCUGCUCGGCGGGCUGAUGCCCAUUUUUCGCCCAAGCUGGUAGAGUCUCAACCAUCGCUUAAAGUCUGAGCUACAAGUUCUGAUACUUGAGCUCUUCCUGUCAUUGCUCCCCAACCUGAUGCGUGAUUCUUCUGGGAUGGUAUGGAUGGCGUACCUCCUCGUGCAGGCGAUCGACGUCGCAGGGCCUCUUCCUGCCGUCGCCGGUUGCUACAUAGGUAGGCAACAUCAGCGAUGCCAUGCCCUGGCCAAAAACCCUGAAGAAACGCACGUUUUUGCAGCAACUGAAAGACCAGCAGGACAGGACAGUGCAGAGUGAACGCGCGUCUGCUCUCGACGAGGAACCAACGGGGAGGUCGUCAGCACCGAUCGAGCAACGACCUUGUUGGAAUCGCCUGCCGCCGCCGUCCGCCGAUGCCCCAGAAGCUGGCGACGAGACUGCCGGCGCCCCUCCAGCAGCGCCGUCGCGGCGUCGAGGCAGAAAAACGACCUAGUCAGACCGAUAUCCUUCCGAAUCCCGGACGCACGAGCCCGAUCCGACGGCCAAUAGGAGCCCAGGGGGUGGACUGUAAAUGAAACACCGUCCACCCCCGACCCCCCUGGCAGCCGCCUCUGCUCCGUGCCUUGCCAGUCACCGUGCCCGAGCGCCGCCACGUCGCCUCCGCCACUCGAUCGAGGCGCUCACCCGUCUCCUCGGCGCAGAGUGUCGCCAGCAUUCCCGGGGUACCGGACGUUGUCAAGGCUGGGCAUCGGAAUUUACCGAGCACGGUAGCUGACGAUGCCGUCGCCGUGCGCGCUGGCUGCCGAUGAGGCUUCGUCCCGCGCCUCCGAUGGCCUCGGCGUCGCUGCUGUGGAGGAUUGCUCGAGGCUUCCAUGCGCGCGGACGCAGGUGCGCCGCCGAUCCCAGGCAAAGGUCUCGGGGUUCAUGGUGCCAUGGCAUCGGACGCCACGGCGUCCACGGCACAAGGCAACAUGAUGCACAGCGCCUGUGAUGCCCCGGACAGGGCCAAGCGUCCCCAAAAGCCGUUGACGGCGCAGCCGUGGAGUGGUCCUGGAGACCGCUCCUUUGGUGGAACGCGUCCACAGACAUGACCCUGCUCGGUGCGGCCGCGCGCAGGUCGCUCAUGCAAGGGUGCCGUUCCACGGGCAGCGCCCUGCAGUCGGCCGGCUCGAGUUGAUGCAUCUUGCAACGCGGUCACCAUAGCAUGGAACAUCGCCAGCUCGCCGCUGCGGCAUGCUGGCGCGCGCCGUCGUCCGCCACCCAAUUAACCAAGGACUCCCACUCACCUCGGGCUCCCGAGCCCGAAAACAGCCGAGUUCUUGGGAAUCCAUGGCGCACGUUUCCGAUCUAACGGCCAUAAUGGACCCCAGGGGUGGACGGUAAAUGAAAUACCGUCCACCCCCUGACCUCAUCUGGGCGGCUGCCACGCCUCACAGAGCCGCCGCGUUCCCGCCGGUACUGCCUACUGGCUUUGCGUGUCUUAUCUCCCGGAUCGCGGGUUGCAGCGACCAAGCAAGGGAUGGCCAUGCUGGUCUCAUCCCGUCCAGCAGGCACGCAGGCGUGGGCGUGCCAGUCGGUUGCCACUCAGACGCCGCUGUGUCGACGGACUGGGGUAGACAGCCUAUAUAGCCAAGUCUGCGCUCCAGUCGAGCGGCGACCGCGCGAGCGCGGUAGACGCGCCGAUGCGGCUGAGAGUUCCAGACGCCAAGAGUUUCAUGGGCGUGACCCUGCUCGGCUGACGCACGGAUGCCGUUUCGCAAGCCGCGCUUCUCAGCGUCUGUUGCCGGUUACCUCAUAUAGAUAGACAGCAUCAGUGACCAAAAACUCUCAGGAAUGCGCGUUCCUCGCUGCAACUGAAAACCUGCAGGACAACCUACGAACCAAAUUAAACUUGCUCCAUUUGUGAAAAUAGCAUGCAGCAGCAGGAAAAUUAAAUUAGAUAGCGACGGAAUUGUUGCACAGGACAUCCUUGGUCGUUGGCCGCAGUCCUUCCCGCUGAGCGGUGAGCAUGGCCAACGACGAAUUGAGAUGAUCGCAACCAGAACGCUCGUGGCACGCCGGUCAUGGUGAUCUCGGACGCAGCGACCGGCGACAGCAAAGGGCGGUCUCGUACAUCACAGAACAAUAGAGCAUCCUCACUUCCUCAUACCCACUGAUCGAUGGACGCGCGUGCGGCCGACGAUGCCCCGUCCGGGCGUCCGCGACGCCGCCGUCGACGUCGCACGUCUUGGGGCCUUGCAAGAGCGCCGCCGCAUGCCCGCGGCUACUAUCCGGCUCCGACAACAAAACGACCAAGUCGAUCCGAGUGAUCUCCUGGCCAAUCCCGGACCAUACAUGUAUGAUCCGACGGCCAUCUGGAGCCCAAGGGGUGGACGGUUAAUGAAAUACCGUCCACCCCUAGCCGGCGACCAUAUAUAUGCGAGCGCGCAGGAGGCGUCAACGACGACGACGCGGUGGUCUCCACGGCGGCGCGCGGCUGUCCCUCAGGUUAGAAUGGGUUCUUGGUUGUCUCUGCAACUUCUUGGAUCCAUGUCCCAUAUUGGUUUUGUUCGGCAGGAAUCGCUGUAGAGCUGGAAGUGCAGUGAACCUGCAGAUGAAUUAGGGUGGGUGUCCGUGUCUAAUCGUUCUUGAGAUCUACGCAUUUCUUUGACCGAUCGUUGAAUUAGUCGUACUUACUAGCCUGUGAACUGUGCCCACGUAUGGAAGAAGAGAUAAUUCCUUAUUUCACACCAGAAAAAUGAGCCGUUUCUUUCUUAGUCCUUAAAUUUUUUUCCUUCCUUAUGUGUCACUGACUUCAACUUUCGUUCGCAAAUUAACACUCUGUUCGAUUUUUCAUCUUACCAUUGUUAAAUACCAGCGAAAAGAUGAUUUUGCCCCUUAGACCCCACCACCCUUCUCCCUCCUCUCCUCCCCUUCUCCCACCUCUGCUCUACACCGCACGAUCUCGCCGUGGCAGCCCGCAUAGCUACCACCCGCCGGGCUGCCCACGCACGGGCCAUGGCGUCGUCGCCGCCGUCGACCCAUUCCGCUACAAGUGCACGCCGCACCCCUGCAACCCCAUCGCGCGCAAGUCCGGCUUCGGCGACCUCACGCACAUCACCGUCACCGCCAACGACACCGACGGCACGAACCCGCUCCGCCCGGUCCCUUCCCCGCCUGUGCGCCACACUCCCUGCUUGCUAAGCUCCCGGCCGGCACCGUCGGCGUUGCGGAGCUCGCGCACUCUAGGGUGUCCCUGCCCGCGUAGGCCGCGCGCGCCCAUAAGAUCACCAACAAGUUCGCGCUCUGCCUCCCAAGCGGCAGCCAAGGUGCUGCCACCUUCUGUGGGGGCCCGCUCUUCCUCCUCUUGUUGAGGCGCCCGGACAUCACGACGGCGCUGGCUUCUGCGCCGCCUGCCUCCACGAGCGCCUGGCUGGGCUCGAGGCCUCCGCCGCUGUGCCCGCCGCGCCGGGCCGCAAGUCUACCUCUGCCAUCAGCUCCCUCUUCUCCCGGCCGUUCAACGCCACCGCCGCCGUCGGAGGUGGCCCCUCGGGCUUCGCCGCCUCCACGCUGCCGGACCUACGCCGUUGCAAAUCCUUCUCCUGUGGGCGCGGGCGGUCCUGCGAUGUGCACGAGCGCGGUGUGGAUGGCGUGGGCGAAGGGCGGGCUGCACGCGCGGAAGGCAGCCACGCGGCGCGCGACCGGAGGCCGCGCCCGGCUUCCUCGAGCUCGGGUCCUGCCUGGGUGUGCUGCCGGCGUCCUGGACAUGGAGGGGCACGGCCGACCCCUUGGCAACGAGGAGGAACGGGGGAGGCGCAGCCGGACGAAGGGUGGCGGUGUGGAGCAACGGGGGAGGCGCGCCCGGGUGGAGGGAGAAGGCCCGUGCGGUGUGGAGCAGUGGAGGGAGGAGAGGAGGGAGAGGUUGGUGGGGUUCAUAGGGGCAAAAUCAUUUUUCCGCAUGAUAUUUAACGGUUUCCGGAUGAAAAAUUCAAAAGAGCAUCAGGAACGAAAUUUGAGGUUAAUUAUCUCACGGAAGAAGGGCGAGCUGUACUUUUAAGGCCUACGCAUGUCUUGGGCCCAAACUGGGCUUACUUUCACGUACUGCGAUCGACUGGGUCGAUUCUGCCGAGUGCAAUGUCUAUUUUACGAAAUGGCUUCUCGGUGUACUUGCACUCCCCUUUUUUUCAGCAAAAGAUGAAAGCUUUGCCUGAGGCUUGAGCCGGUUGUGGGUACGGUAUAUGUCACGAUAUGAAUGUAUGGUAUGAUCUGCACAUCGAGUUUAUUAAUGUUACCCUAAGCAUCUCGUCCUGUUAAAAAAGCAUCCAGGAGGAAGAGAACCAAAAGCAUCAUUUGUAGUAGCAGGUGCAGCAUUUGUGUUCCUCGCAAAAAAAAAAAAAAACAGCAGUUAUAAAAGACCUCGCUGAUCAUCAUACUUAGACAAAGUGAAGCUGUACACACCACACACGUACGUACACGCCUCUUAGCCGCAGAGGCGUUAAUUAAUUAAAACACAUCAGUGUCCUCGCAUGGAGAUGGAAUUCGCUUUCUUAUUCCAUAUAAAAGCAACGUGCCAAUAAUGCGAGCGGCACUAAGCAGAACGUAAGCUAGGUACACAUGCUGCACCUGCUACUACAGACUGAACGGAUGACCAAGACCAACCAGCAUUCUCUUUCAAGUCCUGUCCUGCAUUUCUUCUCCCUCCGUUUUUCAGCAAAAGUUGAAAAGCUUAAAAGGAGGCAAAGACCGCUGAGAGAGCGUUUGGAAAUCCUAGAACUCCAGCCAUUGUUCUGUGGACUUGAGCACUGGGUAGUGUCGGUUCAGUACUGCAUAAAUUUGAGCUUUCAGGCAUACGUUCUGCAUGCGCAUUUUGCAAAGCGCUUUUUUUUUUUUGCGGGGUUUGCAAAGCGCUUAUUGAUCUGCAUUGCAUUGGCCUAAGCAUCUCUCGCCGGUCGCCCCCUGCAAAAGGGCCCGCGUCCAGGCGUGAAACAGAAUCAAAAGCAGCUAGCACUCGUAAAUAACGCGCCGAUCAGACUAUUGCCGUUACACGUCACAGGAUGAGGCGUUCAAUCGUCAUGGAAACGAACCGCGUCGCCAUUUAGUUUUCGCAGCACGUUUGUGUCGCUGUUGGGCACACUGUUCCCGCCCGUGUUGGGGGUGCACGCCGUCUCGAGUCUCGACACCGCCUAGUGCGGGGGGCCGUGUUCGGUGCCAACCCCCCGCCCUGUACGCCACGUCCCGGCUCCGGACGCGAGUGAACGGCCGCGCGCCCGGCCGGGUCCCUUUUGCUCGAGAGCACGAACGCGACCGGGCGGGCUGGGCGGUGGUGGUGGCCAACAGACUGACCGAUCGCCGCCGCCCCGGCCCGUCUCCUGUACGCCGGCGACCGGUCAAGCUGGAAAGCAACGGCACACGCUGCCCGCGUCCUCUUCGUCCGGCGUUCCAACUCCCAAUAAUUGUGCUGGUGGAAUUGGUAGGUUUGCACGCCGCGGGCCUGACUGUGUGGGGUUUAUAUUAGCCCCUGGAUAAGCUGUGGGAGAGCUAGGCGCAGCGCGUAUAUUAUAUGGCAUCAUGUUCAUGUGCUGGUUCAGCAAAGUUGAUCGCCGUAUCUUCUCGUUUGGGAGCAUAUGUGCAAUGCCAGGGGAUUCCACGUACUAUUGGAUACCUUUUCCUUUUGUUGCGAAAGUCGUACUAUUUUGAUACUGCAGUGUGACAUAUACAAAUGAUACGGCAGCUUAGCUAUGUAUUAAAUUCGCAAAGCGCAAGUGCAAUUUGCGGAUGUCUGGUUGGUCUGUAUUAUAAGCAAAACUAAUCAGGAAUUCAGGAUCAUCACUUCGAUGCGAAUAGGAGCAUGCAUGCAAGUGGUGUGGAGAGUCUGUGUCUGACGUAAAAGGUGCAGCUAGCGAAAAGAAAAGCGCAUGUGUUUCCCGUAGCAUACUAAUAAUAAAACCGGCAGCGGAUGAGAUAUCCCUGUCGGGGUCGCAGCCUGAUCAGCUCACUGCUCACACCGUUCUUUUUUCCCACGCCAAGAUUCCUUUUCUUUUGUUGUUCUCCUCCAGCUGGCCUGGCCCGAUCUAAUCAGCAGUGCAGUACUACAGUCUACAAUGAUCGCUGCCCUUGAUUUUUGUGUUUGGAUUAACGAACGCCUACGUAAUUAUUGGUAGUAUCUCUAUCUCUACAUCCCAACGCCAAUGCAUGCAACGUGUUUCACGAAACGACGGAGACCGGAGGCGUCUUUGUCGGAUGCGUCUCUGCAAAUAAUGAUCUGCGUCGUCGUCGUCGUCAUCGUCGUCGUCGUGCUGUUCGACAUGAACUUCUCCUUGUGGGCACGUACGGGGUAGACCAACAGACCUGCCAAGCAAGCUCUGCCACGGAGAAAGCCUCCUCCGUAUGCAACUUGCGCUUCGAGGGCCUUGACUCCUGAGGCUGAUGGCUUCACUUUACUGCCGCACGGCACGACGUCUCAACGUCGCUGACUGGCUCCAAGAUUGUCGCGUUUUGAUGACUGGAGCAGUUGAGGUGGAUUACCAAAGUUAGUGAUACAGAAGAGGAAGACCCAAUUAUUGGGAGGAAUGGGAUUGGGGAAAAUGUUGAACACCAGCAGAGAACUGAUCGAUCAAAAGAUCGAAUCAUCACUGCAAAGUUUGAUUGAACAUGGCUACUCCUGAGUCCUGACAAGGUUCACAGGUUCCUGUCUCAUGCAACAACAGUGAGUAAUCGGAAAAGAAAUCUUUCGAAACGUAAAAUCGAGAACGUAUUAUGCAUUGCCAUUUCUCUGGAGCCAUGCGCGUACACGAACACGCGGAAAAAAAAGAAGGAAAAAGAAAACAAGAUCCACAGCUCUAUACACAGCUAAACCAAGAAGCGAGCGACCUGCAAAAUCAUCGGUCACCAGAUCUUGGCGUCGAGGACGUCCGCUCCGGCGUCGGCUCCGACCUCGUCGCCCGCGAUCUGGUCGAGCACGAGCACGAUCCCCAUGGCGAAGGCCGCGUCGAAGCCGGGCCUCACCUUGAGCACGAACACGUCCCUGCCCAUGACCACCCGCGUCCCCUCGUCCACCUUCCUCUUGAUCUCCGCCACCAUCUUCGCCUUCUCCCCCUCGGCCCUGGGCGCCGCCACCACGCGGCAGCACCGCCGCGCGAAGGAUCCGUCGACGCGGAGCAGCUCGGGGGCGCCCGGCGACGAGGAGAGCGGCGGGAGGAGCUCGACGAUGGCCCCCGCCGCGGCGCCGCCGAGGAUGGAGGACCGGCGGGCCGAGAAGAGCGGCUUCUGGCCGUCGGCGCGGGAGCCCAGGAAGCCCUCCCAGCGCUGGUGCAGCGACGGGCGCCGCCGGCGAACGGUGAGGAGCGGCUCCCCGGCCGGUCCGAGCAGCGCGAGCUCGCCCGACGACGCCGCGCCCCCGCCGUGGCCCCGGCCGUAGGUGUCGGCGCGGAAGGCCAACCCGCCCGUGCGGCUGUCGUAGGCCGCGAAGCCGUCGCCGGGGGAGAAGUGCGAGGUCUUGCGCACCGUCAGGACGCGCUCCUCGGGGUCGCAGUACUCGGCGCCCACGAUCGCCAUCGCUUCUCCCUCCCUGCCUGCUUGCUUCCUCUGAGCUCGAGCUUGACGCCGCGCGCGCGUGCUUGCUUGCUUGCUUCGGCGGCUCGAGUAUGCCGCUAGCUGCUAGCUCUGAGGUCUGUGCGGCGUGCCGAAGCGGAGGCUGCUCCGAGAUUUUAAGUAGGGGUGAAGCGAGGGAUAGACGGCGCGGUCGGUGGAGAUUUCACAGCCAGCAGAGCGAGAGGAGAGAGAACCAGCGUGUUGGUGUCGCGAUGCCUGCCCUUUUGAGGCGCCUGGACUCGGUCCACAGGCGAAGGUGAACUAACAACUGGUAGCGUUUAGUCCAGCAGGUCGUGUCAUCAGAUAUUCAGAUACGUAUCAAAGGAUUGAUUCACGUAGAGAAGUAGAUGGAAACACCACACUCCCUGAGACCCUGACUAAUAUGGCUUGAAGUAUAAGAAAUACAUCAAGUGUAUAAAGAAAGGAUAAAUACAUUCUAAAAUACACAUAUACUCCAUAAUACCCGCUUGCAGUCGAAGCGGGACGAUCACAGAUGCACAGACUGGUCCUAAAUAAACAAAGGAGUUGGCAGGCCCUUUGUCAUGAUGUCUAUGAACUGGUGAGAGGAUGGCACAUGGAGGAUCCGGACCUCACCCAAGGCCACCUUCUCACGGACGAAGUGAAUAUCAAUCUCGAUGUGCUUCGUGCGCCGAUGAUGCACCGGGUUGGCUGUCAUGUAGACAGCACUCACGUUGUCACAGUAGACAACAGAGGCCGAAGCAAGCAGGACAUGAAGCUCCUGAAGAAGUUGACGCAGCUAGCAACACUCUGCCACAGCAUGAGCCACAACUCGGUACUCUACCUUAGCCCUGGAACGAGACACCGUGGUCUAGCGCUUGGAGGACCAAGAUACCAAAUUGUCGCCGAGGUAGACGCAGAAGUCGGAGGUCGAGCGUCUAGAGUUCCGGCAGCCAGCCCAAUCGAAGUAGGUAGUUAGAGACUGAAUAGGGCCGGUACCGAUGUGAAACCCGAAGGAGAGCAUUCCCUUCACAUAGCGUAGGAUGCGCUUGAUCAGGGCCAUGUGGAGCUCGCGUAGGUCAUGCAUGAAGAGGCACACCUGAUGAACCGCAUACGCCAGGUCAGGUCGAGUCAGAGUAAGGUACUGAAGAGCCCCAGCAAGACUCUGAUACUCAGAGCCGUCCUGGAGCUUGGCGCCAUCGUGUGCUGAAAGCUUAGCAUGAGUGUCAACGGAGUCACUGUAGAGUGAUACUCAGCCAUGCCAGCAUGCUGAAGAUCCAGGGCGUACUGUCGCUGAGACAAGAACAGGUCCUGGGAGGAACACGUGAUGGAGAUGCCGAGGAAGUGGUGUAGGUUGCCAAGAUCCGUCAUGGCGAACUCGGAGUGAAGACACCCCAUGAUGUGCUAAAGAAGAGUCGAGGAUGAGGCGGUGAGGACGAUGUCGUCAACGUAGAGCAGCAGGUAGCUGAUGCUCGGCCCCUCUUUGUAUCCAAAGAGGGAGGUGUCAGAGGUGGAGGUGAUGAAGCCGAACUAUCGAAGGAAGGAGACGAACCGCUGGUACCAUGCCCUUGGGGCCUGCUUCAGUCCAUAUAAGGACUUCUGCAGUAGAUAGACGUGAUCGGGGGUGGCAGGAUCGACAAAAUCAAGAGGUUACUAGCAGUAGACAGUCUCCGCGAGGUGUCUGUGAAGAAACGCAUUCUUCAUGUCCAGCUGGUGGACCGACCAAGCGCGAGAACUGGCGAUGCUAAGGACGGUCUGUAUCGUCGCCGGUUUGACAACCGGACUGAAGGUCUCGUCGUAGUCGAGACGUUGGGAGAAGCCACGAACCACCCAGCGCACCUUGUGCCGAGCGAAGGACCCAUCAGCAUGGAAUUUAUGCCAGAAGAUCCACUUGCCCGACACGACAUUGGCACCGGGCGACAGUGGGACAAGGCGCCAGGUGUCCAAACUUCACAGUGAACUAACUCAAAAGGAGCAGAGCUGCGAGAGCUAGAAUGUGAGAAAGGUAACCGCACAUGUUUCCCUAAUUGACAUGAAUGACAUAGAGUGUAAUUGUCUUUAUUACAGGCAAUAGAUGAAGUUUGUCUAAGGGUAGUGAUGGCGGUAGGACUAGGAUGACUAAGAUGGAGAUGCCACAAACUGGAGGAGAUGGCAAGGCCGGCGUAGGGCGCUGCAAAGCUGGAUGCUGGAGGCAUGGUGUAAAGAUCGCCGACGCUAUUGCAACGAAGAAUCACGUGUCUGGUUAGAAAAUCCUUGACAUAAAACCAAAAGCAUCAAACUCUAUGGUGCAGUUAUUGUCCUUUGUAAACUGAUGAACAGAAAUCAAAUUACGAAUUAAAGAAGGGACAACAAAGAUAUUGUUAAGGCAAAAGUGGGAGGAGGGGGUGGUGAGGGUGGAGUUGCCAUAGUAUGUGUGGAGUUGUCAUAGUAUGGGAGUGAGAGCGAGGGAGGCGGGAAAGAAGAAUACCAUCCAAGGACGACAUGUGGCCGGAUGCAUCCAAGUCAACGACCCAGCCGCUGUUCUGCAGCGUCAUCUGGUUCAAGGCGGCAACCAGGCCCGCCUGGUCCCAGGUUGGCGCCUGAGGGGGCGCCUGAAUAAGGGCGUAGGCGGCGUGGGCCUACAGAGGAGGGCCAAGGAGGCCAGGGGCGCUGGCGCGCCAGCCCCUACCGUCCUGACUGAUAGCCGGCUUGAAACCCAGGGCGCCGUAGGAGCUAGUCUCGGACUAAAGCAGAACCAUGGGCGGGUGGGCCGUGGGGGCCUGCCGCCGUGGAAGCUGCCGCUGCCCUUCUUAUGCUGCUACUUCUUCUUGCCACCGCCGCCGGUACAGCCGCCAUUGCCGCCGCUACGGCCGCCGCUAUUGGUGCUGCUACCGCCAGUCUGGACAGAACCAGGCAGCGGGGGACACCCGCCCGUACAGCCGGAGGAUGAAGACGACAAAGAGUUCCCAGCGAGGAGGGCGGUGGAGUUGGAGAUCUUCUCCUCGUUGGUGAGGGAAAGUUCCUUCAGGGCGAGCAUGUCCCGCGCCUGGGCGAAGGACAAGAAGCCGGUGGUGAAGUUGGCGAUAUCGUCGACGGUGUUGGAGAAGCGCGGGUUGAGGUUGCGGAGGAAGUUCAGGAUAAGCUAGGAGUUCUAAACGGGAUGGCUGACGUCGUGGAGGGCGUUGGCGAGGAUCUUCAUGCAGCUGCAGUACUCGGUGAUGGAGGAGUCGUCCUGUGUCAUGGAGUGAAAGUCAUGGCUAAGGAUGAUCGCUCGGGACUGCUUGUUGGUGCGGAAGAAGCUCUCGAUGGCGAGCCAAAGAUCCCGGGCGGUCUGAUCGUCGUCGGUUAUGGCGAGGUGGAGGACGGAGUCAUCGACGGAGCCGAAAAACUAGGAGCGGACAUAGCAAAUCCGCUUGAUCCCAGUCGGGGUCCUGGGGGGCGCCACCAUACCAUCAAUGUGCAACUUGAGGCCGAACUUGCCGCACAUGGACUUGAAGAAAGACGCCCAGUUGGUGUAGGCGGAGUACUUCAUCGUCAACGUCAUGGGAACGUGAGACUUGACGGAGACGGUGACGUAGGGAUGGAUGACGGGUGGCGGAGCAUGAAUAAGAUGCAAACUGCCACCAGGGGAAGCGCCACUGCCGGUGCCAGGAGGGGGUCCUGGGGUGGCACAGGGGCACCACCACCGGCGCCAAUAGGCGCACCAGACGGCGGCACAGAGCCAUCAGUAGGAGCGGUGGCAUUGUCGGACACGGAAGAAUCGAUGGAGGAGAGGGUGGCCAUGGCGUGUAGCAGGGAGGGGGGCACGCGACAGAAGGUGCAGCGGAGGGGGUGGUGGCGGCGUAGCAGGAGGGGUGCCGCUCUAGGGUUACGUGUGCUAGGGAGAGGAGAGGAGGCCCACGAUCUAAUCUCGUGAUACCAUGUAGAGAAGUAGAUGAGAAACAUCACAUCCCCUAAUGAGGGAGGUAACCUUUCUAUAUAUAACCAAUAUGGCUUGGAGUAUAAGAAAUACAUCAAGUGUAUAAGAAAAGGAUAAAUAUAUCCUAAAAUAGGCAUAUACUCCCUAAUAAUUCCGAUCAAUGGUGGAUUAAGAAGUGCGCAGAAAAACACGCUAGUGGCUUAAGAAACACACUAGUGGAUUAAGAAUCGGGAAUCAUCAUGGUUUCUUACAACUUUAGCGUAUCGAUCGCAUAAAUCUGGCGUUGUUGACCUGGAUGUACUGAAGAAAAUUGCUAAGAUUACGAAUUGAUUGCUAAUCGAAGCGACCGACGCCACAGCCUGCUCUGCUGGUCCAUGCGCACGGUACGCGCGCAAACAUGGCGAGCUCUCGCCGGCUCGAUUGAGAUAGGGUGCACAUCGACGAGACGUACGAGGUGCGAGCGGGAGGCGCCCCACGGAGCGGAACGGAGGCCACACCCGACGGCCCGCCGCCGCGGCGCGGCGCGCCGACGAGUUAGCCGAAAGCUACCUAGGCAGGGGCAAGGGCGCCGGCGCACUCGGUUUCAUGUUCUCAUCGACUGAUCAACCACGCGCGCGCGCCCUCGCUGGUGGGUGCUCGUGCGCGCGCCCUCGCUGGUGGGUGCUCGUGCGCGCUUCGUCAACAGGGACAGAAACUGAAGCGUCUAUCGGUCGGUGGCUGUCCGAUUCGUUCCUGUCGGGUCGCAGCAAGUCGCCAGGCGAUGGGAACGUGUGACGCUGGGUGGGUUUGGGCGGAAGAUCAAGAUAGGGCCGCCUCGUGGCGAAACGAGUGGAUAUGACAUCCGAGUGAAAAAGGUCCCUCUAACGUGGGAAAUUGAUUAUUGGUAUUUCUUUUUUAACCCCCAAAAAAAUGAUCUUCACGCCAUAAAGACGUUUGCUUUGGGCGUAGCCCAGUCGAGUGCUAACAUCAAUAUGGUUUUCCACUUAACCUGAAGUUCAUGAGCACUUAACAAAAGUAUUAUUGGUCACAACAAUGUAGCAUCGGUACAGUUUAUUUUUUCUUUAGAAAUAAUUGCCAAUGACAAAUUGACACAGUUGAUAAAAAAAAACCUGUCUGGGGAUUACUAUCGGAUUAUCUUUCUUCUAGAUUCGUCGGCACAUAAUCAACAUUGACAAAAAGAAAAAGGAAGGGCGUCAUAGUAGUCUAGAAGUUCGAUAGUAAUUUCAAAAUGUCGGACAGCCUCGUUUGUUUCUUCAUCUGAUUGCCAAGCGCAGAUGUCAUACUCAUGGCAGUUCGACGUGAAACUACAGCAAAGACCAAAAGCUGGCAAUGUUUACGCUCAAAGUACAGCCAAUAUGGCAAUGUUAACACCAUCACCGCCACAAAAUGAAGCAGAGUUCAGAAAGGAAAAAGUGGUUACGUGCGCAUCAUAUCUUGCCUAGUCACCAACCUCUGUCCACUGUUCCGUCCACGUACGUGUGGACCCUUUAUUUCCGGCCGCUGACUCAGCAGCCGGUGCACGUCAGCCCCCGUCGGCAUCAGAGGAAGAAGAAGCUUCGUUCCCAACGCCGCGGACCUGCAUCCUCGUAUGCAUCUCCGGAUCUCCGGAAAUAUCCCGUGGCGAAGUCAUGGCCAAGAUCCUCCCGUGAAGCGGUAGCAUGGACACACUGCCACCUCACCGCACACGGGCAACACGUACUACGUAGGAUAGGAUGGGGUUGGGGAAGGAGCCAUGCUUAGGCCACGCCGUACCCCUUCCCUGACGGGGCUGAGCCAUCCCGCCGUGGCGUGUGCGCAGGGCGGAGGCCGCCGCCGAGCGCCGACGGCUUACGCUAGACGGUUGGGUCGAAGCGGCAGCAGAGUCUCCCGUCCCCCCAACGCGAGCCGGCGGUUGCGGGGCGUGCCGCGUCGUCUGGAUGAAGCGUGUGGCCGUGGGUGGGUGGCGCGAGGUCGCCGACCUCGGCCAGUCGGCCUCGAAGAUGUAAAACGGGUUGACGUUUCGGUUCACUGCACCUCGGCCGCUGGCACCAGGCCCGGCCCUGAGGGGGCUCCUGUUAACGCCCUGUUAAUCCACCAAAUCAGCUGGUCUUAUUUUUUUCUAGCGUUGAAACCGGCCGGAGGACGGCACCUUCUUACGUGCACCUUGAUUUUCGUGCAAAAUGAAGAUUCGAAGGGGAAAAAAAACGUAGUUUCCAGACAAGUGUCCAAAUCAAAUUUGGAUUGAACCAUGACGUUACUUACGACGAGAUCUGCAAAAUGAGAUCACAAUUGACCAUAUUUUGAAUCAAAUUAUUUUUGAACAUUUUUCGAAUAUAACAACAUUUUAUUGAUGUUGGUCAAUAUUUUUCUUUUUAACACUUUUUCUUUAAAUUUUUUAAUGUAAUAAUAUUUUUUUACAUUCACCAACAUUUCAUUAAUAUUCAUCAACAUUUUCUUUAAAGCCGAGCUUAAUUGUUACCAACAUUUUGUGAUAUUAAUCAAUAUUUUUUGUACACACCAACAUUUUUCUUCAACUUUUUUACAAAUGGUGAGGUAGUUAUUAAAAAAUGUUGAAGUACUACAUUAAAAAGUUGAAACAGUACGUAAAAAUGUUGAAGUAGUUAUUAAAAAUGUUGAAACAAUACACAAAAAUGUUGAAAUAGUACAUUACAAAUGUUGAAAUGUUAAAAAAAAUGUUGAAACAAUACUUAGAAAAUGUUGAGUACUUAUUAAAAAAAUGUUGAUGUAGUACAUUAAAAAAGUUGAAACAUUAAAAUAAAAAAUUUAAAAUAACAUAUUGGAGCUCAUUGUGUUGCAACAAUUCCAAAGAAUAUUAUGGUUUAAACGGGUUUCAAAUCGGAUUCAUGGUUUAAGAGAAAAAAAUAUUUGAAAUUUGAAACUCAUUUGACAUCCCAUCCGCCCCCACCUCUCCCAUGACGACACGUGUGCUGUACUUGCUCCACCCAUGCAGCGGUACGCGCUUCACAUGCUGCUCCCUGGUGCAGAUUAAUCCCACACGUUUAUUAAGACUUGCACUGAUCUCAAACAACGAAAGAUACGUUUGAUUUAAAUCUUUGGAUAGGAUUUUCGGAGAGGGGCGCCCGGGCCCCAAAAUCAUAGGGCCCCCACGUAUGUAUGUACAGCAGUCGUCAGUCCGUAUCCAUCUUUCAGUCUUGCCAUCCUGAUUUAAGCACAAGUAAAGUUUUAAAAAAAAGGAUUUAAGCACAAGUAAAUAACAAACCAGCACCAGCCAGGACCCGCUGGCAAGCAGGCACAUCUACAAAGCAAGCCAACUAUCAAUGCAGCAACCGGGAUAGAGAGGGUAGGAAUUUUUAAUUUCGCCCUAAGACCGUAAAUCCUCACCGGAUUAAGAUAAUUAGAAGAGUUGAUAUUUCAUAUUUGAUAUAUAUAAAUGACGAUCAGAUCGAUAUUAUGUGCUCAUUGCAGUAGGCUGUUGAUAAUCGAUUGAUUUGGACAUUUAUCUAUAGAUGAUAUUUGGAUUUGAGUUUUCUUCGUAGUAAUUAGUAAUAUUUUUGUAAGUUGAUAUAAUACACUUGCAACAUGCACGCUAGCUAGCUUUCAUUUAGUAACUAUUAUUACUUUUUCAGCAUAUUCAUAAUCAACAAAGACUUUGUAUUUAGAAGUGUUUAAAGAAAUUUUAAGGUAAUAUGUACAAAAUAUUUGAUAUAAAUAUAUUGUAUAUGUAUGUUGAAUUAUUGGUAUUACUAUUACUAUCCCUUCGUCCAAAAUUACAAUUCACUUUGACUUUCUUAGAUACACAACUUUAGAAUAAUAUAUAUCUAGAUGCAUAACAGAAGGUACAUAGAAAACUCAAAAUGAAUAAAACUCAAAAUGAAUGAAUAGUAAUUUAGGAUUGAGGAAGUAGAGAUCCCGGUGGUUUACUACCACACCCGGGCCUGGUUGGCACCGACCCAAGCGAGACGUCGUUGUGCGGGGAACGGAAGAUGGUAAUCUCGCACGCCAAAAGACUUGUCGCUGUGCGUUUACUUCUGCAAGUGGCGUCGCGCGCAUCGACUCGAGGCGCUUCGAGCUACCUGAGCUCAGGCAGGACGCUUUCACGCUUCCUUGCUCAGUUGCUCACCGUUUCUUCGUUCACCAAAUUACCAAAUGCGUGAACCGCGCGGCGUUCCUUCUCCGAUGCAAGGAACUUCGAAGCGACGGGGCAGUAAGAAUAAUCCAGGAGCAAUGAUAGCAUGGGUUAAUACUAACCACAAAACAGUAACUUUUGCAACAAGUUAAAUUAAUCAGGGUUUGGUCCACCAAACUUUCUGCUCCCCGUUGCGGCGACACCAGCAUCACUCGAGGACCCCCAUCCAGUUGCCCUUUUCCGCAUGUGUAUCAAGUCAAAGCACGCCCGCGUCAGCUGCAGACUCGGGCGACGUGCAAUUUGGGAAAUAUCCCGGGCAUGGGGGCUCGGCCACUCUCCCACGGAGUCUAUCUCUUUUGGGCAGGAGGGCAGGUUAGGUUAGAUUCGGGGGUGACGCGAGGCGGCGUCCGCACGCGAGCUUUCCCGCUCGGCCGCGCGCCACGUCGCUGCCGUGACGCGCCGGCGCGGGGACACGGAGGCAUGCGCGCCGGAUCCUUGGGCCCCGCCGCCGCCGGCCCUCGUGCUCCGGUGGACCGCGGGGAGCAGAGCAGAGUCAGUAGCCCGUAGGAGCGUAGGACUAUACGCCAGCGAGAAACAAAAGGCAGCCUCAACGAACGCUCGGUUCGAUUCGAGCUCUUGGAUGUGCCGCGAUACGGAUGCCGAGCAGUAGAAGCACCUUGCACAAGCGCAGCAGGUAAAAAGAGAAGAUUAGGAUAGAUCACCGACAACCGCUACUAGAUGUUUCAGCGCAAGUGGUGCAAUUAUUGAGGUCGAGCGCAGCUGAUUCAGGAACAUUUCCCAUUCGCAUUUCUGAUGAGAAACACAAAUUCAGGAAUAUUUGCAGCAUAAAGCAGUCUACAGUUGCUUUUGUUUAUAAUGGAAAAAUAUUGGGCCAGCAGCAUAUUUUGGGAUGCCACGAUUGGCAAGCCCAUAUAAAGGCAUCCAACUUUUUUAUAGGAGAACUGCAUAUAAACGAAGCAAACCGGCAUAUGCACUAAGACAUACCCAUCGCAUAUGCUCCCCGCCAUUUGGAAGUUACAACGGCGAUAUUUAUGAAGAAAAAUGUAUACACGUGCGUCUUUGCAGGACGACAUGUUGCAGUGGACAUGUGUGGAGUCUGAAUGAUUGAGAGUCUGACAACCUAGCAAGGUCAGGCAGCAAAGCAAAGGAAUAAUGACAACUCAUGCAACCACUGCCCCCAAACACAUUAAGCACACCAGUGGCAUUAUCAACCCCUAAUCCCCCAGGGCACAAAAACUGAAGAGAAGCAAAAACUCCUCGCUGGCGAUACUUUGCACUUGAUUCCCUUAUCCUAGCACUAUUCUCCAUCCUGGCUAAAACUGUUCUGCAACCGCAUUUCAGAUGAUCUUCAACAUGGGGUUCUUCACAUCUGUGAGAAGAAAAAAACAGCAGUCAGACCACCACAUUUCUAUCUGGUGCCAAUAGUGAGUAUGGUAUUACAGUUCCAUGAAAUUCCACCAUGGCAGCUUGACUGCAAAACAUAAUGUCUUGCUUUGUGAACCUGCAAGCCUACUCGGAUAACUUUAUGCUAAGUAACAUUCACAUACGUACUUCUACAGUGGGCGCAAUUUUAGUGUGGCACUGAGUUACAGAUAAACAGAGAUAUUCCACAUUGAAAUGACAUAUUAAUCAGCACAGGAGCAACGAUGGCAAUGUGCCUUACUAUGGCUUUGGCUCACUGAUGAAUGUGGCCACACUCUUGAACCAACGUAUGAGGUUGCGGUGAUCCUUUACAUAAAGCCAAGCUUGUAGAAAAGGGAAGAGCUUCUCAUUUAUGCCACGGGCUUCAAUGUAAAGAUGGAGUGCAUCCCGAACCUUCUCAUCUAAUUCUCUGUCCAUUCACAAGAAGAAGAAAAAAGAUAUCAGUUCAAAGUUGUCUGUUAACACUCAUGUGGUCUGUUCACUAAUCCUUUGUUGGUAUUAUCAGUCAUGUAUUUGUACUGUAUCGACCAAACUUCAGACCACCACAUGAGCCAGAUUUAGUGAAUCAAAAGUUAGAUGGACAAUGGUAAAGAAGAAUUACACACUGGACCAUCAAUAUUACUUUUAGUAUUUUUUAUGCAUUGCACAUUGAAUAGAAGGAGCAAAGGGAAGACAUGCAUUUAUCUGCCUCAAACUCUUAUGGCAUCAGUAACUUCACCAAUUGGCCCAUCAACAAACAUUUCAGCCAAGUAACCAGAGCAGUCACAACCACAAGACCCUUGUUUGUGACAACUGAAUAUCCAUAGCAUAAAUUGCUAUUUUAGUCACAAGGAUUUGUUUUAUCUAAAUAUUCCAGAAAUGCUGGAAUAUUCCUUGCUAAAUGAUGUUAGUGACUGAAAAAAGGAAUAGGUUACAAGGGAAGAAUCAAAUUACGGGCAUGCUAGUACACCUUAGAUUCUUCUAUAUUCAAAAAGGCCAAAAUGAAUUUACAUGGGGCAGCCCCAAUAUGUCUUUUCAACACCUUUGCGUACGAGUUAUUCUUAGAGGUUAGGUUAGUAUCCUUUUAUAAGUUUCAAAUAUUCUAUCUGAGUUGUCAGCUACAGUCGGUCACAAUGGGGGAAUUCAGGAUAUGACACUCAAAUCAAAUUGCAAUUCAGAAUUUGUGAUCCAAUGUCUCGCAUUCACCUGCAGCCCCUGAACCCCACAUGUCAUUGAGCCAUAACGUCACAAAAUUUUGAAUUGCCAGUGAAGAGUGCCAUAUCCUAAAUCAUUCAAAUAAUCCAUUGUUUUACAACUAAUAAUCAAUCAAAACAAAGUCAAAAUAGCUUUUCACAAUAUUUUGCACCAUUUCCCUGAAGACAUCAAUAACUUUACCAAGUGGCUCAUUAUUCGUCGUAUAACAUUUAGAGCAAUAAUGGAAGCAGCCAUUAUAUUACAUAACACAAUUUUCAUGGUUAUUAUUAUAUCUAAAAUUUCCGUAGUGUCACAACUUGCUAUUUCGUUAAGCAUAAGGAUUUAAUUUUCUUAAGUUUAACUCGACAAGUAAAGUUCACAAGAAAUGUUUGUGAUUGGGAAUUGUCUCAAUUGAUGGUCUAGCAAGUAGUCACUGAAAAGUGGAAUUGGCAAGAAGCAGAAUGCACAUGCUCAUGCUAGUACCUAAAAUUCUUUCAUGCUCAGAGGAACAGCUAUUAGAAUCAUAAUAAAAAGCUUUAAAGUACUGACAAGUUAACUUGAACCACAUUUGGACAGGGGAUAUGCAAACAGAAUAUCUCAAACCACUGCAGGAUAGUUCAUUCUUCCUAUCAAUUUCAAACUUCCAAAAAAGCCACUGGCCAGUGGCUACCGGAAUAUCAACCAUGGUCCAUCUUAAGAUCAAAACUACCAUCUUCGAGCUCAAGCCUUUAAAGUCAACCAAUAGCUAGAGAUCGCAGAAAAUACUCUUAAAUUAAUUCUGAUUGCUGGAAACAAGCUACAAAAUUUGUCCUUAGCACACCCAUUCUGCCAUCUAUAUUUUCACACCUGCAUUGCACCAUAAUUAAUCCCCUCCUAACUAAUCCUACUCAAGCAGUAAAUCAAAUUCCUAGAAAACCAAUGCAUUGUAUACAAACUCUUGUAGAAAAUUAAGGAAACACCUAAAUUUCUCAUGCAUUAGGAAGAACAACUUACUGGAAGAUGCGGCCCCGGUACUCCCCACCACCCUUCGAAGCCAUAUUCCCCUCCCACGACUCGGCGCUCUUUGACCGGAGGCAGACCGAGUGGAUCCCGACGGCGUCCGGGUACAGCCCGCAGAGGAACUGCAGCGACUUGCCCGUCCCGGGCUUGGAGAUGUCGACGUGGAGGAAGAGCUGGCUGAUGGACGCGCUCAGACCGCCGUCCCCGCCGGCGGCGUCGGAGUCGGAGUCGGCGCCGGCGGGCAGGAUGUUGGCGAGCCUUGCGACGGAGAUGGAGAUCUCCUCCCCCGCGUCGCCGUACUCUCGGCGCAGCACGGGGCCCGAUUGCUGAUCCAGGGCUCCCUUGACGAUGGUGAAGGGCUUGGGCGGGCUGGUCUUGGGCGGCGGCGCCAUCUUGGAGACCUCGAGGUAGUGCUCCUUGAGCGAGCGGAGGAGGAUGGAGUUCACGGCGGAGGAGGAGGCGGCCGCCGUGGCCUCUGCGGUUGGGGAGGGGGAUGCCGAGGUGGAGACCGCCCGGCGGCAGAGGGCGGCCGCGGUGGGGGCGGCGCGGCGGAGCAUCUUGGUGAGCAAGGCGGGGGAGAAGCGAGGGUUUAGGGGUGGGGUCGUGGGGAAGGAACGAGGAACGAUCAAAAUUGGUUGUUUUGGUUUUCACUACGGUGGAGGGGAUUUCGGCGCUGCGGGUGACAUGUGGGUCCCACUGCACCGAUAUGUGUUUUUCCCUGUGAUUAUUUACAUGUACUAAUUUCGGCGUUGAUCGUAGAGGAGGCUCUCCAUUUCCAAAUGAGUUUUCUCACUAAAUAUAUUUUUCGAUAAAUUCCUAGCCACAAAAUCCUGCUACCUAUAUGAACUCCACCAAACCUGUAUGAACUCCACCAAAGUGUGGAACAACGCUUACCACUGCAGAAUAUAAUGUAAACUAAAAGAAUAUGUAAACUAUUUCGUUAUUUCAAUUAUUUUGAUUCCCCUCAUCUGAGCCUAAAAUGGCAUUAUUAAUUAAUUAUUUUUUCUUGGAGAAAGAAAAUGCUAUCCAUUUUUAGAUGGAAAGCCUUCGCCCAGUGAGAUACACGCGUGGGACAGACAAACAAGGCGCCUUCCACAUCCUUCUAGAGCCACCCAGCCCACGCCGGCUUCCGCACACUGGAUUGCUCCCCAAGACAAGCAAAGCCCAAAUCCGUGUCCAGAAAUAAACCGCAGCCGAGCGGGAGCAGCCCAAACCCAGAUCAGACUCGAUUCGCCAAUUCGAUUCGUUCCCAUGGGUUGGCGUUGGCACGACGACGACGGCGACAGCGGCCGGGGCCUCGCCGGCGGCGGGGGCGAGGGGGCGCAGUGCGCCACGCGCCGGGUGGUGCAGUCCCGCUGCCACACGGAGGAGGUCGAGCCCGGCCGAUUCGUCCGCAAGUGCGAGAAGACGGAGCAGCUCCUCCGCGACUGCGUCGGCAGGUACGUUAGCCUGCGCGUCGCUCUUCCCCUCGAUCCGUUCUGCCAUCCCGGCACGAGUCCAGUCUUCAGGUUAUUAUGUUUCAAUAGUAUUGAACUAUUGAUGCCCCGUUCUCUGGGGUUUAAUCGGUGGCGACUGUGAUCUUAGGUUGUGUGAAUUGAUUUGCGUGAGAUGCGAGAUCGAAUGAGGUCAUACGGGGAUCAGGGGAUGAUUGAUUUCAUUAAGAAAGUGAAAUUAUUUGCCGGAGCACGCUGAUCAACUUUUUCCCAGUACGGUUGUCCUGAUGAGUUGGUAAAUUUGUGGGGACUUCUUCUAUGGAACCAAUACCUUUUAGGUUUACAACAGGGGAUGGCUAUGCAUGCCAACUCUAAUGGCUUAUAGGGUUAAUUUUUUUUCUGCUUGCGGCUAAUUUAACUGUGCUCUACUUCCAUUUCCAAGUAAUCGGCAAUUUUUCUAGGUAAAGGUGGUACUAUUACUUUUGAGACCUAUAAGUUGUUGUUGGUAACUUGAUGCUAACACAUUUUCAUCCUGUUAUGUGUUAUCGGCAAUGGAGAAUUUUUCAGUGCUAUAUUUUAGUCUGUUCUUAUUAGUGAAAUUUUAGGAACUGCUUGAACUGUUCUUCCUGUAUAUGCUUGCGUUGGUGUGUCAGAAGGGACAGUCAAUGCUGUUUUAACUCAUCAAAUAUAUAAACAUCUCAUUUGAAAAACAGUGACUGAAUGGAUUCCAGUUUCUUGUAUUGACCCCUUUCAUUAAAGACCUACUCCCUCCGUUCCAAAAUGUAGGUCGUUUUGGGUUUUCUAGAUACAUGGACUUUGCUAUGCACCUAAAUCUAGGGUUAUGUUUAGAUACAUUGCAAAAUUUAUGUACCUAGAAAAGUCAAAACGACCUACAUUUUGAAACGGAGGGAAUACUUCUUUUUCCUAUUUUGUAUGGCAUUACAAACUUCUUUGUACCACUUUCCCAAUUUUGUUAUUGGCACAAAUUUCUUACUGAGUACCCAUGGAAUGCUUUAUCUCUGUUUAGGCCCUCUGAACUGGUUGAAUCCAAAACUGAGAACACUGAAGAAGAUGUUACAGAAGAAAUGAAAAGUGGUUCGCUCUCUCUUGGCUUUCCAACAAACGAGCCCUUUGCAUUCCCAGGACUUCGCAGUGACAUCGAAGCCCUCGAGAAAGGCUUGUUUGGGAGCCUUGGUAGUGUCCUAAAUGAAGCUGAGCGGAUGACCAAUGAUUUCUUCAAAUCUUUUGGUUUUCCCUCUACCCACGACAGGGAAUCAAGCCCAUUUCCAAGACAACCUGCAGAGAGGCAUAUUGAGGAAGGUACUACUACAAAGAAGGCGAAGGAGGGUGACUACUCGGAAUUCAGCAGCCAGAUUUCGGAUGUGUAAGCAGCUGCAGUUAGCUGGCAUGUGUCUUCAGAGCUGACACCUGUGAAGUGAGAGGUGUGCUUUACAAUCUUAGGUCUCUUAUGUGUAUCUUUUUGGAACAAAUUGCGUUACUUGCGACUUGCAGGUGCAGUUCAGCCUUGCUUAGUAUGGUAACCGUAAUGGUAGAUGAUGAAGCAAUUUACCUGACUCUGUCAUUUGCAAGGCUAUUUUGUAUAGCGCAGGUUGCAAACCCUGCAAUUGAACUGUGUUUUGAGCUGAAAGUUUGUCCUGAAUUUUUCCUCCUCCGUGGUAUGAUGUAUUGCUGCUUUUUGCCCCCUUAUUGGCAUUCAGCUGCGCUUGGGUUGAUCGACAAGCUGCAACAUGUUCACAGGCAGGCACAGCGGUCUGUAGAACAUUGUUCGUGCUCUAAUGUCUAGCUCGGUUGUUUCAAAUGUUGGGUUGCUGAUGCAGCGACAUGCUUCUUGUUUCAAAUGUUGGCCGAAACAUGGCUCGAUCCUACCACAGCGCACACUAUCAUGCGUUAUCCGCUUCUGUGAUCAAAACCAGCCCGAACUCGGCCACGCAGGAGGCAGCUCCGAGCCUGGUACACACCGCAGCCCCGCGCGGCCGCGCAUCGGCAGUUUUACCUCGGAUGCCUGCUAGCUUUUGCCGAAGAUAGCAGAACGCUGAUAACUAGCGGCUCGUGCCUUUUGCGAGAAUUGAUCCUGAAGAAGCUUUCCACCUGUGUGAGGCCGUCAAUGGUAUGGCUAUGAUGACGCGUGCUCAGUCAAUCUCCCACACAAACACGAAAUCUCGUCGUGUGUAUUCAACAGUUUGAUCACAGAGAAGAAAAGCGUCGUCAGUGAACUGCAACUGGUAAUACAUCUGCAGGCUGUAAUUAAAUCAUCUCCCCUUCAAACCCCUCUCUACCUGAACAUAUUCCCUGACGGAGAAGAGUUCGUAUAUCUGUACAAAAGUCCAGUUUUCAGAUGUAAAACUGCACAGGAUGUCAGCUAACUGGGGCUCCGCUACAACCGCUUGGAGUAUCCAGAACCAGCACACUUCUUGCAAAGUAUCAGCCCUGCACGGGAAAAUGCAAAGAGUCAGAAUAGAUACGGAAAGGAUAACCACUGUGACCCCAACUUCAGUUCCAGAUUUGUUCUCUUUGUGCUAUGUGCUGAUCGAAAGGUUAUGAGAAUAAGGGAACGUGACAACCUGCUCCUCUGCAUACACGGCACUCCACGACUCCAUUUUCCACCUUCAUUUUGCCAUCGUUGCAGAACACACACUUCGUGCCCCCUAGUUAGCAACAAGGAAAAGGUUUUAGUACAUCAUACAUGUACGGAACACUAUACGCAUGUACUGGAAGGUGCUGUUGGCGAACCACAUCCACAUUUACUGAAUAACGCAAAAGGGUCAUUUGUCUCAGUAACAUCUUUAUGAGUUCCUCUCUUAAAAAAGCCUAUAUUGUGGAAAUGCUCAAACAUGUCUUCUGUAUCCAUCAGUAAAGCAGUGAUGUAGCAAAUGUGCAUGGGCAUACCAAUAUAGAUAGGUUAAUGUACUCUGCCAAUAAAAUGCUGGAUGGACUUUGCCAGCAAAUUGAAGGACACAACUAGCCCAAACAUUAGUCACAUCUUACAAUGGUAUAAUACCAAACCAAAAUACUAAGAAAAUUGAUAACCAUAAUCUUUCAAUGUAUACAAAGAAUUAGAUGUAAAUUGAUAGUUUCCAAGAAUUUGUAAGGGGGCAUCGAAACUACUAUGAAAACAACCAAACAAAUUAAAGCGCUGAUCCACAUUUGAACUAUGCAAUCAUCUAGAUAUUGUCUUAGCAGACUAAACCGAAUGACUCACAAAUUGAGGUCAUUCACAAAAGCAAGUGUCUAUAUAUAAGUAUGGCACUCAAGCUAGCUAAUGGUGAACUCUGAACUCCCACUUAGAUGAUGCGGCAAAAGGAACUUACUACGCAUAUAUCCUAACAUGCACCAUGGAACAGACAUACACCACAUUCCAGAUGACUAGAUGAGUUACCAACGCAAACGGAUAUAUACUGUUAGCUGUAGGCUUUGGAACAAUCAUACAGCAAUGCUUUACAUAUAAACAAAAUCAUGCAGCAAUGUGUUAUGCGUAUCAGCUGGCUAAUUACUAGAUAUAUCACACAUAAUGGAGGAGAGGCUGCAAAAUACCGUUUCCAGCGCACCUGUCGCACGGCACCGGGUCCCCCUGCAACGAGGCAGCAAAGAGCAUCACAACCCGAGACCAAGACCAGCAGCCUGCCAUUCAGGCAAGAAGAGAGAAAAGCCAGCGGCGGAGACCUUGAGGCCGAGCACGAGGGAGAGGGAGACCGCGGAUACGACGGCGGCGGCUAUGAUGAUUGUCUGCGUGUCGAUAGGCCUGAGCAGGUCGCCGCCGCCGUAGCCGUAGGAGGCCGCGGCGAGGGCCCGCGGCGGCGGAGGAGAGGCGACUGGGGGCGCAAGCGGGACUGAUGGUGCGCCGCCGUGGUGCUGCCUGUAGGGGAAGGACGGCGGAGCGGGAGAGGAGGCGCGGCGGGGAAAGGAGGCGGAGCGGCAGGAGGAGGCGGGGCAGAGAAGGGAAGCCAUGGGAUGUGGGGAGGAGAGCUGUAGGACAAUGCGGUGACGUGGGAGCGAUAGGAGGGCGUUAUUCGGAUAAUUUUUUUUCUUUCCAAGCCCCCGCUUUCUUUCCAAUUGAUUCACAACGCUUCAACAUUCAAGUCACCGCGGGGAAGGAGAAGAGGAGCCGAUUUUGGAGAAGUGAACGGGUGAAUAUUUCCCAAGCCAUACUCCCUCUUCUGUCAAAUUUUUUGAAUCUUUAUUCAUUAUAUAAUGGUUCAUUAGUGUUAAUUAAUGUGACAUCGACGAAUCGCAUGAAGGCACGGAUCAUGGGAAUGUAACACUCUGUAAUCCGUUUAAGAUCACCAAUAGCCGCCGCACUAGGUAGAAGCUUCAUUUCAGCAGAUCCGACCACCCUUGCCCUUUGUAUCUAGAGAUCAGAGCCUUAAUCCAGCUUCAACAUUUCUGCCAACUAUAGCCGUAGUACCAAUAACAAGCGACGGAAACCUGUUUUUCUAUUCAAGUUCAGCUGCUCACCAAACAGGCAAAUACUUUGCCAAAUGAAUCGGCUUCGACAUUUCAAACGACAGCCAGCCACAACUGUAAACUUGAUCAAUUCUACCGCUAGGUACCACCAAACGGAUAAAAAAGGUCACAGCCUUAAGAAACGAUAAAAACAACAGAACACUGAAUCAAUUGUAUUUAGACCUGUAACAGGUUCUCCGAGGCUAAUGUUAACAACUUCCCACAGAACAGUGCUGGGGAACGCAAAAGAACACGGUGGUCGGACCCCGAUUUACAGCUUCCAGAAACUUUCUACAAGGAAAGGUUGCUAUAGAACCCUGUACAUCCACCAAAUGAAAAUUCUUUAGAUAAACUGCCACGGAUCUACUCUAUGCAAAGCCUUCCACCCUGUACAUGACCAAAAACAUAAUGAGAUUGCUUUUGGAACAAGACAGCGCCCUCAUAUCCAGUUCUCCUGUGUUUGCAAAGCAGCACACCAAAACAUGUAGUGAGACAUACUUCAGAACAUCCAGUUCAACUAAAGAUAAUUCUAACCACUCAUUUUCACAAUUGAAACAAGGAGGCACUCACAAUUCCUCGCACAACAACAUAUUGCCACUUUUAGUUGUAAAUCUUCACUGGCUUCUCAAAAGAAUGACGGUUCUGCAAUUGCUUCAAUCCACUAUCAGAAUAUGCCCAACAAUAUUUAACAGUGAGCCUUAAUGUUAGCAUUCUUCAGUGUAAUACCUGACUGGCUAAGAAGGACCUUUUUGGGGUAGUAGCUGUAUGCUCCAAUCCAAGAAUAUGUUCCCACGCCCCAUAAAUAGGUUUCUGUUUCUAAAAACAUAGAAGGAAAAAGACUGUAUAAGUCUUUAUAUUUUGAUGAAAGCCUUGCAAAAAGGAUUCUGUCCCCCAAAAGGAAAAUUUAACUAACCUGGAAUCGGCUCAAUACAAUAUCUGAAUCUUGGAGGUAUUCUGGCCGACCGUAUGUAACAUAAGCAAAUUUCCACUGAUGAAAGAGAUGUAGCAUCAUAUAUAUUAUCCAAUAUAAGAGAAAACCCAAGUAAAAAAAAAGAAAUGAAACAUCAAUGUUACACUACACCACAGCAAAUAUUAAUUGAGCCAAACCAAGAUGCCCGUUCAAAUUAAAUUUAGAUGAGACGAUUAAAAUCAGAAAGUGAACCAUGUGAAUGCAGCAACGCUAUCCACGUAAAAAGACUGCAGAAAGUAGGGGGGGGGGGGGAAAGGAAUGACUUAAAAUAAACAGUAAAUAGCAGUUGAUAGAAUAGAUGGUCCAAAGGUGCUUAAAUGACAAAAAACAUACAUGAUAUAAUUCAGAGGUCGAUCAUAUAACAAGGUUGAAACGAGUACCUUUAGAAACUGCUCAUCAGGAACUUGAAGUCUCUUCUGAAUCCGUACUUUGAUAUCCGACAAAGCCUCACCAUCACGAAUUAAAAAGAAGAAAGGUUCUCCAAAAUAUUGAAUAUGCUGAAGGGAUAAAGCGGUUAAGUCAAUGAAAGUAACAACUGUUGAAUCAUGAUGCCUUCUCAAAAAGUGUAAGCAAGCACAAAAGUAGCACUGUAAAACAUCAGAGAAAGAGGAUUUCCUAAGGGGGGGAACUAGGUACAGAAGACAUUUCAUAAUUGAAUCACAACCCCAAAUGAAAAGGUUUUGGCAGGUCAGAUACCUGCAGGUAGCCAGAACCUUACAUAGUGUUUCACAAAGCUAACAGUUAGUCCCCAGUAAUUUUGACUGCAGCAGUAAAAUUGUGUGAUCUGGUAACUCACCAAUUUUAUAACUAUUUAAAAUUUCAAUCUGCCCAAAAUGCACCUGGUGAAUAUUAAUCAGUUUGUAGGAUGACGUGUGUGAUACUAACAUGAGUAUGCAUCUCUAUGACGACCUAUGUUCAUUAGGCAUUUCAAUCACCAACUUUGGUGAAGGUAACACUCCAUUUUGUGAGCACUCUUCACCAGCGUAAGUUUGUUAUUAGCAAAAAUGAACUGCCAAUCCUCACCAAUUUCUAAUAUUCUCCAUUGAUAUGACCCAUUUAUAACAAGUAUUUUAAGAAAAAUGUGCUCCUAACUUCUUUCAAAUGAGCUUGAAAGGAUCAAAUUACUACAAGGAUCCUUGAAUCUCAAAAUGCUUAAAGAUACAUACAUGAAUAUCUUUGAAGAAGUGAUAGACAUGAACCAAACGGUCAUUAGGCCCAGCAUUUUUCUCUUCCUCAGGAACCUGGUAAAACAAAUAAGAAAAAAGUGUGAGGGGGGUCAAAUUUACUUUCAGAAACACUGUAACUGUAAAAAUAGUUUAUGGAAAAUGACCCCAUCAAAAGUCCAGUGGAAAACCACGCUAGCAUAGUGGUGCAUACCUCUUCAAUACGAAGGGGUCCAGAUUGGUCACUAACUGAAUCUAUCUUAUCUCCUGGUUGAUAAACCUAAAAUUAUACAAGGCCGUCAAUUGAUCAAUAUAAGAGAUCGACAUGGUAAAUAUGAACAUCAUCUUGAUCAAAUAUCAAAGGAAAAAAGGCAACUUUCUAUAAAUAAAGCCAAGGGUAAAAUUUAAAAGUUGUACAGCCAUAAUGCAUCACGUUCUUCCAAAUCAAACGAAAGGAAACUCCCAAAUCCCAUUCUAGUUCACCCACAUGCAUGCCCCUCAACCUCAGAUGCACCAAAUAUUUGGCACCAUUAAUAGGGCCUCAAGCCCCACAUCCCAAUCUGUCAGCAAAAGAUAUCUACAUCUUCUGUGACACCACAUAGCAGGUGCACCUUUCCCUAUCAGCAUACCCACCAGUAUCUAUAGUUGAGAGAGUGGUAUAAUGCACAAGAGAUGGUGGUGGGAAAAGGGGGCAAUGCAGGGACAUGGAAUUUAACUCCCUCCAUUUCGUGAUAAUUGCCUGGUCGACACACCUAGGAGGCAACAUUUCAGUAAAAUUUUACUAUCUAACAGGAAUACAAGAUAAAAAAUUAUCCGAUCAGAAAAAAAAGGAUUACUUAGCUUUUGUACCUCCUAGGUAUGUGAUGGACAAACUACAAACAAAGGUUUACGCAGCUACGUCCCCUCAAACUCAAAGGAACAUAACAUUUAAUCUUAUCUGCUCACCAGCCUCCCUCCCUAUCCCAGACAGUAAGUCCUCAAAAACAUCUAGUGGGAUCUUUCCAUAACUUGUGCAAUGCCUUCAGAAACACUACCUCCAUCCGCUAAUAUAUGACGUUGGUUAGUUCAUUUUUUAGCUAGCCAACGUCAUAUGUUAAAGGAUGGAGGGAGUAAUAUGCGAGUUAAACAUACUCUGAUCUCAUCCAAGCCCCCUGAUACCUUUGAUACAUCUAAUCAGCCUCAAGCACCGCCUCCUGAGCUACAAUACUCACAUCUAGAGUGCACAAUUAUCUAACCUCCCACCGAGAUCUACAGUUUAGAUCCUGAGAUAACUCAUAAGCAAUUGGCUUGAGCAAAAGGAGGCUAGACAAGGAUUUGAAAUUCUACUAAUAUGAUGAGGUAUGGCUGCUGUCCUGAAAUAGAAUUAUAUAGUACAAUAUCUGGAUCCCACCAUACAAAUUCCCAGUUUGAUCCAAGCCAGAAUAAGUAUGAACAGUUAACUCAAACGACAUCCAAAUUAAAUGAAUUACCCAGAUAGUGGUGCUGAAACCAUUCAUUCACUAAAACAAUACUAAAAAUAAAUAAAUAAAUAAAUAGAGAAGGAUAUCUUCCAUUCAGUACCUUGCAUAUCUUGUGAAGGUGGACAUUGAAAAACCGAAAUUCAGCAUCAUUACAAGAAAGUUCAACCUAAUACAAGGAACAAAAGUAUGCAAAAUGAAAUAGCUAUGCCAAUACCACAUUCAAAGAAAUUUAGCAAUUGUUGCAGCCAACACACCUUUGACUUUAAGUCUUCGAUCAAAUCAAAAAGAGCAUUACUUUUUGGUGACCUCAUAAUGUGAAAUGACGCCUGACAAGAAAACACUGCCUUAGAACAUGGUCAGCAAAAUAUAUGAACCUGCAAAGAAUGUGUAGAAACUAACCUCACAGUUUUUCGCAUUUUGAAAAGCAACUUUCAGUGUUUUCAGACCUUCCAGCUCAGGCAACGGAAUGUCCAGUGUCUCAUAAUAUAAUAUGUCACACAUCUGCUAAAUCAAACGAAGCUUGUGUAAUCUGAAGAGGAAUAUAGUUAACACUCGAAAAAAGGAGUUCAAACCUGAUUGUGAUGCUGUAGCAUGUCCGAAAGAUAAUCAAGACCUCUGUAUUUGAUGUAGUAAGGUUUGGGUUGGUGAGAAAGUGGAUGGUGUUGAGUAAGCCGAAUUUUAGAAGGUUCAUCCAGACCAAGUUGAUGAGCAACCUUCUCAACAACAUCAUCAUAUGUGGAACGCUUUGAACUUCACCAGAAAAAAUUACAUGUUAUUAUUGGUGCAAUACUGUCAAUAAAUGGAUGCAGGCUCACCAAAACAUAAUAACACGUACAGCUCCAGAGAGAAGUAGUCUUCUUUUGGCUUCUCCAGCAAUCUGAAGCGAACAAUCUACAAAUAAUAUUAACCAAUUAUCAGAAGAAAAAAAGAUAAAUCAACUAACCAUUCAAACUAACAAAGUAAAUCAAUCAUUGCACAGGCAAACAAACACUCCCAGAUAAGAAAAUUGAUGGUACGUUUUAAUCAGAAUUUAACAGCCAGAGUACAGUUAUCUCCUACACAACUAUGUCAGGUUGCCUGACUAGAAACUAAUUAAUGUAAUUUCAUUUUUACGACCAAAUUGAGCUCACUCAAGAGGUCAGCGUUGAACUGUGCACAGUCAACAAAGUUCUCCCCCUAUUUUUGUUGUGCCAAAGAUGCAAUACAUUAUUUUGGAGCAAAUUUGACCCAUUCUGUUUCUCGAAAAAUUAGAAACCAGUUAGAAAAUACAAUAGCUUAGAUCUGCAUGCAAACAGACCUCCAAUAAAAUUUCUCAAACUACAAAUAAUGUAUUUCAGUGGCAUUCAUAAAAAAAUCCCUUUCAAACGGACAAAAAGUGCCUAAUAUAUGGGCAUGGUCUUGGUACACAUGAGCAUACCAACGUGCUAGUUAGGUCGGAGCUUCAAAAACAGGAACUAAUCGAUUUAACUCAAUUAGGAAAAAAGCAAGAGAAACAAAUAAAGGUAUCGCGUGUGGAUGAAACGAGAGCAGUGGCCCAAAAAGAAUUAUCAAUCUAUAAACUGGCAUUGCUGUUACAAUCUAGAAUGGAAGAACUACUUUGAAGACAAGGGAACUAUCUUGCAAUAUGUUCCGUUGUAAGAAAUCUUGACAUUUUACAUACAUUCUGACAUACAAAACAGCUAAACCUGGCUACAUGAAAACUAUGAACAUACAAAUAUACAAUCUUAUACAUAUAUUAUAUCCUCUGUUAUAUAUAGCCUUUUACAAUUUUCGGAUCAGAGGGAAUUGGUUGCACAUAAAUUUAAAAUCAAUUUGCAUGUAUUAUUUUCUUCCUCAGUUCUUUUCUAGAGAUUUUCUGUCGCAAUCUUGCCUUUCGGUAACAUUAAAACUUGCCCAGUAAAUUUAUCUCGUCAAUCAUUCUAUCUGUAACAUAUAACACUAACACCAAACUGAAACUUUUAUCCAUAAUGCAAUCAAUCAGCAACUAUUUACAGCGACAUUCAACUCAAUUAUGCAGUACUGACAGUUGACCUAACCAAUGAAGUUGGUUCCUUGUAUAUUAUUUUCAAAAAACUACAGAUAAUAUGGUCAAUGCCGAAGGAUGCGUUUCCGAAUUUGCAAGCCCCACAAUUCCAACAAAGCAAGAUGUCUAACCAACCACCAAAACACACAUCCUAGUUGAAAUGAGCACUUGUUUUCAACGAGCAAAAGAUAAACAGAAGGGCAGAAUAUGCAGAACAACCUUCACUUGUCAAUGUUAUUGAUAGAUGGCACAUGAAAGGCUCAUACAUUGUUAACAGGAUGCAGGAAGUAUGAGACAUGAAGUAAUUCAAGGAAAUCGAAUGAAAUAAUACGCAUAUACCGCUCAGCCUCGCGCCAUGUGAAUUACCUGUUUAUUAUGAAUAUAUUCGAAGAAAGAAGAUACAGUAGGAUAGCGAUAUUGAUCCAUUUUAUCUGGCAAACAGCGUUUUUGGUAGCAUAUUAUAUCACCAUUCUCAAUCUGCCAGAACAGAGCAUAAGUAAAGCAAAGAUAAUAUCAACAAGAACAAAACAUCAAUAUAAAAAAGGGUACAAACCUGGCUUGAAUGGAAAGAUACAUUACUCUCAAUUGGUUCGCACAUCACACUUGGAUCAUACAUUAUUUCCUAAUAAGAGAUUUAAGAAAAAUAAGUAGGGAGCACAGAUACUUCCUAAAGCUCAUCCAAAUUUGAGGAAAAUAAGGUCUGAUGCUCCAGCAAAACCAUUUCUAACCUCAUAGAGAUCAAUAUCUUCAUCAGACGGAAAUCCGGCGAUCUGAUUCAGCCUUUCUACUAUAUCAAAUGGUUUCCCCGAUGCUUUCACAAAAAUUUUUCCAACAUAUCUGUUUCAUUAUAACAAUGAUAACAAACCUAAUCAGUUUGAUUGGUUGAACAAUACAUAAAGAAAGCAGAGAGAGAAAGAUAACCUUAGGUCUUCCUUUUCAGGAUCGUAGAGCUUGAAGAAAAGUAAUAUAUCUUCUUUGGUCUUCACAGGAGGAGCAAUCGGUUGAUUUUCCUGUAUGUUUUAUAAGCUAUGUUUAGAAUGGUAACGGAACAACCAAGACAUAGCAAGGUUACAUAGAUGAAUGAUUGCAUUAAUAAAAAAACUAAGGGACCAAAUGCAAUCGAAAAGGUAUUUAAUCAUUUAACCUGGCCAAAAUGAACCUCCAAGAAUAGCCUUACUUCAGAAGUCUGAAAUUUUGUUACAGUUGCAUCUUUAAGCAGCCCAAUCUGCCCAAAAGAAAAACAUACAUUAGUUGAAAAUCGACAAAAUUGACAGAUAUAAAAAUAAAUGAAAGCUUGUAGAGGCAGUUACCCAACUUGUUCUUUUAAAAGAAUAAUUUGAAUGUUAUUCUAACAGCAUCAAACAUCAUCACAACAUUGAGAAUGGGCAUUCCACUUACAGCAGUUUUUUCCUCCUGAAGGGUCAACGGCCGACUGGGCCUGUAGGUACUGUUCUUCCGCUUAGCCCACACCCAAAAUCGUUGGGAUUCCACCGGGAUGCCAAAUUCUUUUGAAAGCUCCAUCUGCCAAGAGAGCAUCAUGAAAUUUAAAAAAAAAGCUUUCUUGCCAAUACAAAAGAUAAGAAAUAUGAUAAUAUUCUGAUCUUAACAAUUACGAAGUGUAUCUCAAACAAAUGCAAUUGUUCUAACAGCAGUCCAGGGUGGCGUAGCAAGAAAUUUUCAAUAGGGCGUGCCCUGGUGUCCAGGGUAAUAGACCGUACAAGAUUUUAGGUCAUAAAUAGCUUAUCUCCAUAGACAUUUGCAAAAUCAAGCUGUGCUAAGGUACACCAGGACACCCACCUGGUUACGCCGCUGGCAGUUCAGUAAAAAUAUUUUUCUUAUUUGCUACUCCCUCCAUUUCAAAAUGUAGGUCGUUUUGGCUUUUCUAUAUACAUAGAUUCUGCUAUGUAUCUAGACAUAACCUAUAUCUAGGUACAUAGCAAAAAUCAUGUAUCUAGAAAAGCCAAAACGACCUACAAUUUGAAACGGAGGGAGUAUAUACUAACAACACCAAUAAAUUAGUUUACACUUGCACCAGUUGGCCAGCCAUAGUCUUACCAAUUUUAUUUUCAUGUGACAAACCUAAGCAACUCAUCGAUAUAUUAGUGUUUAAAUUAAAAAGGUCCCACUGCACACCUUCUGAAAGAAUACUUAAGAAGCUCAGCAUGAAACUCCUGGAAUGAUUGAAUUAUAAAAUAUGAUUUAAGAUUCAUAAUAAUUUGUUAAUUAUUAUUACAGCUGUCAACAAUCAGUCUAGUCAUCAAAUCAUUGUGUUUCCAUGCCUAAUGCCAAUCCAUAAUAAUUUGUUAAUUAUAUUAUUAUUACGGUAGUUGAUACUCAGUCGAGUCAUCAAAUUACUGUGUUUUCGGGUAGGUUUGGUUUGCUGCCGCCGUCUGCCCUGCCAAAGACAUCGGCCGGCCAAAUCUUGGCAACCGAUUUGGCUGCCCAGGAAUCGGCCGGCGCGGGGCUCAAAUGAACUAUGGAUGGGCAGGCAGGCCAAAGCAUGCCAAAAAUUGGUCGGUAUCCAAGUGCGAACCUCGCACGUCGUCAACGACCAAAAUUUUGGUAGGGCUGUCGCAGGAACUCAUCCAAACGCGCCCUUCAUGCUUAAUGCCCUAAUCCUCUGGUCACAAACUAUUAUAACUCUAAUAUAAAAGCCUUCUCCUCAUCAGGUGACUUAUGUUGGUGUUUUUUUGCCAUCAGAUAAAAAACCAAUGGCUCUCAUCACCCUCCCAGCCUCCCUACUCAACUUCUCUAGCCUUAGCCUCCCUACCUCCACUCUCCUUUGUUUCUUCUCUCACCCUGACUCCACCCACUGCGCUGCCAUUGCCGCCAGCUGUCAUUGCCGCCAGCGGUCUCCUUCAUCACCCACGUGCCUCCUCUCUCCUCCCCUACUCGCCUGGCACCAUAUUCUUCAAUUCCGACCAAGCUCCCACAUCGCCACACACUCAGCUCCUGCGGAGCUAUACCAUCCACUAACCACUCAGCACCUGACACCCUUUCCAGCCCCCACCGCCCACCAGUGGCUUCCCAUCACCGCGGCUGGUGGCACUGCAGGUACCUCGGCAUCCCAGCUCAGUGCCGCAACCACUGCUGGCUGGCAAACCUCCCCAGGAUCCCUCUACAGCCAUCGGCACAAGUAAAUUCAAAUAUAAAACUAAUGUUCAGUUAUUUAAAAAUGUUGGUAACUUAUGGAUAAGCAAGAUUUCAGUUCCCUGCUGAAGAGUAAAUUUGAAUAUAAAAACUAACAUUUGAUUAUUUAAGUGUAAAUACUGUGAACACUUGAAACAAGAGGGGAACUCCUAAUGUUGCAGCCAAUACUCAGUAUUAUAGUAAAAGGUAAAAGGAAGGAUAAUCGAUAGUUAAGUACAUCACAGAAUUAUUCGACUCGGAGGAAGUAACUACACAUACAAGAUUAGUAACUAUAAUCAAAACAAACCAUAAGGCCCAGCGAAUUACCUUGACCUCGUUGAUUGACAUGUUCUUAGGUGCACGGAAGCUAUGAACUUUGUCAAAGUCCACGAGAUCAAAGUGCACAUGUCUUCCAAUUUGCUCUUUCAAAUCAGAAUCCCAGGCCACCUAAGUAAUUGUUUAAAUUAGUGAAAACUGAGAAAUAGCCCCCAUCAGACAUUGAAACGGACAAAAUCAAGUUAAACCUUCAACGCAGUGAACAUGUGAGCCUCAGCUUUCUCCCUUUUCUUGUAUUCCUUUUCUUCCUGUUCCUUUCUUAACCUAACCUGGGAAGAUUUAAAUAAUAUUAAAACAAACUCUAUGGACUUUAUUAAAUAAAUGAAAUUGAAUAAACAAGUAUUACCUUAAGGUGUUCUGAUAUGUCUUCCUCGUCCAAAUCACAGAUAAUUUUCUCUUUGUCACUUUCUCGAAUGUAAACAAGCAUGUAGGCAUUUGAAUGCUUAGUAAAUCUGAGGGGGGUUGUAUUCAGCCCAGGGUUGGUAUGGGGGAGCUGCAAAAAGGAAUUCUCAGCAGAACAUCAUGCACUUAAGGCCAAUUGAAGCAGUUUUAGUGUUUGCAUGUAUUACCUCUUCUUCACCACCAUAUUGCUCCUCUAAAGCCCGCUUCGUGUCUUCUUUUGUUACCCGUUCAUCAUCAAACUUGUACCUAAAUUUCCAAUUUGUAAAGUAAAUGAAUUACAAAUGUAAAAUAUCCCUGCAGAGAUUGUACAAUGUAGUGCAGAAUAUUCUUAAAAAAGGAAGUAUAAUUUGCAUAAGAGUAUUGAAAAGAUUUGUUUGUGUCCACUUAAAAUUGAAUGUGUAUGGACAUCAUACAAUGUUGAUUGUACAGCUAUUGCUUGAAUUAACCUUAAUCAGAUCAGAUUAAAACAAAAACACAAUUUAGUACUAUCAGUGAAAUAUCUAUGGUAAGUAGAGAAAUAAGAAGAGUUUGACUCAAAUAUCAAACUGAACAGUACCAUUGGUCAGACAACGUCGGGCGAAUGAAGGCAUAGUAGUGUCCUCCAUGAACUCCACCACUAUGAACUAGUACACUGCAUCGAAGAGAGGCUAUAAAUAUUACUAUAAGGAUCCAAACUGCUCACAAAAUAAAAACCACUAGUCUGCAUCUAGCCAGCAACUACAGAAUUGCAAAAGUGUUAAUCUCACGGGCAGGUAUUUUAAAUUUUUUGCAUGCCUUCAACAUGUGAGUUUGUCUACUAUUACAGUUUACAAACGGGAAAUAUAAAGAGUUAUCUAAAGUAAGGUGAGCAUAAUUAAUAUAUAUAUAACAUGUAAAUUAUAACAUACUUAUAGUAUUCAUCAUUUUCAAGUGACAAAAGAACAUGGUAACCAUUACCUGUGAAGAGUAUAUAGGUUACGCACACUUCUAUCCGCUUCUGGAGAAAGAUAUUUUCCAUCAUCUCUAUCAAGAUCCAAUUGAAGUGGGAACUCAUAGCGGUCGUUUAUCUACAUCACGCAAUAAAUUGAAUUAAACCGAGCAAAAAUGCAAAUAACCUAUAAGUAAACAAAAAAAAGCAUCUUGAAUGUGUGCCUCAGAUGAUAAAUAUUUCCAUCCGAGGACUAUAUUAGAUUAUCUUUACAGUGACAAUUAAUGCAACGAACCUUUUGCCUACUCAAAUCAUCCAGAAAAAACUGUGUGUAGCAUUUGCAUUGUUGACCUUUUUAUGUUUCAAAAGUUCAAGCCAAUGAAAACUAAGCCUCAAACAUGAAAUAUGACAGCUGAAAGGUCAAGGGUAGUUCAAGGCUCCUACGAUAUAAAAUAUAGCAUUGACAGCUCUAAUUUAACCAUAUCCUAACAUGUUCAAAAACUUAUCUAUGUGAUUGUAAGAACCACAAUGUAAGUACAAAACAUGGAAAAGGGAAAUCCACAGAUAGGGUAAGAUAAAAAUAAGAGGCCAAGCACAGACCUUGACCAUUGUAUCCCGCACAAAAUCGUAUUCGAACCGUUUUAACUGAAGUUGCAAGACUGGAGGGAAGUCAACAAAAAGCAUUCCUUUCUUGGCAUCCUGAAAAAAAAAGAUAGGAAUCUCCUUUCAAACAGCAGAAAUAAUCUAACCAUUAUCUUCAGUAUAACUCUUUUACAUCAGUUCGCUACUGCAUCUAGAUUAGCACUCACCCCACAAUGACCCAAAUAACAAUUAGAUAAAGUUCAGUAAUUUAAACCUAGAUUACCAUGCUAUACCUGUAUCAUCUAAUUCAGCUGCACAGACAAAAUUUAAAAAGAAAAUAGAAAGUCUUCUAAACUUUGACACGGAAUUUGAAAGUUGUAGAUAUCAAUGCCAAGUCGCUCACCUGCAGACCAUGUUCCUCAGAUUGAUACUUAUUAUCGCCUUCUAACCUCUCCACUGCAACAUACUUAUCAAAUGAUGCGUAGACAUCAGAACACCCCUUGACAUCAAGUGCAAGAUCUGUGAAGAAAAAAAAAGGUACACAAAAUACUCUAUUGACUCUUGUCAACCAAAACACUAAAAAGAAAGCAUAUUUCCCCUGGCUACCUACCAUAGAAUGACUCUUUCCUGGUAGAUUUGUGGUCAACAUUAAUGCACUCGAUAUAAUUCAUAUGGUGACCCUCAAAUAACUUUUGUAUUGCUCCUUCCACAGUGGUCCCCUGAGAGAGAAGAACAGCUGCAGAUCCUUGGAAGAGUUGGGGGGGGGGGGGGGGGGGGGGGGGGGUUCAACAAAGUUAGAUGACAAACCUUCAUCUUGUUCUCCAGCUUUUCACAGAGAACCCUAUUCAAUUCUUGAACAUCAUGCUGCAUGAAUGAAUCAUAGCUAUCCCAUCCAAAGGAUUUGGUGAGCUCUUUUGUAGCAACACUAUUGUCAUUAUGCUGAAGUUUGUAGAAAAGACUUUGCAAAGCGAGCGGAAUGCUCCCUGAAGGUGUAUCAUUCUCUGAAGUAGGCAUAUGAUAUACAGCCUAAAACAUUAAUUUCAGUAUCAGCACCACACUGAAGGAUCAACUAUAAUAGACAAAAGUAGAAAUAUUCCUACCUUCCGAAAGUAGGGAAUGUGAUACAAAGUCUGAAGGAGAGAGUUCAUGUAACAUGUAGCUCCUUGAUUCUUCAGGCCGACAUAACCGGUCAUCUUUUUGGAGUCAUAGUUCCAGAAAUCAACAAUUUUACGCACAGCAACCUCAGCUUCAAUAAUGCAUUUAUCAUUCACAACAUAUCCUUUACUUGAAUCAUAUAGAUCCAUCAAAGGCAUAAAAGAUGUGAAGCCCCAAUCACUUUCUCGGGCAUUGAAUUGAUGUGUUGCUUCUGUGGGGAAAAAUAGAGAGCACAUCAAACAAUGGCAAAUUUACAUGCUUCCUAAAACCUAUUUAAUGGCAUAAAAACGAAGAACUAAAUUUCAGAACAGACUGCAACUUGAUUCCUAAUAAAUGAAAACGAUGUUCUUUCAGUCAAACUAGAGUGAAAAGGAAAGCAAGGAAAGAUGUUAGUUACUCUGCAUUGUGCAAAUUUUUGUUUAGCAGGUCAAUUUCUUUCUCCUUUUUAUUGUGUUAAUUCAGACCUUUAUCUUCCUUUGCUCUCAUUCCGCCUUGAACACUCCCACCCUUAUGUUUAGCAGUUGGAAUAAUUCAGCUUCCCAAUUUUCAGUUGAAUUACACAUCAAGCAUGUCAGGGGCUCAGGGCAUAACACAACCAUAGCACAAAACAUUGAUGUGUUACUACUACCCAUCCUUUUCUUGGGAAAUUUGCUCUACCAACCAACAUAGAAAGUGUAAGAAUUACCUACUUCACAGCAGAGAAGAACCGAGCAAUAUAUAUCAACCAUAUUAAGAAAUGCCAAGGGAUAAUGAAGCAUAUAGCACACUUUUGUGUAAUUACCGAUGAAAAAGACCAUCAUUUACUCUAGAGAUGUCAUAGAAUAAAGAAACAUUGGAAACAUAAAAAAAAAGUUAAGUGCCUAUCCUCACAAAUAAUCAGAGUCAAAUUCAUGCUGAGUUGCUGACUAGAUGAAUGUACAAUUGCACUCAUCCAAAAACCCAAAAGCAAGCAGUAAUAUUGCUAGGAACAAAGAAAGUACUAUACAUUUUACAUCAGAUGUAUAAUGAGGGUGAGAGGUAACAGGAAAUACCUUUUCUUAACGACAUUUUGCUGUCUAUUUGGUUUACCACAGCAAGGCUGAAUUGUGCAUACCUACUCCAUCCAGGAGGCAGAAAAUUUGCAUCAGCAACAUCCAGGUACAUUGAAAGGUUAUCUACGUUAUUUCCUUUGGGGAAAACCAGCACUCGCCUGCGAGGAGGUAAUAUAAAGCACUGAGACAAACUCUAUAACUGACUAGUGCACAAUUAGAAGUGAUGAGCAGCUGCAUUUUGCUCACCAUUUGUAUCCUCCGACGACAAAAUCAUCAGAGUAAUGCUUUCUAACAUUGCGUUUGAAGAAAUUUUCAAUGGUCCAUGUAAAUCUGGAUGUACAGGGAUCUGGCACAGUUUGGUUCUCAACAGUUGAUGCAGAUUCUGCAAGACAACAAAAGAAAUAAGUGAUAUAAUGGAGUAGAAAACAAUAAGUAAUAUGCCUUUCCAUACUUCAGGCUUCAUUGUACUUCACCCACAGUAUCAAUUGUCAAAGAAACUACAACCAUUGUACCAACUAUGCACACACCUAGCAUUUUGAUAGUCACUCUGCACUGUCAAGACAUCAUGACCUAUUUACCAAACAGUAGACACUAGUGACAACCAGAACUAACCUAACAAACCCAUGAAAGUUCACUUAGUGAACAUAGGUAAAACACUAACUACCACAGGUUGCAUAAUGAACAGAAUGCGUGCAAGGCUUACAUAGAAUGUCUGAUCUCCAUCAGAGGCUCUAGUUAAAUGACCCUAUCAAUUAUCAUCUUAGUUUCAGACACGUGAGAAUAACUGUAGCAUUUGAGCAUACACUUCACGAUAUUCAGUCCGAAAUUCCAUAUCCACCAUUUUAAAAUAAUCAGCGAAGAUCACAAACGAGCACGAAUUGUGAUCUUGUGAUGUAGAAUUUUUAUAUUCUCUUGAACAUUUCGUGGUUCAAUAAUUUACAUUCAUCUAAAAAACAGUAGCACGACAACACCAAACAUAUAGGUUAUAUCUACUCCACAAUAGACACGAAUACUGGAAGUCAUCACAAAAGAUGAUGAAAAAAACUUUACAAAAUGAUUAAUCCUUCUAUAUAUAGGGUUUACUUCCAACCAAGUUGACAACUAUCUCAAUAUCAUGAUUAAACAGAUACAAGUGCAAAGCUUCUGAGAGUGGCAGCCAACAGGUAUAAAAAACAACAGCCAUCAAAGAGCAGUGCUAUACUGCUAUGUCCCUAAUCAUGUCUCACCGUGGAAAACAAGAAAAGGGCACUGCAAAGACAAUGCAUUAGCAAAAAAAAUCCAAUAAUGUAGCCUACAUCAAACUAUGCCUGAGAAAACCCCGAAAGGCCAACCAAAAAAUCUCACCUUCCAUCGGCUGCGGACCCUCCACAACAUCCUGCUGCGGACCCUCGACGACAUCCUGCUGCGGACCUUCGACGACGGCCUGCUGCGCGCCCUCGAUAACAUCUUGAUGCGGAACCAGCAUCUCCUCAUCCUGGUCCUGCACAAGAAGCAGCCGGACAGUUCAGGACACAAAGAAGAAAAAAAAACUGCAACCCCCAACCGCAGCACCUCGAAUCGAUCAAAGGUCGCGAAUUCCUUCCACCGAAACGCCCCCGACACGGUAAUCUGCGCGUUACAGUGGGCAAAGGCAAACUGAGUCUGGAGCUUUUACCUCGGGGGCGCGCGGUACAACCAUGGUGCAGCGCGGCGGCUCCGGCGCCGAUGGACCGACGGAGCGUCAGAUCGCGGCGGCGAUCGCUCUGGACCAAGCGGAUUUUGCUAGGGUUUAGGGGAGAGGAGAAGAGAAGAGGAAGCGGAGGGGAGAAGGAAGAGCAGUAGGGGAAAAAAUUAAAAAGGGUUUUCGCUAUAAAGGCUGCGGAUGCGGCUUUUUCCAAGAACGGUUUGCAGUUUGCCUCUUGAGUCUUGACCGGCUUGCUUGGUCCUCCUUACGAGCGGAGCAUGGUUGCUGGAGAGGAAAAAAAAAACAGCAGCUCCUACCAUUUGGUCGCUAUUUGUUUUGUGCGCCUAAUAAGCGUAUGAAAAGGAAGUUUCUGGCACCCUGCUUCUUGUAUUGUUAGAAACGAGAGGGAAAAUGAAGUGCGAGUGGUAAAGGGCAAAAAAUUAGCUUAGUAGAAAUUUAAGAAUGUUGGACUAAAUUUUUAAAAGUUUGUGAGAUAAAAAUGGUUAAAGGUCUGCGAAGCUCAGAAUGACUUGUUCUGGUAAUCAACCAAGCAGGGAAUUUCUUUCAUUCAAAUAAUCACUUCUCUUAGAAAUCACUUCAAUAGAUCAAAAGUAGGAGUUCUAGUAAACUGAGCUUAAAAUUUAUUUUCUCGUUUGGAUUUUAGGUUAGGGAUAGGAAGUGUGUUUGGACAUGGGAAAUAAAUCUUCUUUUCCCAAACUUUGAAACCUACGAUGAGAGAGUGGAUAUAAGGCUUUUAUUUUGGCUUCGGCUCCACAUGUUUUCCGCAAAAUCGAGAUAUUAUAUAUCGUGAAGUCGUUUUGUUAGUCAGGGUUAAAAUAAACUAGGAAUUGGGUGAAGUUAGUUUUUUUUACUUCACUAGCUUUGGCUUGACGGGUGAAAUCAUUGGGAGAAGCCCUCCCAACCAGCCCCCAAGUAAGAGAUGUGAAAUGAAAAUCUGCCUUUAAUUAUAUGAUAUUUGAUUGGCUCUCCACUUCUUUAAGAAGGGAUGAGAGAUGUGUCAUGAUAUAUAAAAUAUUAUUUUUAUAAAAGAUUGACUAGAUUCAUACCAUUAUAAUCUCUCCAUAGACCCAAACUAUUGUGGGGAAAUAUUAACGACCUCCUUAUACCCCUUAAAACAACAGUCAUGAAGGCCCAAGCUCACCUGCGGUAAUGACGACCACCGCUGACCUAGCAUGGGCAGGGAGCAUCCCACUCCGUCUCGCCCGACCCAGGACCCCGGGGUAGGACACGCCCGACCCUCGGUGGCAAAACUCCGCCUCGCCCGACCCCGGGUGUAGGGGGUCGAACUCAUCCGGGCCCACAAGACAAGGGUCCGCCUUAGGCGUAGACCGACAGACAAGGCGGUAAGCAGGACUACAGGGGUCAACCGCUUCCCCCAACGUGCACAGUUAUGGCGACUGGAUAUCAUCAUCAUGCUUGGCGGCAACGGUCGCCCGGAGGAUCGGCGAUAGGAUUCGACGACAGCCGCAAUCCUCCGGUGGCCACGCUGAUAGGAGCCGAAGGCCGGAGCAGGAGGCGGCGAUCUGGGGACUUGGUCCUUCUCCUUGUACUAUAUUUUACUUAGCUUAUCUCUUUUACUUCUCCACACACCCGGCUCACCUCUAACCCUGAGCCCUCAUUGCGCUAUAAAAGGAGAAUCAGGGGCCCCGAGACAGGAGGACUCUGAAGCCAAAAGAACCCACACACUCACCUCACGAGCAUCAGUGCACACCCAAGAGACUUGGGACCGGCUCCCUCUCUCGCCUGUUUGUAACCCCUACUACAGACCACGCGUGAGUAACACGAGCUGCUCCUCAUACUGGACGUAGGGCUUUCCUUGCCCGAACUAGUCUAACCCCGUGUCUUCUAACGUCACCAUCCGAAGCCUUACGCGCAUAAAAGAAAUUUACUUGCCGUAGUCUUGAUCCGCUAAUCUCGACAACGACAGUUGGCGCACCAAGUAGGGGACCUUUGCGCGUACAUCACCGGCUUCAGAUGGCCAGCCGCGACGCCAGCUUUGCUCCCGGCUCCCUCGUCCGCUUCGGGAGCUCGGAUUUCCUCGCCACGGGGGAGGGAAUUGAGCUGAUCCCUCUCCUUGUCCUACCUGCUCGCCCCGUCGUCCCUGGCUCCGCCGCCGGGAUAGUGGUGAGCGGCCGGGGGCGCUCCACGGGGCCCUCUUCGGAGGAGUGGCCCUUCGGGCUGCGCAAUGCCGCGGCGACCCACGGUCGCCUCCUGGCACGGGCCAUGACCGUGCCACCCACGAGCAACAAGCUCCUAGGCGUGGCGAGCACAGCCUCCGACGCCAGCUCCGACAACGGGAGCCACCACCCCUCGCGCAAGUGCUUCAUGGCCGAUGUACACUCCGAGGGGUCCAAAGAUGACGGCGCCGAGGGAAGGCAGCGCACUCCUCCACCGCGCGCCGCAGCUACGACUGGGGCCCUUGCCAGGGUCCCGGUGCGGCCACGACAACCGGAGGCGCGCGCGGCGCUGUACCAGGAGGUCGAGCGCCCCCGCAACAAAGGCAGGGCACGACAACGGGCGCGUGACGUCCAGCGAUGCAUUUGCACGGAUGAAGAUCGCCCUCAGCUCUUCGCCCGCGCCAGCCAUAACAUCGCUGCAGCAGUAGCCCUACUCCGACGACUUCCCGAGCCGGCAACGCCUGAGGAGCGACAGGCCUACCAAGAGGUACGCGACCUGCUUGAGUGUGCAGCAGUCCAGCAGGCAGAGAGCUCCGUGUCCCGGCGACGCAGACACGGCACCAGCACAGUCACACCCUCCGCGCCUCUCAAGAGGCGCGGAGGGUCUGUCCACCAACCUUCCUCCCACGGGGGAAACCGGGCCUCGCCCAUUCGACGGACUACACCACGCACGGGCGGUGGGGCUUCGUCCGUCCACCGCCGCAUCGGCCCCAUCCGUGACAUCCGUGACGCCUUGGAUGCGUGGAGGUGCUCCUAUGCGAGCAGGGAGGACAGAGCCGACCGCGGCUACCACGUACACUGUGGUGGUCGCCACGACGGUGGAGAAGAUCGGAGCCCAAGCCCCGACCCAGCAGGGCCCAGUGCCUUCUCCGCGCGCAUCCUGAACGCGCUGUUCCCAGCGCGCUUCAGAUAGCCCACCAACGUGGCCAAAUACUCUGGGAGACGAACCCCUGGCUUUGGCUCAGCGACUACCGGCUUGCCUGUCAAGCCGGCGGAGCGGAUGACGACAUGUUCAUCAUUCGCAACCUCCCGCUGUUCUUGGCCGACUCGAUGCGAGCCUGGCUGGAACAUGUUCCGUCAGGUCAGAUCCGUAACUGGAAUGACCUGAAAGAAAUCUUUGUAGGGAACUUCCAGGGCACGUACAUGCGCCCCGGGAACUCCUGGGACCUCCGGAGCUGCCGCCAGGGGUCGGGAGAGACUCUCCGAGAGUACAUCCGGCGCUUCUCCAGGAAGCGCACUGAGCUCUCCAACGUCGCCGAUGCCGACAUCAUCGGGGCCUUCUUGGCGGGGACCUCCUGUAGGUCUCUGGUCCACGAACUAGGACGUGUAGGCCCACGGACCACCAAGGAGCUCCUCGACAUCACCGCUUACUUUGCCUCGGGCGAGGAGGCCGUCGGGGCGAUAUUCGAUCGCUCCAAGGGCAAGGCAAAGCGGGAGGAGGAUGCCGACAAAGGCGCCUCCAAUCGCCAGAAGAAGAAAAAGGCCGCGGCGGAACCCCGAAGGCUGCGGAGGGGCUCAAGCACGACAACGGACGAAAACGAUGACGAUGGUGAUGAGGAUGAUGAUGAAGAGAGCUCUUUCGCUUUAUAAGGAGCGCGCGGCAAACGAAAUACGAACAAACCGCAUCUAUUGCGACGUCAGGUACAUCCCAUCACCUCCGCCUUUCUCCGGAAACCGUACGCAUGAUGUCUUUUUGACCGUAGGGAACACCGCGCCUCCCGGAGGUCAUACGCACAACUUCCUCUGCAAGCGGACCAGGGCCCACUUUAGGUAAAAAAGGAUACAGAGCUGAAAACGCUCUUACACCCCAUUACGGUCCAGGGGUUCGAAGGCUGGCCCUCAAGAGGGUUCGAAAACCGCCCCAGGACAUCCCCCGAGCAAGGGGUGAGAAGGGACGGGUCCGCUAAUGGCCACCACUUAGGCGAGCGAAAGCCAAGGGCGUCUCGACCUCACGUUCGAGUCCGAGCUGGCGUCUAAGUUCAUGGUUUUUCCCCGAAGAAAGGCAACGAGCCCCCGAAUCUGAUCGAACGGACUCGAGAACUAUAUUAACUGGUCAGCCGGAAUCUGGAGUACGCCACCAGCUUGGCCCGAGCCGGACCCCCCCCCCCCCCCGAACGGGGACCGGGACUCCACUCGAACCGACCCGUUUGCAGCUCAACGAGCACCACGAUUCGUCCAGCGAGGAUAGCGUGGCACGGCUCACCCCCUCCGUUUCAGCGAACGGACGCUUGAGGGAAAACGAUCAAAAGCUGAUCUAGCCUCCUGAUCGUCUCCUGCAAUGCGUGGGGGCUCGAAGGCUAGCAUCGCAACCAAUGACCACGCGUGUGGUCACGAUUUGAGGUCUCGAGGCGGGAGUGCCCCACGGAACAAUGAGGAAUCCUCCCGCGCCAAGACAUCCACAGGACACCUCGCCUGAUCAAACUCCCCGGCCAAGCCGAACAAACAGCACUCCCUAUCCGUGAUCAACCGCAGCCUGCAGGGCGAGCAGAGAUCCCCGAUGAACAACGAAAGCAACCUCUGGAGGAGCAUCCUCGCUCCACCACAGGCUCGGGGGCUACUGUUCGGGGAAAAUAUUAACGACCUCCUUAUGCCCCUUAAAACAACGGUCAUGAAGGCCCAGGCCCACCUGCGGUAAUGACGACCACCGCCGACCCGGCAUGGGCAGGGAGCAUCCCACUCCGUCUCGCCCGACCCAGGGCCCCGGGGUCGGACACGCCCGACCCCUCGUUGGCAAAACUCCACCUCGCCCGACCCUGGGCAUAGGGGGUCGGACUCAUCCGGGCCCAUAAGACAAGGGUCCGCCUUGGGCGUAGACUGACAAACAAGGGCGUGGAUCUCGUGGGCCCCCCACCGAUCUUGCCAUAAAUGCACCGCGGCUCUGGCACGUAGAAAGACGCCCGCGCCCCUCGAUGUGACCUGCCACAAGUACCCGGGCGGAACACUGUAGCCACGACCGCACAGGCUACAGUGGCCGCGGCUCCCCCUAAUUCGCCGUAGGGCACUCAUUGCAUGCGUCGCCUGGCACAGGAGGGAGCGCCGCUCGUUCUCGUGCUCGGCCUAUCCGGCGACAGGGAUGCGACGUCCGUGUUCCACGGGCGGUAAGCAGGACUACAGGGGUCAGUCGCCUCCCCCAACGUGCACGGUUAUGGCAGCCGGACAUCAUCAUCAUGCUCGGCGGCAACGGUCGUUCGGAGGAUCAGCGACAGGAUCCGAUGACAGCCGCCCUCCUCCGGUGGCCACGCUGACAGGAGCCAAAGGCCGGAGCAGGAGGCAGCGAUCCGGGGACUUGGUCCUUCUCCUUGUAUUAUAUUUUACUUAGCUUAUCUCUUUUACUUCUCCACACACCCGGCUCACCUCUAACCCUGAACCCUCCUUGCGCUAUAAAAGGAGAAUCAGGGGCCCCGAGACAGGAGGACUCUGAAGCCAACAGAACCCACACACUCACCUCACGAGCAUCAGUGCACACCCAAGAGACUUGGGACCGGCUCCCUCUCUCGCCUGUUUGUAACCCCUACUACAGACCACGCGUGAGUAAGACGAGCUGCUCCUCAUACUGGAUGUAGGGCUUUCCUUGCCCGAACCAGUCUAACCCCGUGUCUUCUCACGCCACCAUCCGAAGCCUUACGCGCAUAAAAGAAAUUUACUUGCCGUAGUCGGCACCUGGGAGGCUGGGACAUCCUAUCUGAGAGCUGUUGCUUGCCACCUCAAUCCUCUUCAUUAGCAUGAUUGUUCCCCACUUCUCUGGCUACGACCCUUCCUCUUAUGAUCCUUGUCAUUUCCCAACGGCAGGUGAUCAACGAGAUGAAUAGAAAGGAAAAGGGAGAGAGAUGGAGAAAGAAAGUAGAUGCAUCAAAGGCAUUGCAAAAUGGCAACGUGGUGGCAGUACACCGAGGUGAAGGCAUCAAUGCCGAAUGACAUCACCCUAAUGGCUGGCAAAGCAAGCAAUGGGCGAGGUAAGCCACGAGGGGGCACAAAAACAUGGACCGGGGAGGUGGUGGUGGUCUCGACAGUAGGGAUGUUACAGUAGCAUCUUUGCAAAUGACCUCGUUCAAUCUGAUCCGCACGAUGACACCCCACACCCUUGAUCCACCUCGCCAAUCCCAAUCCCACAAUGCCUCCCCAACAGGCGCAAUUGUGCGUCGCAGACACGCCGCUAAAGGCGACAAUGAGCACGCAACCCAAGACCGCCGCCACCACCUUCCUCCCAGCACGCCCCCACGCCGCCUUCCUUCUUUGGCUCCGGCAGCUCCCGCCGCUGUAUCCACCACCCUAAUCCAGCUUUGUCAAGGAGCUCACCUCCAACCCUUACCCCCGCCCGUCCAUGGCCCACCGGUUGUCCUGACCCUGUCUGGCAGCGUCCCCGCUGCUGUGCCGCACUGCCCCGCGACCCGCCUUUGUCGCCAGGCCUACCUGCUGCCCCAACCCUCCUUUCUAAGGUUGGCGGCAAUUAGGGUUCCCCUGGUAGCCCCAAACCCCAAGCCUGAAGCCCUAACCUCGCCGGCGGAGGCGGCAGCCUGAAGCCCUAACAGGAGAGGAGGAAGGCAGGAGGCUAUCAGACGGAGGCAGAGGAGGAAGAGAGAGCUGGUAGGUGGGCUCUGCAUAUGCGACAGAUUGUCGUGGCGCUCCCCAUCGCCUCCUACCCCACGCAACGCUGGACGAUGAUUUGGCCCCUCGAUCCCACUGGUUGCCUCCCGCGCAGCCUUGCCGUGGCGCAUACAAGCACACCGCUCGUGCCGGUUGGAUCUAGGCCAGGCGGUGCACAUGGCACAUGCUCGUGCAUGCCGGCACGCAGCAGCUAGAGAGCUGGGUGGACAUCAUAGGGCAGCGCGUCGUUCCCUUCACGUCUCCCUCCUGCGGCUGUCCCUGCGUCGUUGUCUUGCAGCCGUGCAUCCCAUCUAGUAGUUUUCAUUUCAACGGUUGACUGGAGAGGACAGUGAGACAAGAAGAUGCUAGACAUCGCCGCGCUAGCUCGCUCUUGCGUUGACGACGUGGUAGCCUCGUUCCAGAAGCUUAGCUUCCAGAACUUCCCAUGGCGACGUGGGGGCAGGGAUAGAUGGAGGCGGCCACUGCCUGGAGAUUUGGAGAAGGUAUGGUCGUCCAGUCGUCGUCGACCGCGAGUUCCGCGCUGGCACCGUGCCCCGCAUUCCCGAGUAUCUCUGCACUACUCGUCAGAACAGCAGGCGAGGUGAUGGAUCACCAGAGAAAGAAGGGAAAAGUUUUGAUUUUGCCAGAUUUGCCGCGUAUAAUACAUGUCAUUUUGGAUUCCGACAUGCAUCAUGCAUGUGUAAUCUCCUAGCUGUACGUUGGGAAUUUGCUUGAUUUGUUAAGGGCAAGCACAUUGCUACACGUAGACAGUCUCGUAGGUUGUCUCAUGUAAAAUCACGUAGGAUUUUUGCUGAUGUGGAGGACAGAGAUAAAGAAGAGAGAGAAAAGUUGUUGUCUCGGGAAACAACAGGCUCAUUGACAAAGUUUUCGCUCGAUGGGAUGACAUGGCCACAACCGCGUCGUUGCAAGGGAAGCUGAUUUUUUUCUCCUCGUCGGAUCUCCCGCGCGGUUUCCUCUUCCCUGCGCUAAUCCUUUUUCCCUCCACGCGUGAAAUCGAUUUCAUAACGUGAAGUUGCGCGCUAUUUUUUUAUGUUGUUCAUUCUUGGCUUAUCCAUCUGCCGCCUCUCCCUGACAUAUAAAAAGAAUCAUCUGAAUCUCCUCCUUUCCUCUCAACCCACAUCGUCCCUCUCCGGCUCUCUGACGCCCCAGGCCACGGUGCCGCCGAUGGUGACCGGUGAGGUUUGGUGCCGUCGAUGUCUGCUGCUCCAAAUAGCGCGUCCCCGACUGUCGAACGUAGCACACCCCUCGUCGUCCCUGCCCACGAUCAUGCCUCUUCAAGCAAAGAGGGCUGCAGCACCCCAGGGGGCAUCUCCAUCAUCGGCACAAGCAUCGAAGGCAACUGCAAGUUCAAUCGCCACUAACCCUACAUGGUUGUCCAUGCCUCCUGCUUUUGUACCUAACUGUUCUUCCCCAAUCGUCAAAUCGGAUCCGAAUGCCACUAACGCUGAACUAGGUUCUCACCCACCUGGUGGUUUCCUAAGUUACUUUCAACCAUCAGACUACUCUCAUCUUCAAGAAGUUCAACGUGAGACAUCCAUGUCACCUAAUUUUGUUUAUGCUAGUGGCCCUACUCCAUAUGCUCCAUUCCAGGCACCAAAACCAUGGAUGGCCAAAGCUAGGACAUCGCAAUCAGCCCCCAAACAAGUCACUACACAUUCAUCACUUGGCUCACAAGCUGCUCCUGUUAUCGAUGUUGAAAACUUUGAUGGUAAUGGAGUCAAUCAAGCACGUUAUCGAAAAAGAUGCUGGUGGAAGUAGGACUGGGAGGAGGAUGAUAUGGACAUCUGAUGAGACCAUGAGAUUGGUAAAUUAUCUUUGUGCUUCCAUUUAGUUCUAUAAUUAUCUCUCUAAAUUAUUAUCCAAUAUUAUUAAUGUUUAUACAUUAUCUAAGUUUCUAUAUAUACAAUGCAGGUCAGUGCUUGGUUGAAAAAUUCAAAUGAUCCAAUUAAAGGGAAUUGGAAGAGAAAUGAUCAAUAUUGGGGAGCAGUAACUGACAUGUUUAAUAGCACGACCCCAAUUGAUCGUAUUAGAGAAGUUAAGCAAUUGAAAGAACAAUGGCAUUGUGUGAACAGAACUGUGAAUGCCUUUCAAAGUUCUUGGAUAAAAGCACAACAUCUUCGUGCUAGUGGAGAGUCUGAUGAGCAGGUAAUGGACAAAGCCAUGGCUUUCUAUGAAGAGGAUUUCGAAGAAGGUCAGUUCAAACUCAUAGCUUGUUGGAAGGUUCUUCGAGAUCAACCAAAGUGGCAUGCCUACAAUGAGGACCUUAAUGGAUCUAACAAAACAAAGAAUUCCGAGUCAGAGGUUGUGGACCUGACAUCAUCUCCUGAUGUUCUCAAUGAUCUGCUGCGUCCAGUAGAGUGUAAGAAAGCUAAAGAUGAAAGCAAAGGGAAAGGAAAGGGGAAGGGUUCAUCAUCAACUUUGGAUGAGAUUGACAAGCUGAGAGAAGGUCAAGCCAAAUCUAAGGAAGAUCGCAUUGAGGUGCUGGAGAGAUACCAACAAAUUGCCGCGGAUAAGAAGGAAUCAGCAAGACCGAACCACCUUGCAGCACAAGAGAAGGAGGAGGCAAAGUUACUUGAAAAGGAAGGGAAAAUGCAUGAUAAGGAAUCCAAAUUGCUGGAAACCUAUAAAUCACUUCUUACUUUUGACACAAGGCAUAUGCUUGAGGACUUGAAAGCUGAGCAUAUGAUUGCUGUGAAGAGUACGAGGGAGAGGAUUUUUACUAAUUUUGCUUCAUGAUAGGAGGUAUGUUUUCUUUUUCGAACUGAAAUUUAUGGCUAAGAAACCAAUUUGCUUGAAGUCUUAUGUAAGCAGGCCUUCUUUUUUUCAGGUUGUUUGAGAGGAUGGUCCAGCAUUGCUAGUGCCUUGGAGGGCUUAUUUUACUUUUUUUUUUGGUACGAGUUAAAAAUAAAGCUGCACAUUUAGGCAGCCUCGUAUAAGGUUAGGUUAUUGUUGCAGCUAUGAGCUUACAUAUGUUUUGUUUUAUCACUGUUGGGCCAUUUGAUAUUUUUUUUAAAAAAUUAUCAGCUAUCGACAAUUCAAUUGUUUUGGUUCAGUACAAGUUCAGUACUAAUCUGAUUGGCCUAGGAGCAAUGUUGCUGCAUUAUUUGUUAGUCAAGUCCAAGUCGGACUACCGUGCCUUGUGCACUUACGUCAGGUCCAAGUUGAGUCAGGAUUGAUUGCCGGCUUUGGACUCUAGCAUACACGUUGGAUUUUCACUUUGCAAUACAACUUUAGCAUCCGAGUCGAUUAAGCUCCGCUAGCUACUAUCCUAUAAUUUACGGCUGUUGCCACGUAUUAUUCACAUAAUCCGGUGCGACGAACAAAAGCACAAAGCACAACCGUAAGCCUAGUCAUAAUCCAGUAUGUCGCAUCAAUCAGGUUCAUCUAAUAAGCUGCUCCGAUGAUUCUGAUGAGUCGCUUGAGUCGUUGGAUUUAGACGAUGACGGGUCUAACAGGACUGCUUUCCUACAGCAGUUGGCCUAACGAAGGGCACAACAACGAUGAACACCUGGGCUGGCCCGGCUACGCGUAGCCAGGCCGAGGCCCCGAUCUAGCCACCGGCCAAUUCCUUCGACCAGGAAGCCUAGUCGGCUCCUUGCACAAUGCCACCAUAAACCUACUCGCUACGACGGAAUGGCCUAGCGAGGAGAACAGGGACCGAGGACGGAGGCCAUACCGCACCAGAUGACGUGGGCUUUGACAAGACUAGGCAGCACCUGUACACUUACUCUCUUAUCCUCUCCAACUUGUAAGGCCGUUCCCUUGUACAAUAAAAGGGGAUGGACCCUCCACUUCUAUAGACUCGAAUGUUCACACCCACGUACUCACUCUUACGCUUUCACAUUCUCAUACACUUAGCGCAUGUCUGAGCUCCUGCCACUCUCUUCCACUGAAACGAGAACAAGGCCAGGACUCAGGCACCCUUUCUCAUCCUCCUCUCAUUUGUACCCCCACUGCAAACUUUGAGCACCUGGGCUCAGGAAUAAAGUCGACCGACUGAGGGCGUGUUGCUCGAACUAGUAUACAUCCUGUGUCAUUAUGUGCUAGGUCAUAUCCGUUCUAACACACGGCAAAACUACAAAUAUUUACUUGUGGGUCAGAUUUUGCACCGACAGACGACGACUAAAAGAUUUCAUGGCCGAGCAAGAAGCUUUUGACUCUAUCGUUGAAGCUAUUGGGUCAAAAUUGAAGUCACGACAUGAAGCAGAAAUCGGCUCGAUGUUGAAGGAGCAGCACUAGGAUAUACAUAUUGAGGGAUCAAGAACAUGCCAUGAGGAUCUUGUGUCCCAAUAUUUCUCAGAGGAUCCCAUCUACACCGACUUCAUGUUCCGCACAAGGUUUCGGAUGAGAAGGUCGCUCUUUCUAUAAUGCCCUAGGUAAGUGGUCGCAAUAUUUCACUCAACGGACAGAUGCCACUAACCGAAAAGGACUUUCACCGUUGAUCAAGUGUAUGGCCGCAAUGCGUAUGUUAGCAUAUGGCACCCCCGCAGACUCACUUGAUGAGAACCUAAAAAUAGGCAAAAGUACGACAUUGGAGUGCUUAGGAAUGAUUGCGCAAGGAGUGAUUGAAACAUUUGGUCCAGAAUUUCUGCAACUCCCUACAGUUGAGGAAGAGCGCAGACUACAAUUCAAUGAGAAUCGUGGAUUCCCUGGAAUGCCAGGAAGCAUUGAUUGUAGUGGAAAAACUAUCCAGUUCCAUGGAGGGGACAAUACACCAGUGGUAAAGAGCGUGCUCCUACGAUGAUUCUUGAGGCUGUUGCUACACAUGAUCUUAGGAUAUGGCAUGGUUAUUUUGAUGUUGCUGGUGCUAAAAAUAAUAUCAAUGUAUUAAACCAUUCGCUCUUGUUCAUACAAGAGUUGAAGGGUGAAGUGCCUGAAGUGCACUAUUCUAUCAACGGAACACAGUAUAAUGCAGGUUACUAUCUCGCCGAUGGAAUUUAUCCGCAGUGGGCUGCCUUUGUAAAGUCAAUAGCAGCCCCUCAAAGUGAGAAGGACAAACUGUACGCACAAGCACGAGAAAGUGCAAGGAAAGAUAUCGAGCGUGCAUUCGGGGUAUUGCAAUCUCAAUUUAACAUUGUUGAUCGUCCAGCACGCAAGUGGAAACAGGUAGGUAUUGGAAAAAUCAUGCAGGCUUGCAUUAUUCUUCACAAUAUGAUUAUUGAAGACCAAAGACAACCGGGCGCAACUUCUUUAAUUUGAUUUAAACUCAACUCCAGGGUUAUCAUAUGCUCUACCACCAGGAGUUAGUAUAGGAAACAGUAUGAGCUUUGCUGAAGUACUUCGAAGAAAUGCUGCAAUCACGAGAGACACAUACCAAACUUAGGAAUGACUUAGUUGAACAUAUCUCGCAUCGCUCUCGCAAUAGACAGAAUAGUUAUUAAAACUUACUUAAGUGAGAUUGUCAUGUAAUUUUUUUGGUAAUAUGUAGAAAGUAUUAUGCAAUAAAUAUUCCGUUUGAAUAUAACUCCAGUCUCGUGACUACUUUGCAUAUGAUUGGCCGUCAUAUAUGGUUAACAUAUUUUAUUCCAAAAUACAAUAGCGUCAGAACACAAUAUGGUGAUACAAACGAGUUACAAAGUGAAAAAGUGUAGUAGAUCACAACAUUACUUGAGCUCACACAUAAAUUUAGGAGUUAUAAGACAACUUAAAAGAUAAUUUAUUGUACAGAUUGUCUGUUAGAUCAUCUCGAGAUUACGUGUCAAUGCAUGAGACCGCCUAUUAGAUGGCACCAAUGUACUUAGGACUCCUAUUAAUCUGGUUUCAGACUCUACUAGCUAGUCCGCAAGAAAGACUUGCAUCAGGCCGUAUUCAAAACGCGCGGUUGUAUAUAUCCACCGAAACCAGGUCCACCAGUCAUUAGCUUGCCCCUUGUUUUCGUUUCUCGGUCCUCAAUCUAGUCAUCUUCCCGACGAUAUCCGUGGGCGCCGGCCUAAUAGACGACGAUGAGCGCGGCUUCGUGGAGAGGCACAAGAACAACAUCCAGGCUGUGUUACCCCUCGCGUUAUUCAUACCGUUCCUGCUACAUACUAAUCGUUUGCACCUACCUCUACGACUUCUCGCCGCCCGAGUUCUGGGUGAAACUGCCCGGCGUCGAGGGGGGCUCGACCGGAGCACCCAUGCAGUGACGGCGCCCACCUUCCACAUCACCCUCCGGGUCAACUACGACCUUCGCGGCAACCACGGCCUCUGGCCGCUCUGCGGCACGGGGGGCCGCGUGGACGUGGCGUACGCGGGCGUGCCGAUCGCGCACGGCGACCUCCCCGAGUUCUGCGUGACCGCGGGGACCGUCGGCUCGGUCCCCGUCGUCGCCACCGGCGACGGGCUGGGGCUGCCCGACGAGCUGUACGAGCGCAUGGAGGGCCAGCGGCAACGGCGCGAACGCGUGCCGCUGGCGGUGCGCGUGCGGAUAGACAACUUGACCGGCAGCAUCGUCGGAUCGCCUGUGGUGCUGCAUGGACAGUACUGCGUGGGCAACCAAGGCCUUAUUUAGUUCCUAAUUUGGAAGUUGCAAAAUUAGCAUUUUACCAUAAAUACGUAACUGUAGCGUUUCGUUUGUAUUUAUGAAUUAUUGUCCAAAUAUUGACUAAUUAGGCUCAAAAGAUUCGUCUCGCAAAGUACAACAAAACUGUGCAAUUAGUUUUUGAUUUCAUCUACAUUUAGUACUCCAUGCAUGUACCGCACGUUUGAUGUGAUGGAGAAUCUUCUUUUUGCAUAGUGUCAAAACAUGACCCAAAGUGCCAUUCAUCUGCCCAAUGGUCAUCAAGUAGCCGCAUGUAUUUUUUUGUGUUUUUGUUUUUGAGACGUCUUAGUUGCACCGGCCAGCUGACUCCUCGAACAGUCGAACACAACUUAUGUGACUGCCAAAUUAGUUAAUUACUGCCAUGUUUAAUUUUAUAUCUUUGCUAAUCCAAUUCUAUCGAGUGUAUCAAUCACAAGGCUUAACCGCCUCUAACAAAACACAUGUAGUAUUUAGAAAUACGCCUCUAAAAAUGCACAGGGGCGCCGUGAAAUACGCUUCUGUUCUGAUCAGGCCUGCGUUGUUUGGGGUGGAUCCCCUGUCGAAAUUCUUCUAGCGGUUGCCAGACCUUAUCGUCAGCGACGAAGUAGUUAUUGCAGUCAUCAAUUGCAAGGAAAAUCUACUACCUCUGUAGUGUAUUUUUCCCUCUCUGCAGACGUUUUCUCUAGGUCGUUUCCAGUAAAAAACACUAGUUAGUUAGGUCUUGUCUAGUUCCCUCCAAAAUCCCAACUUUGACACUAUGCAAAAAGAAGAUUCCCUAUCACAUCAAACUUGCGGUACAUGCAUGGAGUAAUAAAUGUAGAUGAAAUCAAAAACUAAUUGCACAGUUUUGUUGUACUUUGCGAGAUGAAUCUUUUGAGCCUAAUUAGUCAAUGUUUGGAUAAUAAUUCACAAAUACAAACGAAAUGCUACAGUUGCGCAUUUAUAGCAAAAUGUCAAUUUUGCCACUCCCAAAUUAGGAACUAAACAAGGCCUCUCUUUUAAAAAAAAAAUUCUAAAAGCAUGUCAGUUUUAGCCCCUUUUACAAAUUUCGAACAGUGGUAGGCAAUCUCUUAUUUAAAUGCAACUAUAUAUAUAUAUAUAUAUAUAUAUAUAUAUAUAUAUGAAAUUGGUGCGUGCAUGCCACGCACAUAUUUCUAAACCCUUGGCAUUAUAAAGUCAUGACGUGGUAGCCCGAAAACUUCGCAGAGAAACGGGCCCUUCGGUCGCCCGUGUAGUAUCGCCGUGCACCACAACAGCAGAGGCGAACCGCGGCUGCCGGUGAUCUCGUGCACCCGCACGUGCACCGCCAGCGACACGCGCUCCUUCCGCCGGUGCUGGCGCUCCAUGCGCUCGUCCAGCCCGUCGGGAAGGCCCAGCCCCUCGCUGGAGGCCACGGCGUGGACCGAGCCCACGGUCGCCGGCGGCACGACUUCAGUCGGGCAGGUCGUGGUUGCAACAGCCCGAGUAAUUAAAAAUCUAAAUCAAAUAAUUAAUAGGGUAAUUAAGAAGCAAAUUAAAACUAACUCCAAAUUGCUGAGAGUUAAGAUAAAAAAACACCUUGAAUUUUGAUCAAGUGUUAAAACUCCUUUCUGUUGAUAAUCACUAGCGAGGCCAAUAAAAACAAAUUUUAUAUAAGAACUAAAAUUUUGGCCAAUACAAAAGUGAUAGACCUUUUCAAAUGUAGCAACUUUAAUAAUAUGCACUUUCUUGAUUUGGAAGUGGAAAGACUCCAAAAACUGAGUAGAAGUUCGGUCAAAUUUCAAGUCAAAUCCAAAAACAGCUUUGAUCGGCGUCCGCCCAAAAUUCCCGCAAUCCUAAUUCCAAAUCCAUCAAGUUCCUCAUAUGUCAGCCUUUAUAAAAGUUAUAGCCCAUACCUUGAACUCCAACUUUUAUUUUUGGAAAUGCAAGCACAAAGAUCAAACUUGGUGAGAAAACACACGUUAAACGCGACACCUUUGCGCGACAUGCAUCACAAGCAUCUUUGGAAAUUAUUGAGCAUCAUGAACAUCCUUUUGUGCAUCAUUAAGCAUCAUGAGCAUCACUUGUGCAUAAAUAAGUAUUUUUACCAUGCAUUGCUUAAGUCACAUAAUAAUUGUUUAUUGUUGAAAAAACAAAUUUGUAAAGCAACCCCAAUUUAUUUUACAUAACUUUGCCUCCUUUUAUUUAAUUCAAAUACUAGAUACACUUUAGUGAUUUUACAAUAUUUUUACCAAAUUUUUCAAAAGUGUUUGAUUGUUCCAAAAAUUCAUUUAAAGUUCAAUUUUGGCUGUAUUGUUUUGUCAAUUGUGUAAAAACCAUAUAAGCUCUUGCAGUGAUUUUUAUUGCAUUGUAUUCUUUGUGAUUUUAUCUUUCCAACGAGUAUUUUUGGGUAAUUUUUGGAUGAGUGUAGUUGGGUCAAAUGAAGAGAGAAAGUUGAGCUAGUUGUUUUUGUUUGCUUUUCUCGUAGGGCCCACAAGUCAGUCACCUUCUUCCUCCUCCGUCAACACACGCACGUCAGAUGGCCGGCAUGGACGUUGAAGAUCACCAGUUGGCUAGCUCCCUAGCGCCUGCAGGGCUCUUUCUCACCCGGUUGGUCGCCCGAGCAUCUCCCAUGUGCCUCCCCUUCUACUCCACGCCACUUCUCGCCCUCCAUUGGCCAGCUCCUCCCACACGGCAUGGACACCACGUGACCGACAUGCCCGGAGCUCCCCCUCGCCGCCAAUCCACGGCCUGUGUGUUGUGUCAUCCUUAUCCUCGCCUCGCCCAUCCUCAUCCUCUUGCGCCCAGACCCUUAAAUCGGCCAUACCCCAAGCUUUUGCCCCUCCAAACCAAGCUUUCCAGUGCCAAUGGCCAGAACACCUAGUUCCUGCGACACCACAGUUUGCCGGCCGAUUCCUCCCAACUCUAGCCGCCUCCCUUCAAUAGCUCAAACUUGAACCUUCCUCACUCACCCAGUGACACCAUCAACUCCUCCUCGUCACCUGCAGUCCACAGAAUCGACGGGAAUCAAAUUUUCCCCCAACCACCAGAAGCUUUCCACCCACCACCGUCUACCCCAACAUGGCGCCAUAUCUCCCGGCCACCCUCGUCAUCGACCAACGACUCAAAUGGAACCUAGGUGAUUCACUGGUGCUCGUGCUCGCAUUUAUCUUCCACGUUCAUCAACUUUCCGUGCACCUUCCCAUGCAUGUCGUCGGUGUGCGUCGGCUACCCGUGGAGCCUCCUAUGCGCCGCUCCUUUCCCCCUUCGCCGGCUUGCUGGAAGGCCCUUGGCCUUCGGGCAUGGCGCCGCCCGCCCUCCCCCUAGCGCCCCGCUGCCCUUUCUCCUGGCUGUCGUGCGCCGGCAAGACCCUGGCCGGCCAAGUCCUAUGCCUCUAAUCUGUUCGUUGUGUGUGGAUCUGGCUGGAGAAGAAGAGAGAAGUUCAGGGGGUCCUACGGAAAAAUUUGGAGUUAUGUGUGAGGUAGGAAGUUUUCCAGGGGCCUAAACAUUAGACGCAGGGGGUAGGAUGAAAAGGAAAGGGUAGAUCUGAGAAGGGAAAUCUUUUUCCGGGGGUAGAUUGCAAAAUUAUUUCGGUUGUGCUUUAUUUGCUAGAUUUAAAAUGUUGCAAGUGUGCAAAAUACAUAGAAACUUGUAAGAAAAUGCUAAAAAUGUGAGUAUUGUUUUGUUAGAUUCCUUGUGAAGUCUAGUUUAUUUCAAAAAAUAAUUUUGUGCAUAUUGUUGUUUUAUAUUUUGUGCUAUGAAUUAUUUUGUGUGAAAACCAUUAAAGGCUUUAUAAAUCACAUAGUGCUCUAAAAAUUGUGAAAUUACUUUUGUUAACAUUCUUUUAACAUGCAUGUUUUAGAUCCAGAACUUGUGUUAGUAGAAUCCAUGGUGUUCCUACUGUUUUAGAUUUAAAUGCUUACCUGCUGUGUUAAUCUUGUUAACUGCAUGAUAAAUAGUGGAAAAAUUGAUAAAACGAUGAAACCACGUCUAUUAACCUUUGUGUUCCACAUAGAAUCUAGGUAAAGUGUUGUUAAUACUUGUCUAGUUGAUUUACAAGCCUUUUUAGAUUUAAUAUGCUUAAUGGUAGUUUAAAUUGUUUAAUCUAUCUCUCCACAUUAACAAUUAAUUUUGAUGUUAAUCCAACUAUCAUGAUUUUGUAUUGGUUGUCUUCUGUCUGUGCCAUUUAUUUCAUAGUUGUUUCUUAACAUAUGAUUUAAAUCUUGAAAUUUAGUUCUUACUUUUCACUUAUCGUGCAAAAUAGUUUCUCUCAUCGUUCUUGUGUGAUUUCGUGUUAUUGUUAGCAAGGUUGUUCUAUUACUCGUUGAUUUCUUACUGUUUCUUUUAUCAUUCCAUGCAUUUCAUGAACAUUUGCACUCAUCUCAUCAUCUCUAAUGCAUGCACACAUUUCAUUCUUUUAGAGAGCAAUUUGCCGGAGAACGUGACCUUGAACCCUUGAGCCAAGGCUGGCAUAAAAGUUGAGUUUGAGUCCGAAGAAAACCAAGACAAGCCAAUAAGCAUGUUUGUUACCUCCUACUUUUAAAAUGAAAUUGUUACUAUAGCUUGCAUGUGGGUGAUAAAAUGAUCACUUAGUAAAAGAAACGAUCAUAGGUUAAUCAACACCUUUACUAAUAAGGUUCUUUAAUGUUGUUAAAACAAAUGGACAUAAUAGGUAAUGUUGGAUACAAGAAUUGGGUAGUGUAUAGGAAUUGCAACAACCAAAAGUUCACAAGUUAACACAUGAAGCAAGUUAAGCUAAGAGCUUUUUAAGUAAACAAGUCAGUGAAUGCAAUAUUUAAGUUGUUAAGUGUUAAGCAAAUCAAGUUAACUUUCCAAAUAAGUGUUAAGCAACCCUAAAGUGACCCCACCCUUCUUUUGUGAAGUUUAAAUGAUUUAAACUUUAGUUGUGUACACAAUCACCAUCAAAGUCAUCUUCGAGUUUGAAAUCGCAACACACAUUACUUUACAAGAAAAUAAAUUGUUAUAACCUUGUCUAAGUGAAUCUGGCUAAAAGAAAAGAAAUGUUUAUAAACUUAUCUAAAUAAAUAUGGUCGAAAUGCACCCUAACCUUUUACAACGUUAAUGAAAUGCAACCUACACAUAAAAGCUUGUUUUUGAAAUCUUGCAUUUGCAUCUCGUGUAGAAGCUAACUUCACUGAUGGAACGUACGAGCUCGGCCUGGAACGCGAAGCAUGAGGGUGUUUGCUGAGCUGAAGGUAAUCAAGGCCCGAACCAAGUUCGGAAGAGCCCAAGGCUGAGUUAGGGCAAGAGGACAAGCCCCAGAGCAUAACCCUGGUUUCUAAAAUUAUGCACUGCUUAUGCUAGUUAUGUCUCUGCAUUAAGUUCAUAGGAGUUGCCUGAAACCUGAGUUGCAUGAUCCUAGGUACCUAUGUGCUGAAUACUAGUAUGUUAAGUCAUGUAGUUGCUAUGCCAAAUAGGGACUCGGUAAAAAUCGAGUGAUUUCCUGUCACUCGCGAGUUAUAGGAGUUGCAUGUUUAGUUAUGUUGAAAUCAUAAGGAUUGACGGGCGGGGCUGGGCUAUAUGUUCUGGAUUGGUGGAUUGCCCCAUCUGUCUAGUGAUAAAUGUGCUAAGGUCGAAAUGUGAUGGUGAUUGUGGUCAAGUGUUUGAAAGUACUAAUCUCAUACCUAGUAUGGGAUACGAAAGCCUAGUACCUGAUCGAACCGGGAUGUGGGCGUACCUUCCCACUGUCUCUGGAACUCAGUUCCCCUGCUGCAGCAUGUAGGUACAAGCGCAAUCACGGUACAACGAUAUUUCGGGACCGUGGGGCAUUAUAUCCAAGGGAAGUGGGCCCGACCACGUGCCUGGGGAUUGAUGGGGAUGACUGACAAGUGAAGUGGACCUGUCGUGGUACGCGGAUGUCGUGGGGUCAGGUUCACCUUGCAAGGUUUAAAAAACUCGAUUCGAAUCGUCUACUUCUCACAGUUUGAGACUACUUGAUCACUAUGCUGCACUAAGUAAAAAGUGGAACAAAGGAUGAUGAUUAAUACUGAUGCUUGAUUAAAUUGUUUGUUCAACAUGCUUGCUUAGAAUAGGUGCUUACCUAGAAUGGUUAAACCAACUAGAACCUGCUGCUAAAACUUGAAAGUAAGGACCUACUUUAGAAGCAUUUGGCAAAAUAAAACCCUCAGCCAAAAAGCCUUGCAUGUCUAGGAUUUAAGUCGAGCUAAGAGGCGAGCAAUGCCUCCCAAUGUAUCAUAAUGUGUCACAAUGGAGCUCCUCAAUGGAGGUGGAAACACGGGUGUGAGGGAGUUAAUAGGUUGGGCCAAAUAUGGUUCGGUCCGGAAAGUUUGCUUAGCCAAAUAGCCCGAAACAAAGACUCUAGUUUCAAAAGAAAUAGUGUAAUUAGCAUAAAAAUAAUGGUAAAUAACUUAUAUCCAUAAAAAAUAUAAAAGGAUGUCAAUUUGGACCAUUUAGGAUAUGUACAUUGCUACACGUAAGCGGUCUCAGAGAUCGUCUCAUGCAGUUGUGGCGGAACCACCCAAAUUAACCUGACUAAAAUGCACUUAAGACGCCUGAUACGCGAUCAUGCACUUUAAGCAAGUCAAUUUGGUCGUCCGUCGGAUUUCAUCCGAUAAACCACUUAUUCAGGAUCGAGAAGCAUUGCUCACAUAAAGGUGAGGGGCACAGAGGUUACAACAUUCCCAUCACAUUAACAUAGUUCAACAAUUUAUUAUAUCAGAGUUUUCGAAAUUCAAACAAGUUUGCAAGGUUGUAAACAACAAAGAUGAAAAAAUAACGGAAGCUACACGAUGAUACAUAAUACCAUGGCGAAACCGAGCAUGAUAUCCAUUCGACGAUCCACGCUGUUUGAGGUCGGUGUCCACUCAACCGACCAACCCGGAGGAAGUCAGGUCGGCCAAGUCAAGCUGGCAACCAUUUCCUCAUGCUCAGCACUUCCUGAAAACAUAGCCACAAGCAAGGCUGAGCAACUAAUACUCAGUAAGACUGACCCGACAGGUGAUAACUAAGUCACUAACGCCUAGUCAUGCAAGGCUUUUUGGCCAUGGGUUUGUUUUUGCCAAAAACGCCUAGAGUGGGUCCUUGCUUUCAAUAUUUUAGCUCAAGUUCUAAGUUCAUUAACCAGUCUAAGUUGGCAUCUUAUACUAAGCAAGCAUUGUUUCCAAACAAUUAAAGAACAAGCAUCAAGAUUAAUAUCCUCAUGUUUCAUCUUUACUCAGUGCAGAAUAUCGAUCAAGCAGUCCCAAACUGUGAGAGGCAGACAAAUCAAUUCGAAUUUAUUAACCAUGCAUGGCGAACCUAAUCUCACGACAUCCGCGCACCACGAAGGUUCACUUCAUUUGUCAGUCGUCCCCAUCGAUCCCUUAGGCACGUGUCAGGGCCAAACUUCCUUUGGCAUGCAAUGCUUCAUAGUCCCGGCCUCUUGCUGUACUGUGACCGCACUUGCACCCACAUGAUGCACCAUGGGAACGACGUUCCAAGGAUAGCAGGAAUAUAAGCCACGCCCCAGUUCAAUCAGGUAUUAGGCUUCCCCAUCCCAUACUAGGUAUGAGAUUAGUACUUUCAAACACUUGAUCACAAACGCCGACACAUUUCGACCUUAGCAAAAUUCAUUACUAGACAGACGGGCAAACCACCAUAUUGGAACCAUUCCCGAUCUCGUCCGUCAUCCUUAUAGUUGUAGAAUGAGUAAAAAAACAACUCCUAUAACUCACGAGUGACAGACAAUCACUCGACUUUUAUCGAGCCCUAUUUAGCAUAGCAACUACUCGACCUUAGCAAGUAGUGUUCAGAUCAAAGGUACUAAGCUCAUGCAUUUACAGUUUCAAUCAACUCCUACAAACGUAAAUGCACAAUCAUAAGCAUCAACAUAUUGCAUAAUUUAAAACAGGGAAGCAUGCACCGGGGCUUGCCUUCAGGAAAAGUUAGUGGUUCCUCGGGGUCUUGAUCUAUCUCAGGCUCAACUUCCGCGUGAUGUAGCUCCGCGACGGUUUCCUCUUCCAACGUAGGGUGGAGCUCGUAGGUUCCGUCGGUGAUAUUAGCUUCUACACGACAUGCACAUGCAAAGAGUUUAGAUUUUUUUUUCAUGCUUUUGUACGAAUGAUGCAAGGCAUGACUCAUUGCUAGAAAGAAAGUUGUAUUUUGGCCACAUUCACCUAAACAAGGUUCUAACUUUCAUUAACUUCAUAAAGUAAGGUGGGUUGUGGUUUAAACUCGAGUUUGACUUUGAUGGUGAUUGUGUACAUAUAAGAUUCUUACAACUUAGAGUUGCAUAAGGAAGGUGGGGUCAUUUUUAGGGUUGUUCGGGGUUCAUUUGGGGAGUUAUUUAUUUCUGAAUGUUUUUUUUAUCUCUUCCAAAGAUUUCCCAUUAGGCUUAUUAGGACUUACAUUUCUUUAUUUACUUAAACCAAUUUCUUAUCCAAAUUUUGGUUCCACAAGCAAACAGUAAUAUAUGGCACUGAGAAAAUUAUAGUACCUUACUUAUGUCAUCACUGAGUUACUGUAAAAAUUUGGAAUCCAUUGGAUUACCACAAAAAGAAUUAAAAGUAUUUUACCACCAAGGGUAGCAUGCACUUAAACAUUUUUAUCUCAAAACCUACAGUGAUUCUGAGGGUGAAAUUUUAACCGUAGAUGGAAGGCAUGUAAAAGAGACUUUGGUGAGUUUUUCAUGAUUUUUAGAGAAGGACAUCUAUUUUUCAUAUUUUUCUCCUAUUUAUCUUGUUCUAUAAAGGAAGGUGGGUUUGUUUCUAUUUCUGACCAUAUUCCAUAUUUUUCCUACCCACUACACUUCCAAACCAAGCUACUCCAAGUGGUUUUACAUUUUUCUUAGCUCUGGAUUAAAACUUAUGUAAAAAGGAGAUUUAACACUAGAUUUCAAAUAUAAGGUUAAAACAGUGAUUUUAAGUUCUACUCCAGGGCCCUAAGUAUUUUUCUCAGCUUCUACUCACUGAAACAUACACCACAGAGUUGGAUUUACCUUUUUAGCAUUUUUCUUCGAUUCUACAAUUUAAAAAACCUAAGAAAGAAAUAAAACCAUAGGGUAUUAUUUCCAAGAGUAACAUGGACAAGAUUGUUUUUGCAUGAAACUAGACAGUUCACUGAGUCCAACAAAAGUGGUUUGACAUUUUUAUGAUUUUUCUACAAUUUAUGGUGCAUUUACAAAGUUUAUCUUAUGUUCUACCGAUUUAAAAUAAUAAAACCGAAACAGAUUUACAAUGAGGCCCUUCUAAACCUUUUAGAAAUCACAACCAUACCCUUGUGAGUCACAGAUAGGUCCUCGCGCUGUUUUCCUCGGGUAAACUUGCAGUAGGGCCCUCGGGGUUUCUAGAAAUCGUGAAAAGGUUUUAACAAAACUGUACAGAGACCCCUAGAGUUCUAAGCCUUCACACAUAUACCCUUGGUUUUAACAUUUCAACCCUAAAUCAACUUUCACGAUUACAACCGUGCCCUCGGCGGUGCACAGCGGCGGGCGGCGGCCAAUUUCGGCGAUGCGUCGGCAGGGGUCGGGCGAUGUGUAGACCGCGUAGUUUCCAUAUGCACACCUAACUAGUCCGAGUGGGAUACGCUUCUGGCCGCGUAGCCCCCUAGUCUUGAUUGUGUCCGAGUACGGCCCUUAGUGGGCCGCACAGGACCUACUCGUAGGCCUGGGAUGUAUGCCCGACAGCAGGAGCUUGCCAUCUAGCGGCAGGAAGUUGCCAACAGCAGCGGCGAUGGGCGCGCGGCGCGAUGCAUGGCCUCCAAGAGCUACGAUGUGUGUAGUAGGAACUUGCAAGCCAAGGUAAACGUAGAGCGAAAGGAUAAGCAUAAAGCUCAUGUGGCAUGAUGUAACGCCCGUAAAAUACACCCAGUUAAAUCACCCGUUAAAAAUGCUUUCCAAAAAUUUUCCGACCGCCAAGCUCCGUCAAAUCCCUUCCCUUCCGUCGGACCCGCCGUCCUGACCCCGGUUCGUCAACUCUCAUUUUCCGCUCCCCGUAAUUUUCGCCGCGUGCCCUUCAAGUCCAUCACCGCGCGCAGUCGAAUCCCGCAAUUUUCGCCAUCGUUUUCCCCUCAAUUUUCUCCCUUCUCUUCCUUCUUUCUUUUUCUCCUUAUUCUUUCCCUUCUCCUUUUUCCUUCUCUUUCUUCCUCCUCUCCCUUCCUCUUUCUUCUCUCUCUCCUUUACUUCCCCUGCCACCUUCCCACUUGCGCCUGCACCCCACCCCCCCUGCCUGGCACGCGCGCCGAGGCGCGCCCGCGCCGCGUCAUGUCGCCCGUGCCACGCCCGCUCGCGCCUUGGCGUCUAGCGCUUGGCUCGGUGCGUCGCGUCGUGUCGCCGGUCGCCGGUCGCCGGUCACCGCUCCUGUGGCCUCGUCGACCACGCCGCCACGCCAUCCACGAGCUCCACCACCCCGGCACGCCACCGACCAAAGGUCCGGCCGCCAUCAUUGCCUCGGCCCUCGCCCGCCCGUGCGCCGCCUAUAAAAGGGGGGGAGGCGAGCCUUGCACCUCCACACCCUCACAACGAGCACCUUGCCUUCCUCCACUUCCACCACCAGAACGCCGACGGCCAUCCCUUCCUCUACCUCCGGUUGUCUCUGUAAUAAGUGCCGUUUGAAGUAAUACAGUGACCAUGAAAAUUCAGAAAGAAAUCCAAAAGAAAAAGAAAAGAAAUUGGCAAAAAUUCCAAAUUCGGCCAAAUUUUGACCGAAAUUUGAAUUUCAAAUUUGAAAUUCAGCAAAAUUUGUCGAAUAUAUGGAAUACAAGUGUAAGAGUAUUUAGAAUUAAGGGGAUCAAGAAGUUGGAACCAGAUUAGUGCUAAUCAUCACAAAAGAAUUAGAGAAAGAAAAAGAAAAAGAAGAAUUGUUGUUUACUGUUCACCGUCCGAAAACAGCAAUUCAGGAAAAAAAACAGCCAUAGAGUCUGUUUUCAAAAUUCAUUUCUGGAGAAUUUUUCAACUAAGUGCACUAUGAAAACUAUACCAUAUUGAAGUGUGAACUUUGGACUACAAGAUUUGGGUGUUGUUGGCCAGGAUCAGUAACAGGAAGGGAGUCAAAUUCCAGCCCAAAGUCAGCACAAAACCACAAGUUAACUGAAAACUCUGAAUUUUGACUAAGUCUGAAUAUCAGGAAUGCAUCAACUUGGAGCCCGAAUUCAGAGCAAUGUAGCUAAAGAAAGGUACUUGUUCAUAAACAAAAUGGAACAUUGGGACAUAGUAGAACACGUUUGGGGAGAAGUUGGAUUGGAAAAAUAAGGUUUAAGCCACUGAAUUAAGUUCACAAGUGCGAUCGACACCACUGUCGAUACUGACGAAACUGAAUGGCAGUUCAGUUAAAGUUCAGGAGAAACCAAGAAACAAUUCCAAAUUCAAGCCAAUUCGGUGUUUAUCUCGAGCCGAUGUCAAAAUAAAAGAUGCCAAGCUUGAGAUUAUCUUCCGACUCUGUUAAAGCACGGGAGGCCGUCGGAUUGAGGAUCGACCAUCAAUUGCUUCUGAAGAUCGCGGGCGCCAGAAGAGCGGUGACUGAGCAUCAGGACGUGUCGCCGCCGCCGCUUCCGAUAGCUCGCCAGCACGACGACUAGGCCACCUCCUCACCACGCAAGCCUAGGGGUAGACCACGGUGGCAGCCAUCCGCGCGGUAAACCGUUCAUAUACUUACUGCUCCCGCGCCGCCGUUUCACCAUCUUCUUUUACCGCCGCCCGCUCUCCUCUGCCCGAGCACCGCCGCCAAGCAAAAUUCCACCGCCACGUCUCACCUCCCGUCGAUUCCUCUCGCCCACUCCUCCACAGACACCCCAGCUACACCCCGAGCCAGUCGUUGUCCUACAUCCUUGCCGGAAUAGCCGUGCUCGCCGCCACUUCUGUCCGCCGUCGUCGCGCCGCCCGCUCACGGUGAGAACCACCUCGUGCUGUCUCUCUUCCUUCUUGAGUAGUCGUAGUCGAGUCCUUAGGGUCCUAGGAUGGUGUCGGGGUAGAUGUUUGAGUAGGUUAUGCCGUUGUCGUGAGUAGUCACCACCAGCCGAGGGUGUCGCCGCCCGUCGCCGUGGAGGGGAUGGCUCCGGCCAUCUCCCGGGGAGCUGUCGCUGCGCACGGGUGCGUGAAGGUGUAAGGGUGCUGUCCUGAUCGAGCUUCGCCGCCGGUGGGGCGCCGGCCGGCGAGUCGCGCCGCCCCCUGUCGCGGGCGCGUUUUGGCGGGAGGAGGAAGAAGAGUCUGGGCGCUUGGGCCCGCACGUCAGUGAAGAGAAAGGGGGGAAACGGAAGCAGGCCGGCCGGGCGCGGGCGGUUGCUGGGCCGCGGCUUGGAAGCCCAGUGGCGCGCGCGGGUGAGAGGAAGAGAAAAAGGCCUGAGGCCCGGCGCAGCUAGCAGGCCGACUCGUGAAGGAAAGAAAAGAAAAGGAGAAGCGGGCCGUUAGGCCGGUGUCGGGCCGAAAAAGAGAAGGGGAAGAGAAUCGGCCCACGAGGCCCGUUAAGAGGAAAAAGAGGCCGGCGGGUAGGAUGAAUAGGAAAAGUAGGGUCCGCGCCGUGGGGCCCAGUGCGCGUGAGAGAGGGUAGAGAGGGGCUGAGUGAGAAAAGUAUUUCCGGGCGAUUUCGGGAAAAAAAAUUAGAUUCCUUUAGAAAAGUAAUUAGUUUAAAUCCGUUUUACAUCAUUUUAAUCACAGAAAUUUGUAGGAGUGUCCAAAAUUAGUGAAACCAAUUUUGUUAGGCUUGUUUUAUUUUUCUUUAUGCAUUAAAAUUUUU